UCCCACUUCACUACUGUCUCCCACCAUUCUUUUGGCCAUGCUCGGAUUUGUUUAAGAGAAGGGGGAGGAGAUGGCUGGCCAUUUUCAAGCAACGGAAGACAAAUUGGCAUCCUCUUCAGCUUCUCACAAUACAUUACACUAAUAUCUUCAAGAGAAUUGCAAAUCUGUUUUGCACUGCAAAUGCUUUUCAGUUCUGGUAAGCAACCCAAUUCCAGAGUUAUUAACUUUGGGAGAAUGACUUCCAUGAUGGAAUUGGAGGUGCUGCUUUCUUCAUCUGUUGUUCCUAUUAUCUCCUCCAUUUUCUCACAGAAUAUCACUCUAAUCCUUUCCAGGUUUACGAGGUUUGGCAGCAACACAAGCGGGAACAGCUUCUUCAUACUUUUACAGUAUUAACAAAAAAACUCUUUAAGACCAGAAAACGUACCGUUACAUGAUGGCAAUCGUGGUGGAGCAGAGCAGAACCAAGAAGAUGAAACCAAGCUCUCCAUGUUAUGGCAUUCCCAAAUGUUGAUGCGCUCCAGUUCAGUUGCAUUCUCUAAUGACAAAACAUCACAUAAACUUCUUGCAUCGAUGCAUUCACAAAUCAGUCCUUGAAUGCCAUUUAAGAACUUGACCUGAAAAUCUCUAUCUCCGUUGAUACUCAAAUUACCCAACCCAACUGUUUUACUUGGAAAAUCUUCAAUGCGUUGCUCUAAAUGUCUACACCUCUCCUACUAAAAUCUUGCAUGUGCUUAAUGAUAGGAUCCCAUCCCGAGAUCUGAGAUACUCCACGAAGUCAGAGAAACCUUCAAAAUGGCAUUCCAAAGUUUCCAAAUUUCUCAAGGAUCCUACUUCCUUUCCUUUAACUGUUAUGGGAGCAUAUCUUCCAUAAAUUAACCUUUCCUCUAGUACAAAGAUUUGCAGGUGAGAGAGUUUUUGUAAUAUCCCACUAGGAAACUCCUUUUCACCACAUCCAUUCAUUAUAAGAUACCUCAGGUUGGUUAGGCAUUCCAUUCCUUGCAGCAUCUUUUCAAGCCUAGUAUAAGAGAGAUCCAACCUCUUCAGUGCCGUGAGCUUUUUUAAUGAUGGAACAUGUUUUAAUUGACCACACUUACUGAGCAAUAAGGCAGUCAGAUUCACCAAAUCAGAAACAGAAUCUGGCAAAUUUUUAAUACCUGUGCGAGACAGAUCAAGGACCAUGAGCCUAUGCAAUUGCUUGAAAAAUGAAUCUGCAACAAAUAUCCCAACCCUUUAUUAUCACAUAGAAAUAGAGUUGACAGAUUUGGACACACUGGUGAAUGGUCGAAAGGAACUUCUUCAUCUCGUUUUGCAUUAGUGAAACUAUUGUCAGAUUCUCGUCCACUCCUCUGCAUUGGCAACUCUUUUAACUGCGCACCUGCUUUAACCAUGCCUUGAGAGUUCUCUAGCAGUAUUUGGAUGGCCAUGUCCCUAAUCAAGUCAUGCAUCUUGACACAUCUAAUAUCAUCAUAAUCCAUUUGAGCACUUUCCAAUAGGCAGACAUAUUCAAGUCUAUUAAGCAUCGUGUGGCCCUCGUCAAAUGCAUCUUUCCUGCUCCUCAUUCCUUUAAUUAUUCCCUCAUCGAUCAAAUAACCUAUCAGCUGCCUCCCUCUUAAUCCAUGAUCUUCAGGAAAUAAUGCACAGUACAAGAGACAUUUUGGAGUGCUGAAUCACCUAGCCGUUCAUAACUAAACUCAAUAACUUGAAUAAUUUCUUGUCCCUAAAUUCUGAUGCACUCAAUUUCUUCAAUGUAUUCUCCACUCAUGUAGAUCAUCCACUCCCAUCAAGCUUCCUGCCAUGUAAUAAUUCCCAAUGGCAAACCAGCACAUUCCCUUGCAAUAUCUUUCGCAAUUCCUUCCACUUCUGAUGAAAGUGCUAUGUCACGUCCAAGUUUCUCAUGAACAAAGUCCAAGCUCUCCCUCAAAAGUGGCUUCACCUUGAUUUUGUGGUGGCAAGCCAUCCGAUGACAAACCGUUUCUGAUCGAGUUGUCAUAAUCAGCUUGCAUCCUUUCAACGGGACAGGAAUUCCCACUUCGUCAAGCUCAAAAUUGUUCCACAAAUCAUCUAAAAUGAGAAUCCAUUUUUGUUUCUUUAUUAGUUCUUCUGACAAUUUGGCAGCUCUAUGCAGAUCAUCAUCUUCGCUUGAAAGGUCUAGAUGAAGACGUUUAGCAAUAAUAUUCUGCAAUCUAUUAAUGCUGAAAUCUUGAGACACAGUCACCCACCAAACAUGAUCACAAAUCUGGUCUUUGUAGAAGCUCAUUAUGGAUAUGUUUAGUAUUGUUGUUUUACCAACUCCCCCCAUCCCAUAAAUGCCAAUGGUUGGGACUUCAUCAUCCAUUAACAAAGACCAUAUCACCUUCUAUUCUCUUCAAAUGCUUGACCCACUGGCUUUGUAGAGCUAGUAGGUAAUGGAACUCCUCUAGUCUCACUUGUGUUGUAUUUAAGGCUUAUAGAAGAUCUAGCUCCAGCGUCAGGCUGCACUGAAUCUUCCACUAUUCUCCACACCCUCCUCCACUGGUUCUGUCCUCACUCUAACCAUGUUCUGCACAUCAUACAUAACGACAUCAUUGUUUACUGAUGGAGCAAAUAGUUGAUCAUAAUAUCUUCCAUGAUCAAGACACAAUGGAUCUGUUGGUUGGGAUGAAUCUCCUCGAGGCUCAUCAGCUUGAUUAAUUGAUGGCCUCUCACAAGAGCUACCUCUCUCCAGAUGCUGCACUUGUUCUGUUCUCGCUACAGUUUCAAAUCCAUCAUGCAGACGCUCCACAUCCUCAUCUUCCUGCAUUAAAUAGUAGAGAUUUCAUUCAGCUUCUGCUCCUUUGAAAGGGCAGAGUGUAUCUGAACCCAAGUGCCAUCAAAAAAUUGAUCCACUAAAUCUGUUCCUGGUGUUGCUUCUCCUCUAUUCUCAUGAGCAUCAACUCUGAGUCUCCAAGGAGAGACACUUCUGUCAACAUGCUGAAAAGAUCCUUCACCAGUGUACUCCAUGCCUUGAACUCCCGCUUGCAUCCUUCCAGCAUCCCCUGCCAAAUUAACAAGUACUGCAUUGUCUUGUUCUUGUGGACAGGUGGAAAUGGCAUAAUCAUUAACAUUGCUUGAACUUGCUAUGCUUUUAUGUCUUUUGUUGCCACCAUUCAUAGCUAGGAAGGCUGCUUCUUGAACUUCUUUAGGCACCUGACCACAAAUGCCAACACCAUGCCCUCUCUCUCCCGAAAAAUGCCAUUUGAUCCUCGAAAUGGACGUACCAUUGGCAAAUAAAUGCCCACAAAACUUACACUUCAUGCUUCCAUUAUUCAUAUCUUCAACUUCCUUCCAAAACGGAUCAUCUGAUCUACCCAUUUUGUCCUAUAGAUAAAAAGGGUCAAAAUAUUGAAUAAAAAUUAAUGGAAGUACAUUAAUUGGAAAAGGAAGGUGAAACUAAAAUAAGUUACAAACAGCAAAGAAAUUAAGAAGAAAAAACAAUGAAUUCAAGGUUAACUUGGGGUCAAUUUAAUUAGUAUGAACUCCAUAAGGCAUGGAUUGUUAAAACUGAGAAAGAUCAAAUUAUUUUUAUUUUUGGAAACUGUUGAUGAUCCUAACUCCAAAGUUUCUCAUUAGAAUUUCUACAACUUGUGGUUUCCUUGAAAGAUUCAAAUCAGAGUUACAUGUGAAAAACAAAAUGAAGAAGAUGGAGUAUAAAUAAUGUACCUGGAUUCAAGUUGUUCUUCAAGUGCUGGUUUGCUUAAGCAGUAUUCAGCAAAAAAGACAAGAACAGAGUAGAAUAUAUAGUUUAAAAAUAACAAGGAAGUUCCAAGAUGUUGAACUCCAGAUGAUUUGAUUCAAUCAGAAAAGGAAGCACUGAUCAUCAGAAAGUUUAAGAAAUUGGGAAUUUGAUGAGGGAAAUUGGGAAGUCAAUGGUAUAUGAGAUGAGAUGCGGAAGAUAAUGUUACAGUAGCAAAGAUAUUAUUCUAAUAAAUCUAUAAAUCAUGUUAAUUUUAUAAAAAAAUAAAUAAAAAUAAAUAUAUUAUCAAACCAGCCAAAUAUUAAAAUAAAUAAAAAUAAAUUUUAAAAAAACCAAAAAAAAAAAGUUGAAUUAUUUUGUAAUUUACAAUGAAAUAGGUGUGGAUAGAUAAUGAUUCUUCCACGUCUUUUAACUUUUCUUUUAAUAGAAAUUAAUAACCCUAUAAUAUUUUCCUCGAUGAUGUUGAAUGAUGCCAAAUUAAAACAUCUUUUUUAUUGCAAUAAAGUGAAACUUUUUAAAAAAUAUAAUAUUAAAAUAAACAUUGUUAUUUUAGUUUUUUUUAAUUAAAUAUCAUCGUUGUAUGUUCUUGGUUGACCUAGCAGUACCGUUUGUUUGGACUUUGAGCAGCAGUAGAUAUCUCCAGCGUACUGUUACCUGCAGGCUAGAAAAUGUAUGUUGCCGUUUUUUAGUUCACUAGAGAGAGGGCAGAAAGCCUUAAGAAAAUAAUUUCACAUUCUGUGUGGCAGAAACCUGAUUCCACCCAAAAACAAUAACACAGUAAUUGAAGCAAAUUAAAAGAAUAAAAGAAAAUAUAAAAUGAUUUAAUAGAGAACAAAUAUUAAUUUUCAAUGCAGAUUAAAAUAAAGCAAAGUGAAUAUUGAAAAAAGUACUUCAAUUCUACGAACAGCAGAUAUAUAGUUCAAUUCGAAGUUGAAUUCCCAAAAUUCCCACUUAAAGGGUAUAGAUAAUUAAAUCAACACUAAACCAAAUAUAACCCUUUUGAAAAACCAUUCAUUCAAUAGAAAAUAAUUAUCCCUAUUAAGAAAAUCCAAUGACGACAAUAUACUUAAGGAGCAAUAUUACAGCAAAGAAAUUAAAUCAAUACAGGUAAAUAAAUGAUCCAAAGAUUAAUUCAUUCAAUAGAAAAAACAUGACUGACUCCAUAAACGGCAUAAAUCUGAACAAAAGAGUUAGAAUAAUUGGAAAUCUGAACAAUUUGUGUACCCAUCACUGUAUUGGACAUUAAAAUUUCCCGAGAAGAUUUUUGCACCAAGCAUUCAUAGCCAUUCCUUUCCUUGCAUGUUCUCCUUCUUUCUUUUUCUUUCUCUGGUGUAAUUCCCACACGUCUUCUUUAUGCCAAAUACCCCUCUUUUCAAAGGAGGCAGCCCCACUUUUCAACCUCCUUUUUCAUCACGUCUCCGUGCUAUAUUUUAGGACUUCUUUGGCAGCCACGUACAUGCCCUAGGAGAUCUUUUUUCUUUUUUUUUUUAGAAGUUUAGGAGAUCUUUUUUCUGAAAUCCUCAUUAGAGGCUAAUUUGUAGUCUUUAAGAAACCUCGUCAACGCAAGAAUCACAACAAUCUGAUACGUGGGUAGAAAGUUAUGAUUGAAAUAGUAUCACUUGGGUAAAUUUGAAAGUAUAAUUGUGGUUGUUUUUUAAAAUAUUUUUUAUUUAGAAAUAUAAUAAGAUAAUACUUUUUUAUUUUUAAAAAAAUAUUUUUAACAUCAAUGCAUUAAAAUAAUUUUAAAACACUAAAAACAUAUUAAUUUAAAGCAAAAAUAAAAUUAAUUUUAAUUUUUUAAAAAAAUGUUUUUGAAACACAAAAACAAACAGGGUUUUAUCUUUUGAUGCUUACUGGUUUUCAAAAUGCGCUUAAGCUUUUAAAUGUAUUUUUACAUUUGUCUUUAGAAAUUAUCAAUUUGAUAAUUAUUUUUAGUGUUUUUUAAUAAUUUUAAUAUAUUAAUAUUAAAAAUUAAUAAAAUUUACAAAAAUUAUUUUUUUAAAAAAAAUUUUAAUAUACAUUUUAUACCACAAUAUCAAGUGAAAACAUAAUCCCAAUACCUUCACCAAUCAUAAAAAGGUUUUCAACCCAAUCAUGUUUUUUCCUCAUUUUAAAUACAAAAUAAAGUUCGAGUGAAGUAGGGUACAAUCUUAAAUGGUCCAAACAUUAUUGUUAUUUUUUUUUUUGGAUUUAAGUGGGUGUCCGGACCAGCUUGCGCGCACCACGACUAAUCUCACGGCCCACUGAACAUCCUGCAAACUCAGUGAGCAUGUAAGGCAUCGCGGGGGUGACAGACGUGCACGAUGAGGUUUGAACCCUGAUGGGGUGGAAAGGAACAAGCCUCUUCCACUACUAGGCCAAAACCUCAAUUGCAAACAUUAUUGUUAUUGUUAGAAUGUGACAGUGGUCCCAACAUUAGUAGUGUAGCAUGUGCCAUGUAUAUAUCAAUCUCUUGUGGUCCAAAAAUCAGGUUAUUGGUGUUUGAUGAAAUUAGUUGUCCCUAAAAAUAAAAUAAAAUCCUUUGUGAAUUAAUUAAUUACUCAAUUAAUCCCUAAAUUAGUUUUCUUGUUUUCCACAAAUUUUUUAAAAAUAAAAAUAUUUUAUUUGAUGUUUAGACCAUAGUUAUUAAAACCGGACAGGCCCGGUGGGUCGACCCGGGACCUGGUCGACCAGGUGGCUAGAUUGGUCCGAGUUUGUCAAAAGACAGGCCUGUGCAACGACCCAGUCAAACCUGGAUGAGACUCGGUUUUUUUUUUCAAAUGUGGGAUUUAAAACCCAUUAGUAUAUAUAUUUUAUGUUUCUAAAAAAAAGUUAUGUUUUUUUAAUGUGGAAUAAAAAACUUUUUGGAUUAAAUACUUUAACUUAAAAAGAUAACAUAAUAUCUUUUCAAUGUGGGAUUUGAAGUUCUUUGAAUAUAUACUUCAUGUUCCCAAGAAAAAAUUUAUGUUUUUUCAAUAUGAAAUUUGAAACCCAUUAAUAUAUAAUAUAUUCUUUGUUUCCAAGAAAAAAAUUAUUUUUUUAAUGUGGAAUAAAAUUUUUUUUUGAUUUAAAUACUUCAGCUUAAAAGCUUAACAUAAUAUUUUUUUUAAUGAGGGAUAAAAAACUUUUUAAAAUAUUCAUUUAAACUUUCAUUAUUUACAAUAUAUAUAGCCUAUAUUUACAUGGAUUUUUUUCUUACUUUUUUUCAUAUGAAAUAUUAAAACUUUAAAUAUAUUUUUUUAAAUUUUCUGGAUUGAUCCGGGUUGACCCAUAAAACCCAGGACAAACUUGUUGCAAUGCUGAAUCAAGUGCGUAUAACAGAAAAUAUUAAGUUAAAUAAUUGGUUGGAAUUGUUUUUUUGAGGAGUCAUCUCAAAAUUGAAAAAUAAAAACAGGAAAUAGAUCUUCAACACAAUCAUGCUUUUUAUUUAUUAUAAAUAUAAAAUAAAGUUAAAGUGAAGUUGGGUCCAAUCUUAAAUGAUCCAAACAUUAUUGUUAGAAUGCGACAGUCCAAUCUUAAAGGUUUUCAACACAAUCAUGCUUUUUUCCUUGUAGCAUGUGCCCUGUCUCAAGCUUCUGUGAUCCAAGAAUCAGGCUAUUGGGGUUUGAUGAAAUUAGCUGUUACUAGAAAUAAAAUAAAAGAAAAUCCUCUGUAAGGUAAUUAAUUACUCAAUUAAUCCCUAAUUAAUUAAAUUAGUUUUCUGAUUGUUCUUCACAAAAUUUCUAAGAAUAAAAAUAUUUUAUUAGAUGUCUUAGCUGAAUUCCAAACCAGCCUAUAAUAAAAUAAACAAAAAUAAUUUUUUUUUUUUUAAAAAGAGGCAAAACAUCUUUUAUACAGUGAUUCUCUCCCAAGUCUCUUAGCUUUUCUUUUAAUGAAAAUUAAUAACCUUAUAAUAUGUUCAUUGUGGAUGCUCUAUCAUUGCUAAAUUAAAGCAUGUUUUUUUUAUCUACAACUAUGUGAAACUUUUUUAAAAUAAAAAUAUUAAAAAAGAUAAUGUUAAAAAAAUUAUUAUUUUGGUUUUUAUAAAUAAAUGAUAUAAAAUAAUUAAUCAGUUAAUCUGUGAGUUGUGAGUCAACCAGUAAACUAAACUUUGAAAUACGUGUCUUAACUAUUCGUAAGCUACCUAUGAUUUGAUGUCAUGAGUAUUUUUCUUGAAGUUAUUCUAUUUUAUGUCAUGAAUGUUCUAUUGAGGAAAAAAAUAAAAAAAAAUCUACUUUUUUUUUCCUCUUCAUAAAACAUGGAUUUAAGGUAGGAAUCAAAAUAUAUUUUUUUAUUUUUAAUAUUAAUAUAUUAAAUUAAUAUUUUUAAAAAAAUAAACAGAUUUUUAAAUACACUCAAACGUAAUUCUAAGUACAAAAACAAAUUAUAUUUUGAUUGCGGGCAUAACAAUCAUGGCAGUAAGUACCAUGAUCCUUUCCAAUUGAGUAAAUUAUAGGACUUUUUUGGCAGCCACGUACAUGCUAUAGGAGUUCUUUUUAUUAAAUCAAUAUCAUAGUAAAACAAUUAAAUCAAUACAGAUAAAUAAAUGAUCUAAAUAUAAUCAAACAAUUAAUCCAUUUAAUAGAAAAAACAUUACUGAAUCCAUAAACUACAUUAAUCCCUUUUCUUUUCUUGUUUUUUCUUCUUCUUAUCUGGUGUAAUUCCCACACGUCUUCUUACUUGUUGAGUAUUUAAACCCCUAUUUUGACUUUGCAGGAUUUGAGGCAUUUGGCCUAGCAGUUUGAUUUUGCAAUCCUCGGACUUGGAGGUUAUCCAUCUGUGACCUAUAUAUAUACGAAUGAAGUGAUCAUAUUAUAAAACCUUUCUAUAAUUGGUAGUCUCUCUUAAGCAGUAAAUGUUAAUGGUAUUAAAACACAACAGCUGGAAGUCAAUCAGUACCUAGGCACGAAAUUCUCUUGUUGCACAUUGUCUAUGUUAGGAAUUACAGCAGCUUGAUCGACUUGCCCUUGAUUAGAAAGAAAUUGAAUCCUGAAUCCAAAAUCAGCAAAUACUAAAUAAGAAAAAUUGGAUAUCGGGGAGCAGGAAAAGAAGGUCCAGAUUGAUUGAAACCACCAUGUUGUGAAGUGGUUGCAUUCGGUGUCAUAUAGCCAGGUCCCGGCUGAGGUUGAUGAAUAAAGGAGUUCUGAUGCCUGAAUAAUAUUCAAAUAGUUAAACAUAGAACUGUUAUUCUCACAAAAAAGAGAGAUAGAGAGCUCAAAAAGACUUGAAAGAUCCUCGACCUCGCCAAUUUUGGUCAAGUUUAUUGUUUUCAUGAUUAAAAAAGUGUAUAUUCGAGGUUAAUACCAUUGAUUCAUUGGAGGUUGAGGUCCAGGUAGCAUCGCAGGUACUUGAUUGCUCAUAAUUGGUAACUGAUAAUUAGUCCAUUGUUGGUCCCUAAAUUAGCAACAUUUGUUAAUAAUAUCUUUAUACAUAUGCAUAAUCGUUAGCUAUUAAUCCACUAAGCAUUUGAUAUCAUUUUAGCUUACCUAUAUUCAAACAUGAUGAAUUUCAAUAUAUUUUUAAAAUAAUGAUGUUAAAUAAUGAACAUUUGAACAAGAAGAAGUUAAAUAAUGAUGAAUAUUAUGUACCUUGAUGGAGUUUGAGGCCAAUUUGGUUCAUUUUGGUUGAUCCAUGAUGAUGAUGUUCCAUGUAAAUCUCCCAUUGUUGUCUGUUUGUUUAACAAUAAACAUUUUGAAGAUGCUCGAGAUAAAUUGAUACACGAAAACAUAUAACUUUUUGAUCCAAUGGGUGAUACAAACACUUGCUAAUUCAGGGGACAUUGCAGCAAAUUGGAGUAGGCAUGAGCACUCACCAUGGUUUGAGGAAAUGAUGGUGGAAACAGAGUUGUUUGUUGAAUACUAUCGUUGAUCACAUUGUUAUCCACCACCAUGUUCUGUCCAUCUUGAUCAUUGCAUAAUAUGGAGCUUUGGUUGCCUGAAAACUCCGGUGGCGACCUGCUUAAUUUGUUAUUAGGAACAUUAUUCUUUUUUGGGAAUAAUAAGAAAAACUGUAGAAUAACUGAAUUGCAAGUAAUCAUCUUCUGACAAAAUAUGCUUAAGAAUGACGCACAAGAGAAGCUCAGAUAUAUUGAAUGAAUCUUCUUGUGAUUGAAAAUCGAACUGAUUCGAUGUCAAGUUGACAUCAUCCUCAUUACAAGACGGUGGGACUCCUUCCAUCUGAGGUUUAAAAAAGAACAGAAAGCACAGAUUAGAUGUGUGUGUGUCUAUAUAUAUAUAUAUAUAUAUAUGACUUAUUUAUUUGUUAAAGAGAUUCAGAUGAAAAAUAGGAAAUAUAAACGUUGCUGUUAAUGAUUUAAUUCUUUGUUUUAAUGCUAAAUUAUUUGUCACUUGUUGUAAACAAGUUUAAUGAAAGGUAAUUAAUUAAUACUGAUCAAGUUAAUUCAUGAAUCAGUAAAAAAACAAUUUCAUUGAAUCAUUAUGUCAGAAAAAUAUUGGAUAAAAAUUAAUGGCAGUCCCACUAAUUGGAAAAGAAAAGGGUGAAACUAAAAUAAAAAGUUUGUCGCACGUGUGCAGCGUUGCGGCAAAAACAUCCACUCUCAAAUCGUUAUUUAAUGUGGCAAAUGUGAGGAGACAAGGAAUUCUUGUUUUUUAUUAGUGAAAAAAUAAAAUGGGAGUCACCACCUAGUAUUUUUGUAAUUAGGAACUCUAACUGGUCUCAGAGAUCAAGUAUGGGGACUGUUUGCGUAAAUGGAAGGUUUUAGCACCCAAAAUACGCCCUACCUAAAGUAAGCUGCAUUGUUUAAUUGUUUGAUAAAAUCUAAGGUCUUGUCGUGUUUUUUAGUUGUUGGUUCGUCUAUAGAUUUUAAAAAAAAAUCAUCUUCAGUAAAGAGAUCCUUAUCUUAUUGGGUAUGACCUAACUGUUUUAACGUCAACAAAAGAAUUUUAAUAUCCGGAAUACAUCUUACAUAUAAGAUCAUAACCCUAGAUAUUAAAGGAAAACAAAAUAAGUUUUUUUGAAAUUUUUGAAAUAUUGGCCUAGUUCUCGUGACUUUAAUAAACUGGUUAUUAAAGCCAAAAUGCAUGUUAAUAUAAAUUUUUGAAUCUUUGUUGUAUGAAAAUAUGAUAUGAUUUUUUUUUUUUUUGAAAGAGUAGACCAUAUGCAUGAAAACAAAAAAUAUAUUUUUUAUGUUUUUAUCAAAAACCGGGUAUUUUAAUAUCAAAUUUAUAUCUUUACAGUAUAAAAAUACAAACCAAUAUUUAUUAAAAUACAAUAGAAAAAUUUGCAAAAAUCACUAAUUUUUGAAAAUAUUUAUUCUAUUUUAUUAUAAUUAUUUUUUUUAAACUGGGCCCAUCUCAGCACAUGUGGCUGGGCUGAACCCAACUGAUUUCUACCCGCAAGCGUGCGUUAACAAUUCACGCACGCCUGCUAUGGUGUAAUUAAUCUUCAAGUGCACAGUGUUUGUGCAUUGUCUGAAAAAUUGGAGAAGCUUACCUGGAAGCAACGAAGGCAACAACAAGCGACCUCUAUCUUCUUCUUUUCGUUUGUAAAUUCUGGUUCAACUGGUUUCCCUGUUUUCCUUUCCUAUUCUUCUUUCUCCUCUCUCGUUCUCCCCACUGUCUCGUUCUUUUUUCUUCUUUUUUUUUGCUGUGUUUCUGCCUUGUUCUUUUUUCUUUCCCUCUCUAUGUCGUCUUUGUCUCCCUCCUUCAACGUUCUCCCCUCUCUGCACUGACUUCGUGGUGGUGCUGCUGCGCUCGUUGGUUCACAGUGGCGGCUUCGCGGUUGCAGAUGAAGAUGACAGUGUGGAAGGGCUGAUCCACCAACACCUCUCCUCUCUCCUUUCUUCCUCUUCUGUCCGUUCUCCCCCCUGUCUUUCCCCUCUCUCGCUGUCUUUUUUUCUCUGUCAUUCUUUGCUGUCUAGUUCCCUCUGUCCCCCCUCUGGUUUUUCUUCUCUCCCUCUCUGGUUCUCUCAAACGUCCCCUGGAGCUGCUGCCUGAAGAUGAAGACGAAGUUGAGGGUGAUCAGUGCUGUGAUCGAGCGACGUUUUUUUCUUUCCUUCUGCUACUGUUUUCAUUCCUGCACUCUUCUUCUUUGUUUCUGAUUUUCUGAAAUGACGAAGACAAUGGAAACGCUGGUUCUGAUCUCAAUGAUUUCCUCUGUUUACAUUAUUUCCUUCUGCUUUUCUGAUCCUCUUUCUUCCCGGCUCCUCCCUCCUUUUCCUUCUCUCGUUCUCCCCUUUUAUAGCCAAAACUGCAUACGUUCAGGACCAUUAUUGCAGUGGUAACGGUAGAUAAAUAAUAGCUGUGAAACGUUACCAUAAUCUGUGGCAUUUGUUGCUGAAAACGGUUCCUGUUUGCUGAAACGGCUGCUUUGAAGAGGGUGAUGAACAGUGUCUAAGGAAACGGCGCCGUUUCACAAUUCAAAUGAAUAUUUUGGAUUCGGUCCCUGGUUGUUUUGACAAUUUUGUAGUCAAGCCCCCCGGAUGAAUUGUAAUUGGAUCCCUUUAUUUUAGCCCCUUUUUCCGGUUUGGUCCUUGGUUUCUGAUUGUUUUAAUUAAAUCCCUAAUUGACCAUCAAACUUCAAUAAUUAUGCAAUUAAACCCCUGAUUUGACCAAAUCAACUCUUUAAAAUUAUAAUUGGACCCUAUAACUUUAAUUACUUUCAAUAAAAAUCUAAAUUGACUUAAAAAAUCAAUUUUCUUGCAAUUAAACCCUUCAUAAAUUCAAUUAAACCUUGAAUAAAAUUUAAUUGAGUACAUAAACAUUUUAUUUUGGACUUUUCUUUUUCAACUUAAAUUUUCUUUGUCAAGAGACUCUUAUCAGUAGAAAAUAUAAAAUAUAACAUCAAAUUUCAAUUCUUAUAUUUCUGAACCUCCUCAACUAAUUUUUAGGUAUUUUGUGAGCGUUCAGCGUCAUUUUCUUACUCUUGUUAUUAUUAUUAUUUUUUAUUUUUUAUGAAUUUUUUUUUUAUUAUUAUUUUUUAUAUGGAACCCAAAAAUGAGGAACAAUAAAGUUAAAAACAACAAAGAAUUUUGAAAAGAUUAAAACAAUGAGUUCAAGGGUUUAGGGUUAUAUAAUUUAGUACGAACACCACAGGGCAUGGAUUUUAAAAUCCGAGAAAAAGAUCGAUUUAUUUAUCAUGGAUUUCUUUAAAGAUUUAGAUAUAGAAAAAUAAAAACACCAACAAGAUGAAGUACAAAUAAUUUACCUGGAUUCAAGAUGUUCUUCAAGUGCUAGCUGGUUUGCUUCAGCAGUGAUCAGCCAAAAGAAAAGGAAGAGAAAUCACAGAUCAGAGAAGAAUAUAUGGCUUAGAAAAAUAAUAAAGUUGCAGUUAACAUAAAUCUAGUUCGUACUGAUCAUGGGAUGUGGAAAGGAAAAAAGGGAACUCUAUUAUGAAAUGAGAUGUGACGUGGAAGAGAAUGUUAGGUCAGCUAAAUAAUAAUUAAUUAACGUAUUGUUUGACAGGAAGGAAAUUGCCAGGAAGCAACCCCCGCCUACCUACCAAACAUUAUAUUAUAAGAUAUAGAGAGUUAACGUGUGGACCCACCCCAAUGUUCAAACUUUAAAUGAGCUGCCAUGAAUAUGUAAACACACGAAUAUGAGAAAGAACAGCAUAUUUCUGCAUGUGUGAAGUUGUUUCUGAUAAUAUGUUUUAUUUAAAAAUAUAUUAAAAUAUUAUUUUAAUUUUUUUUAAUAUCAACAUAUUCAAAUAAUUCAAAAAAAAUAAAAAUUUUAAAAAAAGAUCACUGCGACUGUAAAGACAAACCAGCUGUGACUAUACUAGCAAGUGUUAGAUUGAUAGCAAAGACGAAAGCAUACCAAUGCAACAAUCACAUUCUCAAAUAUUCAGAUUUUAAAAAAGCAUAUCCAAAUAUAGUUUUAAAGUUGUGUCAAAUGCAGAAUGCUUUAAUUAAUACGAGGAAACUCUUGUUUAUAAUAUAGUUUUACACAGGGACCCGUUAUAAAUAAUUUGGUGUUAUAAUAACAAUUAUUUUUUUAAGUAUUUUUUAUUUAAAAAUAUAUUAAAAUAAUAAUUUUUUAUAUUUUAAAAUUUAUUUCUGAUAUUAACAUAUUAAAAUAAUAUAAAAAUAUCUAAACACUAAUUUAAAAAAUAAUAAUUUAUUUGCCUGGUACUGGGCUUCCUCGGGACACAACGCUGCACUUCCUUAAAUGAAAAUAUUAAAGUCGGUGUGUGCAUCAGACCUCAUCCUCAAUUGACUCCGAUUGUUGAAAUAACUUAAUCUUCUAAUAAAGUUUGUUUUUGAAUAUAUAUUCUAUCCUUACUAAAUUAUUAGGAAGUAACAUUAUAACAUUUUUAAGUCUGCUUAAUUUAUUUGGUUUAAGAUACUAUUUUAAUAUAGUAUUAGAUAUUUAAUAACUUACGAGUUAAUUACUUAUUAAGAUAAUUCAAGAUUAAUUAUUUUUAUUAAAAUAAUAUUAUUUCAUUUAUUUCUAUUAACAUUGCUAAAUAUGAAGUAGUUUGGUUUGAUUAGAUGAUUCAAUUACAAAUCCAAUCUAAAUUAAGGUUAAAAUUUUGAGUUUUUUAAAAUAAAUCAUCAAACUAGACAGGUUUAACAACUAAUAUAUAUAUAUAGAUAUAUAUAUAUAUAUAUAUAUAUAUAUUAUUCAACCAAAUAAUUGCUUGUGACAUAUAUGUGGCGAGCUUCCUAGCACUACAAGAUUUCACAGUUUUACCGACGGUCAUAUUCCGUCGGUGUAUGAUUGAGAGUUCGUCUGUAAAUUAUUUAUCGACUCAAUUACCGACGGAAUACGCCCGUCGGAUUACCUUUUGUCGGUGAUUCCACAUUCCAUCGCUAUAUCAGUCGGAAAAAAAAAAUGUACAUGUCGCACGUGUGCGGCGGCGCGGCGAUCGUCCACCCCCAACCCUUCAUGAGGGUGUGGUAUGUUGUCUAUUUGGCAUGGAAAAUAUGGUGAGACAAGGAGUUCUUUGUCUCUAAGCUAAAAAUGGACAGCGAGUCGCCACCUAGUAUUCUGGUUACUAGGAACCUUAACUGGUCUUUAGAGAUCGGGUACGGAGACUGGUUGCGUAAAGGGAAGGUAUUCACCCAACUACGCCCUACCUAAGGUAAGCUGCAUUGUUUUAAUGUCUGAUAAAAUCCAAGGUCGCGUUGUGGUUUUUUAUUGUUCGGAAUACGCAUUACAUGUAAUGUCAUACCCCAGGUUCUAUUGUCCAAAAAAAAAGAGGAAUUAAAUAUCUGGAAUAUGCAUUACAUGUAAAGUCAUACCCCGGGUACUAAGAGACAAACAAAAUAAAAUUUUUGUUGUUUUUGAAAUAUUGGCCAAUAUUCUCUUGACUUUGAUAAACUGGUUAUUAAAGUCAAAAUGCAUGCUAAAAUAUUUUUUUUUGGUGUAUGAAAAAAAUACAAUAUGAAUUUUUAGCUUUGAGACACUUGGCCGUAUGCACAAAAACAUUUUUUUUCUCUUUUUUUAAUUUUUUUGUAUUUUAUGGAAGUUUUUUUUUUUGACGAAAACCGGGUAUUUAAAAAUCAGAUUUUUGUAUUUUUAACAACAUAAAAAAAAAACAACCAAAUAUUAAUCAAAAUGACAUAAAAAUUACGCGGAAAAAUUAUAAAAUGCUGAAACAAAUAUUUUUGAUUUUUUUCUUUGAAAUGGGCCGGAUCAGGCCUAAAUAUAUGGGCUGGGCCGAACAUGGCCCAAAGAAAUGGGUUGGUUACUGUGCACAUAGUAACCGGGUUACUGUGUGUACAGUACAGAGAAUUAAUCUACGGGCAGUAACUCGCUAAUUAAUCUUCAUCUGCUGCACGUAAACGUUCUGCAUGCAGAUGAAGCCGAACCAAAAAAAAACGACGGGAAAGGCUACCUGGAGCGGUGGUGAUGUUGGCAGCAACUGAUGUGGCAGGGGUGGCGGCGGCGGAACUGGCUGUUCACGGUGGCCGGCGGUGCUGUUUUCCUCUCUCUCUCUCCUCUGUUUUACAAUCUUCUCUUCUUCUUCUUCUUCUUCGCUCUCUCUCCCUUCUCUUCUCCUUUCUUUCUCCCCCCUUCUUUUUUCCUUCUGUUCUUCCUCCAUUUAUAGCCUGUGAGCAUGUGUUUUUUUUUUUCAUCGUGGGGUCAUGCGGCGGCUGGUCGGGAGUGGCUGUCCAGGCGGUUCUCCUCAGUUUCGGCGGUGCGGUAGGCGGUCGGCCAAUGUUCUUCGUCGGUGGGCUAGGGACUGGCGGUCGGUGGGCUGGAGGGACCAACGCCAUUAAAUAUACAUCUUUUUCCUUCUUUACUGCUGUAUGUUAGGCGGGGAAGAAAGGGGAACAGUGCCGUUCAAAACGGCACCGUUUAGCCCUUUUCUGUUUUUUUUUUUUUUUUUUUUUUUAUUAUUUUUUUAUGGGGACCCAAAAAUGGGUUACAACAGUACCGACGGUUUUACAGAUGGAAAAUGCGCGCUAAAAAAAAAAUUUCUUCUUGGAAUAUACCGACGGAAAAUACUCUGUCAGUGAAAUUCUAAUUACCGACGAAAAAAAUCCGUCAGUACAUUGGUCGGUGUGUGUUUGAGAUACCGACCUAGGUAUGCAGACCUUGUAGUCAAGCCCACGCCCUUUAGCGUGGUUUUGCUUUUUAAAAUUUUAGACCGAUGCAUCAUUGGUUGUUUGUAGAAUCUAGCGAUGGAGGGUUCCUGGAAAAACAAGACUAUGGUUUUGUUUUUUGCUAAAAAUCUGUUUUUCAACCCAAAACAUCUAGAAAAUAUAAUAAACACCUUGAUGAAUCUAUUUAUGGUCUUAAACAACCUAAAAAAAGCUCAAAAAUCUAAAAUCAACUCAAACCUGAAAAUCUUCUUGUUGAGAGGUCUCCUUCAUCAAGUACGGAAAAAAAUAAGAAAAAAACACCUAGGUAAAACUUCCUUGAUCAAAUGAAAUCCAUUAACACCAAGAUUGACCAUUUUGGUAGUCGAAAUAGAAGUCAAUAAUAACAUUUUCUCUUUACAUCGGAAUCCAGCAAAUCUCUCUCUUCUUUUUAUAAACAAAGGACUAAAAAAAAAGUUUGGUACCUAAAUUGAAUUUCUAACAACUAAAGAGAUAAAUCACCUCUUAAUUAAAACAAUUGGGGACCAAACUAAGCUUUUCAUAUGAAAUUUGAAGUUGCCACCUAUUUUCCCCAUGUUUUUCACUUUGAUCAUCUUUCUUUUAAUUCAACCAUUUCUUCAUAAAAAAGAAGCAACUUGCUAUUAAUUUGGGCUCAAAAGGGUGCAAUAGUGCAUGCUAAAAAAAUUGAGGAUCAAAUUGAGAAUUUUAAAAAAAUUAAUUGUUUUAAUCCAUAAUAAUUUGUGAAAGAAUGCACAGUAAAGAGAAAAAACAUCACACAGCUUUGAAACACUUUAAUGUGUUGACUGAAAUUGACAAGUGAGUUUACUCACAUAUUGUUAUAUUGGUUUUGAGUUCAAAUAGACGUUUAAAAAGGGAGUUUUUCAUGAAUACAACCCUUCAUGUAUUCAAUAUGAAUGAUGGGAGAUUUUAAUGUCUUGUGAAUGCAUUCAUUUAUAUAUGGAUGAUUUUGCUAAUAAUUGAUUGGUAAAAUACUUAAUUUCGUUAUAUAAAAACCAAAGAGAGAAUAAUAAAUAGCUAAGAAUUGAAAUGCAAAAACAUAAUUUGCAUAUAACACUAAGUUCUGCAACCAUUUCUCUACUUUCUAUGCUCUUGGCUUGCUAAAAACUAAAAAAAAGACAUUGCUCUAGUUGCCUGCCUUCACUCUUCAGAUUGCUCAACAAAUCCCUUGAGACCUUCUCCAUAGUUAACACAUCACAUAAUGGCUAUUCUAAAAAAAUUAGCCAUAAGCAUUGAACACCUUGAGCAAUCAACGUGCCUUCCUUCACAAUAUCCAUCACCCAUAAAUCUUUCUUUUGGGAUGUCGUCGGGAGUUUAAUCUUCGAGUGUAACAAUUAUGUAUAAAUUUCCAUUCUUUCCUUCCAUCCAUUACUUGUCCUCUAUGAAGAUUCUAUUUAUGAAGUCUCGGAAUCUUUUCGAGUAUAACUUGGGAUCAACAGCUGAGAUAGACAUGAGAUCCACUUGUAAGGACUUGUAUGCAUGCUCUAGCUGUUUGCUGAUAUCAUAAUCCUGGAGGAUGUCAAUGAUACCAAAGUGAAGAACUACAUUGAAGAUCUCAUUACCAUUAUGUGAAGGUGUUGAAUUAUUACUUCCACCCCCCCAUGCACUUAUCCAUUUUAGUAGUCCUCAUUACACGCUCGGCUCUUGCAGGCACAUUUGCCCCCAGCCAGAUGAGUGGCCCCCUGGAAUAGAUUUCAUAUGAGUACUACAAGCAUGCAACGCCAGAUAAAAUCUUGACAUUGCAUCACACAAUCACCAAAAUUCAAAGUAACAAAACGAAGAACAAAAUUUGAUAACAAUGACAAUGAUCACUCAACCACAACCGAAUCUUAUGCUUUAAAGACACUUUUCAUCAUUAAUUUUCCUUUUCACAUUGAUUUUCAAUGUUCCAGACAGAUAAAAUAGCAUUAAUUUACAACCAUGGUUUUAAGGCAUCAUUAUUGGCAAAAACAUUGUAGGACAGAGCAAACUUAAAGAUCAAUACUUCAGUUGUCAAUCACAUUAAUAAUUUAUAUUUGAUCGUCUGAAAGGGCCUAGAAUAGGACCAGGUAAAAGUUUGUUUCUAUCUAAGAAAGCAAGAAAGUCUCCACAAACUACCCCCAAUUUCGCCACUACAGCUCAAGUAGCUUUGAGUCAUUCCAACAAAUUGGAAUUGAAUUCAAAGGAAUAAAUCAUUAAAUGCAGGGCUCCUACGUGGGAAAGGGAAAAUGAUUCACUAUUAAAAAAAGAAAGCUCAAACACAAAUUAUAGCUUCACUUUUUGUGAAUUAUAUCUCAUAUUUCUUUGACUAUAUGUGGAUGAUUUAUUGAUAUUUUAAGAAAGAAGCAAUCUUCAUUGCUUUUCAAAACCAUACUAUGGGUCCAUAGGCAACUAAAGUUAAACAUGUGGCACAUGUGAUUAGUACUUAAAAGUGCAUAUUUAUCAAGGUUUUGUAUCAUCAUUUUGCACUUAAAGUAUCAAUAACUCCUUAACUAAAGCAUGUUUUAUAAUAAUAAGUCUAAUACUAUAAAAUGCCCUAAUAUAUGGUAAAUGUUUAUCUUAAAUAUAGGCAUAACACAUAAAUUAAAGGAUUGAUUGAUGAAUUCAACUACUGAAAUUUUGAAGAUAAAGAGAAGGUGAAACUUAGAAAAGAGAUGUUGGUGCAGUCCAAACUGGAACACUGUUUGGUGUUUGGGUCAUAUUUCGAGUUCUAGAUGUCCAAAUGACCUCAAAGUUUUACACAAACUUGGUGAGACAUAGGCCUACAACUUUCAUGUGAACAUAAAAAUCCAACAAGGCCAUUUUCAAGUCCAAAUCAUAGCAACAACGGAGAAGUCCGAAUCUGUCCUGCAGCCCGAACACUGUUCAGUGUUUGGCCCAUAUCUGGAGUUCUAGAAGUCCAAAUCACCUCUAUUUUUUUUUCCUGGAAAGCUGAGUCAAUUUCCUACAACUUUCAUGUUUUCCAGAGGACCCAGUUCGGAUGGUAGCAUUUUUGUUUUAUUCAGACAAGAAGAUAAGGAUUUUCACCAAGUCAAAAGUUGGCCACCCACUCAACAAUUAGUCAUCAAAUCAAUAAUUCCGAAUUUUGGCCUAUAAAAGGAGGCAUUUGCCAUGUAUUAUGGGGCUUGGUUGUUCAGAUCAAGCUCAUGCUCUUUAUUUCUCUCUUUAUAUUUUUUGUAAUUUUUAAGUUUUGCUUUCAUUAAUAUCUUGUUUAUGCUUUUCAUUUCCUUUCCUUUACUUAGUUAACUUGUAUUUUCUUUAUGUUCUUGUUUUGUUUAUUUAUGUUUCUCUUCUUCAUUAUGUUUAGCUAAGUUUAUUAUGUUAAUGUGAAAAGGUUACACUAAUGGUGUAAGAAUAAAUAUAGUGUAAACUCAACAUGGAUCUUAAUGUUUAAUAUUAACAUGUCUUAUCUUUUUAUCUUACUAAUUCUUAAUACCUUGCUUGUUAAAUGGUUAAUCUAGAUUUGUGUUGUAUAAUAUUUGGUACAACAAAUGCUUGACACUCUCAUAGCCUAACAAUAUGGUAUUACAUACACCUGGGCUAUGAAAGGAACUUGAUUUGUUGUUAACAUCAAUUAACAUCAUGAAUUCAUGACAAUAUUUAAAAGUUUGGUGUUAUGUAAAUAAGAUAAUUAAUAUGAUCAUGUUAAUAAUUUAUAAUGAGUUAUUAAUGACAAAUCAUCUGAUUGGAACCUCCCUCGUGUGUGGUUUCCAAAUUGAAUAAUAAAAGUUUAUACUAUACUUGUUAAAAUACCAUUGGUGAAUUGGUGAAUCCUCUAACCUUGACAUUUAUUUUAUCAUUGUUUAAUCCUUACAUUAAUCUUUUUAUCUCAAAGUUCUCAUUAAUUUCUUUAUCUUCUUCUUUUAUUAUUAUUAUUAUUAUUAUUUAUAUUCUAUUUAUAUUAUAUAAUAUAUCUCUUUGAUCUUCUCAUAAACUCAGUAUAUAGGCUGGAAACCUGUGACCUGAUCUUUUAGAUCAUUCUCAAGUGUAACAACGCCACAUACUGAGUAUUAUUAUUAUUAUUACUAUUAUUGCUAUUAUUGUUAUUAUUAUUGUUAUUGUUGUUAUUAUUAUUGUUGUUGUUAUCUUGUUAUUUAUAAUUUAUACAAUUAACCUCUCUGUGGUUCGACCCCGGUCUUGCCGGGUUAUUUAUUACUUCGACACUCCUGCACUUGGAAGAAGAUAUCAAUCUUUUGGUCGUGUCAACAUGCCUUGUAGAAAAGAAGAUGCCACACAACUUCAGGGCCCCAACAUUUAGACUUUUGAUGGAACCAAAGCUAAAUUUAAAAACAGGACCAUCUGAGAAGCCGGCAGACAACAACAAGUCAAAGAUCCAAUUUCCAAAAAUAGACUAUGUAUCAUGUAGUUUAACAUCUCUAAGCAUAAUCUUUGCGAUAAUCAUCUAUCCUUGACGAUUCAUAUGUUUCAUCACAGUUCUCUGUCACCACUUCACAUGCACAUAUUCCCAAAAAAGAGAUAGCAUGGAAAAAUGUCUUUGCUUGUCGUAAAAAAUACAAAGGCUAAAACCUAACAUAGGGAAAAUAGAUUUGGAAAAAGGAAAGCAGAAACAAAGCAAGGCACUAACAAUUAGGAGGGGCAAAAACAUGAAUUCAGAAAAGGAAAAUACAUAUUGGCCUUCCAUGACCCAAUCCAUAUUGGGCAGCAAAUGAUAACCCCGCAUCGAUGUUUCCUCGUGUUGUGAAUUUCUUUUUUUAUGAUACAGAAACACAACCAAAUUAGCUCAAGGUCGAUUAUUGUAAAUUUUUAAGGUAGCGGAAUUACAGGAUAAAACAAACUUACCAAAAUGCUUGUCAUUUGGCGACAUCAUCUCCUCACUAGAGUAAUCAUCACGGAUGUGAAGACCAAUUAGAAGACUAUAAUCCAUAAUUCUCUUUGCUUCUAAGAAUUCACAGUCCCUAUAAAUUUGACUGAGAAAGAAAGAACAUAAAACAAACACAUGUUUACCUCUCAAGAUUAGUGCCUUACCAAAGAACAAGAUAAAGGAUGCAAAACUUGGAACAAAAUGAAAAAAAGUGCAAUGAUGUGGAAUCUAUCUAAUGAGUUCAUUAAACCAUGACCAUUCCAGGUCCUUAAGUGUGGUUGUUUCAUGAAUUUCACCCUCAAGCUUGUCAGUUUGGCGUCCAUGAGAAGGACCUUUCAUUAAGCAGACUUAAAGAUUAAUGCUUUAGUUUUCAAUCACAUUAAUAAUGUAUAUUUCAUUGUCUAAAACGGACUGGAAUAGAACAGGAAAAAGUUUGUAUCUGAUGAGAAUUAUAUAAAGUAUAUUUUGAAUUUUAUUUAUAAAUUGAAGUUUUUGAGUGAAAUAAUUUUUUUAUAUAUUAUCAAAGUUUUAUUAAUUAAGUGAUUAUAAAUUUAAAUUUUACAAUUUUUAUACUUAUACUAUGUAAUAAAAAUUAAACAUAAAACAUUAAAGUUACGUGAAAACCAAAAGCGGCAUGGGUUUUGACUAGUUUCUUUCAAGUACCAGGAAUAUUAUUUAUGAGAAAAAACAAAACCUAACGGAUCAUACCAAUAAACAGGCAUUCUAUCAUUGGUGGCGCAACAAAACUGAAAGGAAACCACACACUCAAUUUUAUCGCCUAACAAAUAAAUAAGAUCAACACCACAAUGUUGAUGAUAUAAAGAGACCAUCUGACACAAAAGAAAAAUCCAAAAACUUACAGAGAAUUCAAUCAUGGAUAUAAUAAGCUUGCUCAAAAGUAGUGUUUUUUGACAAAUGAAUCCCCCCUCCCAGGGCCCACCCAUUCCCAACCCACCAAAUGUAAUUGAAAAUUAAAAAAACUUAAUUCAAGGUUGAUUUCCGAGAUAAAAUAUUUAUUUAUUUUCCAUGGAUCCCUCAUUUUGUUUCAGUUUUCAGUUUUCAAUUUGUAUCCGUAUCUAAAACAUUUCUUCCCCAACCAACCACACAGACAUGCACAGAAAGAGGAACCAAAAAAUAUAUUGAAACAAAAUCUACACUCGUUCAACUCUGCCCGGACCCCCUCCCAAACCUGGCAUGCUUGUUAAGGUAAGUAUGACAUCCUAACCACACCCCCUAUGCUCUAAUUCCACAGCAGCAACCUUCUGCCCUUUCAUGCAUAAGUGCAAUCAAAAUAACAUGAAUGUUCGACACUUUGGCAUUUGUAUUCAUGUAAAUGUCUGCAUGAAUACCAUGUGUUCAAACUUCAACACAAAACUUCAUAUAAUAACAUAACUUAAAAACUCUUAGAUGCGAUCUUCGAGAACCCAAACCAAGUUCCUUAUGUUCUUCCUUAUUUAACUACGAGAUCAUCAGUAUGCUGAUGAAUUCAUGACACAACCUUGAGCAUUUGAGAUUCAAACCGAGUUGUAAAUUUGACAAGACAAACACGGACAACACUUUGACUUGCAUGGGUAUUUAAUUGUAUGUCUAGAACUUAGUCAUACAUCUUUCAGCUUCAAAGAAAUUGACCAAAGAGAUAAACUGACAUGCAGCUGUAAAAUGGUGAACUGCCACACAACCUCGCAUGUCCUUUUUUCCACAGCCUCGUACAAUAGAAAGAAUUGCAUUCACAUAGUAUUUAGGCUUUACUUAAUUAGCAAAACAGCAGUACACCUGGUAAGGAUAUGCAGAUAGGGAUUGUUCUGCCAUGGUAGAAAAAAAUGAGCCAAGAUACUUCCAAGAAAUAUACAAGGAAAUGGGCAACAGUGUGCACUCUGCAGAUAGGUAUUUUUCCAAGGAAAUAUAUUAUCCAGCACAUAAAGAUUAUAACUCAUAUCAUGAAAUCCAGAUAUAUGGGAAGAAAGAGCAAAGUAUAUGGUAAAAGAAAAAAACUUUAUAGUUGAGAUAUGACAGGAACAUACCUUCCAGAACUAUGAUAUCUGAGGAUCAGUUUCCUUGUAGCCAUUGUACUCAGUGUGUGCCUUCCAAUCUUCCACACAGAUAGCAUUUUCACUUCCAUAUAGCAUCCAAUCGAGAUCCUCAAGCUCUAAACUCUGGAAGAACAGCUUCUGUAGCCCAGAGUUUAAAAGAAUAUCAGCAAAACCACGUGCAAAUCUAGAUACUGGUUCAGAGAUAGAUGUGACAAAGCGAUGCUGAAUGAGAAGAUCAACAUAUUUCUCCCGAUUCUUGCUAUUUACAACAAUACUCUUCCCACCAGGGCAAAGUUCCACAACUUUCCUGGAUCCUAGUUCCUCAACUUCUCUAACGAAUGUCAGACUCAAAGCAUCUGAAUCAAUGAACUCAGGAUCCAUCUGCAGAAUCUGUUUGCAAUUGCUAUACAAGCAUGGAUCUGCAUCCCGUAUGUCUUCCAAAGUAAUAUGCAUCCCAGCCAAUUGCAAGAAAAAUGCCCGAUCAAAUACAAUGCCGACUUGCACUUUAUACAUCAAAGCUAAAGCCAUCACUCGACCAGAGAAUGUGAAAUACUCAGGGUGCCUGGGAUCCACCUUGGAUGCUGCACAUAAAAUGAAUACAAUGAAGUCCAUAUAUAUACUUUUGUUUGUUAGUGGUUAUCCAUGCCAACAAUUGAAUCCAAGCAAGAUGAUGCAACUUAAUUCAAGUCCAGAAACAGAAGACAAUAACAAACCUCAAUUAUGAUUCUUUGAAGAGGUAUUUCAGAAAUAACCAAUUGCAAUUUUAAUGCAGUGGAAGAAUUAGACAUGUUAAUCCCCAAAGGAACCAAUAACAUAUUAGUGAAACACGGAAUUCAGGUAACAGAGUUGGAGAAACAUGGGAAAUAUUCCUGUAUAAUAACCCUAGGGACUCAGGUACUUCACAAUAAAAUAUUUGUGACACACAAGGUUCAGGAAUUUUCCCUUAACAAACCUUUGCUAGUGAGCCUAUUGUACAGGAUGUAAUGCCCUUAUCCCACAUCCAUCAGGAACUCACAUGGUAAACAACUUUUCUACAUAUAAAUGUUAGAGAAAGAACACUAAGAGAAUGCAGUGAAUGAUCUCUCGUACAGUUAAAAUCCAAGCAAUAUUAGUGAAAUAUCUUUGAUUAAGGUCACUGAGAAGGUUCACCGCGUUAAGCCACCCAGUAUUACAUCAAGUGUAGGAAAACUGUCGAACUUCUAAAAAAUGUUAAUUCAAUCCUGACUAUGCCUAAAAUUGAAUAUUAAAUGUCACAUUCUCCAGAUUUAGGUGUAACACUUCCAGAUGUCCUCCCACUAACAUAUAUCAAAAUAAUGAAGAAUAAUAGUCCAAUGGUUGUAAGUGAUUGAGACAGCAUCGACACAUAUUAAUGUCAACUCAUAUAAACUGUUGGAGCUCUCCACCACCAUUUAGUGAAUGUUUACUUUCCAGUGUAAAUUAAAACAAAUACUCAGCCCACAAUCUGAAACAUUAGACACACGGCAAUGAAAACGUAUUGUUUACAUAGUCAGUAUUACCUGGGAAUAAAAAUUCAGUUGAGAAAAGAGAAAAUCCAACUUACAGAAUAAAACAUUCACGAACCUAAUUGCAACUGUUGUUCAAAAAAAAAAAAAUCCUACUCUCAGAAAAACAUGAACGGUUAAUUACAUGAAGUUUCACCCCAACCAAAAAUCAUUACUUCAAUCCUAAUUUCGACUUCCAAAAUUAAUUUGGGUGAAACAAUUCCAGAUGAGCUCAUCUCACCCACUAGCAACAUAAACUAAAUGACGUACAGGUGCUUCUUGAAUGGUUGUAGGUGAUGGAUACAGCAUCAUUACACAUUAAAUGUAAGUUCCUAUAGAUUACAGGAACUGCACAUUUUGUUCAUCUGAGUAAAUUUUUAUUAUCCAGUGAGAAUAUAAGCAACAAUGUUCCAAACUCUAUGCUAGAGUGACACAUUAGACACAAGGCAAUCCAAUAUAUUGUUUAACCAUUCGUAUCAUCAAAAACUAUAUUCAAUUGAGAAAAGAGAGAACCCUGUAGCAUUGUUCAUGUAAGGCAUUCAUGAUUAGGGUUUUCUCGUUUUGUUACCAGGAUUGGUAACCCUAUAUCCAAUCAAGAAAAGAGAAAACCCAAUAGCAUUCAGGCAGCAGAAACUUACCAGGAUUAGGAUAGAACCUUCUGCGAUCACUUGGGCAUGCCACAAAAAGAGCUUUUUGAGGAUCAAAUAGAGCUUGUGUAACCAAGAAAAACCACUCCCGCAAUACACCAGGACCAGUAGCUUCCUCAUUUUUAAAUUCCAGAAAUAGACCACCAUGCAGUGCAUCUGAGUCGGCAUGCACUAUGUACUCAAAUGACUCUGACAACAAUUGUGACCGAUCAAUGAGCAUCUCGUGAAGCUCCUCGUAAUCUUCUUUCACCUCAGGGAACAUCAUCAUAGCCAAAUGCCUCCUAGACUCAAAAUCAGUCACAUCCUUGUUCCGAAGAAGCCAUUGAUGAUCUUCAGUUCUUUUUGCAUAUCUAACAAUCAGCGCACACAAGGAAGCCUUUCUAAGUCUCAAAACUGUCCAAAACUUUUCCUCAGCACCCUUAUAGAGUUUAGCAAUGUUAUUCAACUCCUUCAAAAUAGCCAAAUAUUGAGACCACCUGUAUGAUUCAACUCACCCUCUCCAUUCAUUUUCAAAUUUGAAGAAUUCUGCAUUUUCCAAGACAUUUCUCCAUAAUAUUCAGCAAAUCCAAAAAUAUCACGUGAAGAUGCUCAAUCUCCUUCGCAUACAAUGGAUAAUUUAAUGCCCUCUUGUUCAACGGCAUCGAAAGCAGACCCCUACAUGCCCCUUGCUCUGAAAUCAUACUACACAACGGUGCCAAAAACGCUGAAAAAUCCUUCACAUCAGCUACUGAUGGCCCCACACUCCCCGCCACAAUCCCCAUGAAAUCUUUAAACAACUUACUCCCCAGCUCACUAACAAACGGAAAAAUCUCCUGCAUAACAACAACUCCCUUCCCCUCCUCCCCUCCUCGAUACCUCCACCCACACGCACCCCAAACAUUCUCCAACAAUGAACCAAGAUUAGUCCUACACACAAUAUACAAUGGAUCAUCACUCCCAACCUUCCUCAACAAAUUACAAAACUCAUCAAUCGGAACACACUGCAAAUGCAAAUUUUUGGCAACGAAAUCCUACAUGAAUUCAAAAAAUGCCUGAUCGCACCCUCCGCGCACUCCUUAUUCCCUUUAACACUCGAAACAUAGAGUGUAACCAACGCAGCUGGCGCACUAUUCGAUAAAAACACAUUCAAAUGUCCUAAAGCAUCCUCAUUAUCAUCCUUCGGUGUCAAGCUAAAGAACUCAUUCAUCAACUUUUUAUAUGCUUUGAAACACAUGGAUGAAAACCACACGGCAGAAUAGACUUACAAAUUCGACAAAUGUAGGAAACCAUAUCAUUGAUCAAUUGACAAGUACGGGGAUGCCUAGUGCUCCGCAUUCGGCCAACUAAAUGAAGAAUCGAAUCCUUCUCGAUAGAGUAAUCGGAGAGUUUGUUUUCGUAUUGCAAUUGCUUACCUUUGUAGAUUAGUCGUUGCUCGAUCACCGGAAUCCCGGUCAUCACGCGAAUCCGUUCAUGGAGUGAUUUGACGGAAUCAGUCAAAUUCGCGGUGAUCACAAUGUGAGUACCGUCGGAGAUCAUUCUGAUGAAGAAUUGGAGCCUCGAUUGAGACCGACGGGGAGGGGAGGGAGUGGAGGGAAAAUCGGUGGUUGAUGAUGAGGCGGAGGCGGAGGCGUCGGAGACACGUGUGGGGAGCUGAUUGGUGGAGGAGAUGGAGGGAGGUUGCUGCAGGUUAUGGCCGGUGGAUGACUCGGUGUCGUCUUCACGCAUCCUGAAGGAGAUUAAGUCAGAGAAAACGGCGUCGUGGUCAUCGACAUCGUCUAGUUUGCGUUUGGAGGAGCCGCGGUGAUCAACGGUGGAGGAGCGCUGUUGAGGGAGGGAAUCAACGGCGGGAGAUUGGGGAAGUGACAUUUGAUGAACGGUGGUGACUGUGUUCUCCCCGACCUGUAAGUUUUUAAGGUAGGGGAGAAGGCAUGAGAUCGUUGUCUUAGAGGAUGAGACGGUGUGGUUUUGAUAUACGGAGAGAGUAAACGGCGAGGGAAGGAUUGAACGGAAAUUGUGUCGUCUCAACUCGGUGGGGCUUUUUCUGUGUUUUUUUUUUAACAGCCGUCAUCAACGAAGAGACUGGUAAUCUUACGCUAGUAUUAUUAUCAUCAUCUAUAUUAUUGUGUGCGACGUUCUUGUGUGGCUAAUUACCACAGUAGCCUCGAGAGCGAUGGCUAGCUGUGGUUUAGCUCAUGGCGUUUCUGUUAGGUUAUAAUAUCAUUACUUGUUAAACCCGAUCUAAUAUAAUCUAAUUAAUAAGCUGAUUUAAAAUUUAACAAGAUAAUUUAUGAACCGGUCGGGUUAAUCUAAAAUUAAAUGAUUCUGGAAAGAUGCACACCUAGCUGCCUGUGUUUGGCAAGAAAAAUCAUCAUGUGCCCCUAGAAAAAAAAAAAAAGUAUAUAUAUAUAUAUAUAAAGAAAGUGAAGCUUUAUUUUUCUUGGAGAAAUAAAGUAAGUGGAACUUUUUGACCUACGUUUAGGUGCCUCGUCUGCUAUAUAAUUUGUGUUUUACACAAAGCGUCCACCUAAGCAAAUAUUGCUUUGCAUGGGAGUAAAGAGCAAUGGCGUCAAUCUCUCUUCCACGACAUAUUUCUCAAGAAUUAUAAAAGAUUAAAUAAAACAAAAUUAUGAUUAAUAAUCCGUGUAUAUAAUUGUUGUCGCACGUGUGCGGCGGCGCGACGAUCGUCCACCCUCAAAGAAAAACACGGAAUAUUUAUUCCUGGCAAAUAGGGAGAGAUAAGGAAUUCUUGUCUCUAUAUGUGAAAAUAUGGACUGGGAGUCGCCACCUAUUAUUCUGGUUACUAAGAACCUUAACUGGUCUUUAGAGAUCGGGUACGGAGACUGGUUGCGUAAAGGAAAGGUAUUAGCACCCCAACUACGCCCUACCUAAGGUAGGUUGCAUUGUUUUAAUGUCUGAUAAAAUCUAAAAUCAUGUUGUGGUUUUUGAAUUGUUGGUUCGUUUAGGGUUUAAGAAAAAUCCUCCUCCGUAAGGAGAUCCUUAUCUUUAUCGGGUAAAAAAACUAACUAUUCAAAGUCAUCAAAAGAAAAUAUCUUUUUAAUAUCAGGAAUACGAUUUACGUAUAAAUUCAUAAUCCUUGAUACUAAAAUCAAACAAAAUAAAAUAUUUUGUUGUUUUUGAGAUUUUGGCCAAUGUUCUCUUGACUUUAAUAAACUGGUUAUUAAAGCCAAAAUGCAUGCUAAAAUAUUGUUUUUUGACAUAUGAAAAAUACGAUAUGAUAUUUUAGAUUUGAGACACUUGGUCGUAUGCACAAAAAUAUUUUUUUAUUUUUUUUCAAUUUUUUUUAUUUUUGGAAGUUUUUGUCGAAAACCGGGUAUUUUAAUACCGGAUUUAUAUUUUUACGAUGUAAAAAUACUGCCCAAUAUUAAUCAAAAUGACAUAAAAACUACACGGAAAAAUUAUAAAAUGUUGAAGCAAAUAUUUUUUAUUUUUUUCUUUUUGAAUGUGUGAACAGUACCGUACGAAAAACCGGGUAUUUUAAUACCGAAUUUAUAUUUUUACGAUGUAAAAUACAGACCGAUAUUAAGCAAAAUUGAUAAUAUAUAUAUAUAUAUAUAUAUAUAUAUAUAUGCUGGGAAGUUGUAAAAAUAAUUCUGACAAAUUUUUUUUUUUUAAAACAUUUGAAAUGGGCCGGACCCGGCCCAUAUCAUUGGGCUGGGCCAAACCGGCCCAUUACCAAAUGGGCUGGUUAAUGUGCCUAAGCACAGUAACCAGCCUCCUUCAGCUGCAGAACGUGAAUUAAUUCACGUUCUGCAUGCAGACGAAAACAGGAGGAUAGCAAGCGGAGAAGGAGAUGGGGCGGUGAGAGAUUACCUGCGGUGGCGUUGCCGGUGGUGCUGCUGGCGGUGGAGGCACGGUGGCCGGCGUUGCUCUGUUUCUCUCUCUCUCUCUCCUCUGUUAUUUUUGCUCUUUUCUGCUUCUUCUUCUUUUUGGUUUUUCUUUCUUUCUUUUCCUUUCCUCUUCUCCUCUUUUCUGCUCUGUCCUCUCUCCUCUUCUCCCUCUCUUUUCUCUCCUUCUGUUCUUGGUUUUUUUCAAUCCCCAUCCCCUGUUUUUAUAGGCAAAAACAGGGGGGGGUGUCGGGUGUCGUGGUGGGGCGGCCACUGUCGGCCGCCCCCUCCACUACCGUUUCAAUGGAUAACAAUGUUAGGCAAUGGUGGGCGUCUUUUUGCGCCAAAAACGGGAAAGAAAGUAGGCGAAAAGGGAGAAGAAAAAUCUUCUUCUUCCCCUGCCUCGCGCGUCCAGGGGAAGAAGAAGAGCUACAGUGUCGUCAAAACGGCACCGUUUUGGGCUUCUGUUUUUUUUUUUUUUUCAACAGUGAAUGAAACGGCGCCGUUUUGGUCAAAACACGUCGUUUCAUUUAAAAGAAAAAGGCGCCAAAACGCGUCAGAUUUCAAAGAAGGCCCUCCAUUUGUGCGCGUUUUACAAUUUCGUCCUUGGUCUCGGAUUGCUUCAAUUUAGUCCCUAAUUGGCCAUUAAACUUCAAUAUUUUAUGCAAUUAAGCCCCUGAUUUGACCAAAUGAACUUCAAAAAUUAUAAUUUGACCCCAGAAAAUUAAUUUCUCUUAAUUAAAGCCCAAAUUAACUCCAAAAUCAAUUUUUUUGCAAUUAAAAUCUUCAUAAAUGCAAUUAAACCUUUAAUAAAAUUUAAUUGAGUCCAUAAACUUCUGAUUUUGCAUUUUUCUUCCUCAAAUUGAAUUUUCUUUAUCAUCGGGGCUCUCAUCAGUCAAUGAUAUACUGUCAAAAAUUAAUUUUUGAUAUUUAAACAUCCUCAAUCAAUUUUUGAACAUUUUUAGGGCGCUUUGGCAUUUUUUCACUGUUUUAUUUUUUGAUAAUAUAUUUUUUUUGAUUUUUUUGAAUUUUAUUAUUUUUAUGUGGGGAACCAGAAAUGGAUUACAACAAUUGUUAUAAGGGACAUGUUCACAAACAAAAAUAUGACUAUGUCAUGGGCUGGCGGGUCGAGUUAAAAAAAAAUUAAGAUGAAAGUUAAUUUAGUUAAAUUUGAGGCACCCAAAUAAAUUUAUAACUUAAAAUCUAGUUUGAUUUUUUUAAAAGUUUAUCUUUUUAAAAUAAUAUUAUCUUAGAUUUUUUUUAAAUUAAAUUAAAACAAUAUCAGAUUAACCCAUAUAUCUUAUAACCAUCAGAAAUAAAACAUGUUUAAUAACUUUAUUUAUAGAAACAGUAAAUCAUUGAAUUAUGAUACACUAACACUUUAAAUCUGUAAAUUUCAUUAUAUAUAGUUGAGAGGUAUAAAAAAAACCCAUUAAAAUUAACAGAAUUGGCUUGUUGCAAACCAUCUCCAAAGUAUAAGAGUUUAUCAUUGCUUUCUUAAAAUAUAAAUAAAUAAAUUAACUUAUGAAUGUGAGUUUAUCAUUGUGGUACUAAAAUUUAUAGUAGUAAUUAAAAGAUAAUAAGAAUAAGUAAAAAAUAUUUGUAUUUUUAGCCCUUAUAUUUCAAACUAAACCGGUAACCAUCCUAUUCUGCAGGCCAAUAAAAUUUUGAACAAAAAAAAAGAACUCGAUAUUGAGACCAUUAACUUAACUAUAUCUAAUAAGUUAGGUUAAUCUAAUAAUCUGAUUUAAAUUGAAGGCAACAAUAAAAAAGAAUGAUUAAAAGAAAAGGCAACCCCUACCAAAAGUCUUUAAAUUAAGUUAAUUUUUCAAACUAGAAUAUGUGAAAUUUCAAACUGAGGUUAAACAAUAAGCUUAAAUCCAAAUCAAUUAAAUGAUGAAGGAUGAAAUUGAAUAUUAAAAAAAAACUAAAAACUUUAGCGAAGCGAAAAACACAAGGACAAAAUCUAACAAGGAAAAAAAAUGAUCAAAAGUGAAAUCAUAAAAAAAGUUAAAAGUUACAUUAUAAAAAUGAUCAUAGAUGACAUAAAUAACAAUUAAGAAAUGAGACUAAAUAAGAUAAAUUUAAAAAAUUAAAUGAUGAUGAAAUUGAAAAAAAAAUACUUUUCAUGUGUUAUUUCAAAUAAAAACAAAUAUCAACCAAAAUAUCAGGAACUAAAUAACAAAUAAACAAAAGUAAAAAAAAUCAAAUGAUGAUAAAAUUGAAACAAAUCUUGAUUUUCAUAAGUUAUUUGAAAUAAAAUAAAUAUUAAUAAAACAAUUAGGGAUAAAAUAAAAAAAUAAAGAGAAGCCAAGAGGCUAAUUUGAAAUUUGCGGGGCAUGAUGCAAUAAUAGAUGAACGGAGAGGGAAAAAAGAAGAAGAAAAAAUAGCCACUGAAGUCAAACCGAAGCUCUAUUUUCUACACGCGUCGUUUCUACAUAAGAAAGACACCAAGACAAAUCUAAUGACGCUUAGAAUGGUAUUUUUGGUUGCUAAAAUCAUCUGCACGCACCAUCCGAAGAUAGUGGAGCGUCUGGCGUUUACCCAUCACACACCAUCUUUUUUAAAAAAAAAAUCCUUUUAAUUUUUCAAAAGACAAAAAUAACCUUCACUUUACCUGAUAACAACAAAAAAGCCAAUAUGAUAAUAACCAAAAUACCCUCAAAUACAAGGUAUGAAAAAUUAAAACCCAAGGGUAAGGAGGUAUUCUACAAAAACAAAUUUUCUAGUCGGCCAAAAUAUUUUUAUAUAUAAAGUUAAAUUGAUUAUUUUAUUAUACACUUUAAAAAUAAGAAUACAAAUUUACCUCUCAAUGACACAAAACAAGGAAUUAAUUUUAAGGAUAUUUAUAAUAAUUUAUUGUGUAAUUUUAAAAUAAAUACCUUUUUUACCCUAAUCAAUUUACAAAUAUCAAAAUGAUCUAUUAAAAAGACAACCAUUCUCUAGCUAAAAAGAUUUUUAUAAAGAUAAAAUAGUAAAUUUAAUUUUCCUAUCCACAAUAAAAAAAAAAUGAAUAGGAAACAAUGAAUCCACAGUAUUUUUAUUUUUUUUUGUUUUAUAAUGUGCGAAAGGAAAUGGUUCUUCAUGGAAUUUGCUAAGCUACUUCCAAGUUGCUUCCUCUUUCCAUUAAAAUCCAUGAUAUAAUAUAAAAGAUUCUCUUGUCAUUCUUUGCUUCCUAACUUUUCCCCCACCAGUAAUCACACAAGUCAUAAAAAGCUUGAAAAGUACAGGCUAGGGCUACUAAUCUAUGCAGUUAUCUCAACAUUUUCCCUCCCUAUAUUUGAUAUUCUCAAAUCCAUGAUAGAACAUAAAAGAUUAUGCCAAUGCAUGCACAUGCUAAUUACUUAGCUUAAUUAUGCAAAAUGCUCAUUAAUGUACUUUUUGUCGUAAACAUCAAAAUAGUAUUAUAGUCUUCAAACACUAAUCUUAACCUCAAUCCUCCUGUAAAUGCCAAUCUUAGACACCAUUUGAUUCUGCGUUUGGUUAAAUUUUUUAAAAAAAAAAAUUUAAAAUUGAGUACGGUUUGUAUUUUUUGGAUCGUUUUGAUGUGCUGAUGUCAAAAAUAAUUUUUAAAAAAUAAAAAAACAUCAUUGACAGGUAUUUUGACAUGAAAAACUAUUUGAAAAGCAACCAAUAUCACACUGAUAAACACGCUUUUAGUCAAAGUGAACUUUAAGUGUUUUGCUGUAAUCGAGGAAGUUUUCGUGAAUUGGUCCCUACAUCUAUCCGUAUACACACUUAGCCCUAGCCCAUAAAAUAGAGAUAUACACUGGCCCAUGAAAUAACAUAACAUGCUUGCGUCCAAACAGUCAAACUCCCUUUUCCUUUCUUCUUUCCUUGUCACACAAGGAUUGGGUAUAUAUUGUUACCACGAGGUUCUUUAAUCAAUCCAAGAAGUAGCCGGCUGGGGGAUUUUUAGUCCUUCACGAGUUGCUUUAGGGUUUCUUGAUUGUUGAAGCGUUUUGUGGUCAGUGUUGUUGCAUUUAGUUAGAGAUUUACACAGAAAUAGAUGGUUGGCUUUGUUUUCAGGGUUUUGUCCAAAUGGGGUCUAAACUACCACCACUAAGUUUUUUAAUCAAUCCAAGAAGUCGCCAUUCGAGGAAUCUUUAGUUCUUCAAGAGUUCCUUCAGGAUUUUUAUUAUUUUUUAAGCACUUAGUGGUAAGUCUUACAGCAUUUUUCUUGUAGUAACAGUUUGGUUCUUAUAGUGGGCCAUGGAAAGGUACAGGUUAAUUAAAGAAUUUGGGGGAGGGAACCUAGUGUCCUGAAGGCGAUUAAUAAGAAGUUGUUGCCAUUAAGCAGAUAUGGCGCCGUUUGGUAACUUAGGUUCACCCGCAGCCACACAUAAUUCUGUUUGGUAAGUAAAAUAUUCUGCUUUUUAUUGGUAGGGCCCACGAAAAGUUGAAUUAAAACCGGAGAAGCAACAUUAUGCUGCUUCUCCUGAUUUUAGAAAGCUGGAACAGUGGAGCCAUGCUCCUCUGUACAGUGCGAGUGCAUCAGUUUAGGUUUUUUUUUUUUUUUUUUUUUUCCUGAAAAACCAGAUAAAAUUACAUGAUUUCACUCGUAUUAUUCAUGUGAACGUGAACAAUAUUUUUUUUCAUUUUUUUUUAAAUCAUGAAAACUGUAGUUUUUGUCGAAUGAAUUUUGUACGUAAUGAAAUUGUAAAUUUUUUUUUUAAAAAAUGAGUUUUAGUUGAAAAAAUAGUAUUUAAUAUUAUUUAAUAACACUACAUAAAUUAGAAGGAUAUAGCAUGAUGACGUAGCAUUUGUGAAAUUUGAUCACAAUUCCAAUUAUGUUCUUGCCGUGUCCGACCCAAUUAAAAAAAAUUAAUUUUUAUUUGUAUUUUAAUUGUGUUUUAUUCAAAAAAUUAGAAGGAUAUCACUUGAUGACGUAACAAAAAAUUUAGUUUUUGUUGUUGCGUGUUUAAGAAACCAUGAAAAAUAUAGUUAUUGUUGGAUAGAUUUCGUAUUCAAUGACAUUGCAUAUAGUUUAAUAGAAUAAUAAAAAAUAUUUAAUAUCAAUAUUAUUUAUUUCAUGAUGUAAUAAUAGUAGUUAAAUCUACAAUAUUUAAAUUAAAAGUAUUUUUUAAUUAUUUUAUAACCUCAAUUUGAAAAGCAUUUUUUUAACCAAACACAUUAAACUACUUUUUGUUCAACCUCAAUUUCAACCACAGUUUUAACCAAACAUAUAUUUUUUCAAAUUAACCUCAACUAAAAGUACUUUUUAUAAAAUAACUUUUUUAAAACCACAACCACAACAGCAACCGCAAUACCAAACACACCCGAAGAAACGAUAUGAUUCGUGGGAAGAAUGUUUGAGUUUGAGAGAAUUGAAGUCCUUGCAGAAUUUGCAUCAUCCAAACAUUGUGAUGCUUAAGGAGCUUGUCGCCAAAACAGCACUACAAGAUUUCACAGUUUUACCGACGGCCAUAUUCCAUUGGUGUUUGAUUGAGAGUUCGUCGGUAAAUUAUUUAUCGACUAAAUUCCCGACGGAAUACGCCCGUCGGAUUACCUUUUGUUGGUGAUUCCACAUUCCAUCACUAUAUCGGUCGGAAAAAAAACAAAAACACGUACCGACGGUUUUACAAACGGAAAGUGCGCGCCAAAAAAAAAUUUCCCGUUUGAAACAUACAGACGGAAAAUACUCCGUCGGUGAUAUUGUUAUUACCGACGGAAAAAAUCCAUCGGUACAUUGGUCGGUGUGUGUUUGAGAUACCGACUGAAUAUAUCCGUCUGUAAAUUCGUCGGUGCGUUUCAAAUUCCGACGGAUUAAAUCCGUCGGUAACUCUGUCGGUGAGUGUAUGGAAUACCAACCGAAUUUAUCCGUCUGAAUAUUCGUCGGUGAUGUCCAAUGCCGACGGAGUUAUUCCGUCAGUAAAUCCCUAUGUAAUUGUUUUUUUUUAAAUUAUUUAAAAUACAUAAUAUAAAAUGAUAUAAAUUAAUGGUAAUACAAACCAAUUAUGCAAAUAAAAUUCAUAUUAAGCAUCAAAAAUAAAAAAUCAAAGUUAAAUAAUAUUCAUUACAAAAUGAAUGUGUUUCAAAAACACAUUAAACGAAAUUUUAAAUGUAAAUAAUGUUUAUUAAAAAUUAAUAUAAAGGUGGUGGAGGAGGAGGAGGAGGCUGGGGGUUAGACGGCCAAAAAGGAUUAGGUGCACAUGUUCCACCUUGUGCCAUGUUCAUGACCAUUUGACGAAGCUCUUCAUAGGCCGCUCUUUGUUGUUCAGACUCUGCUAUGUGUUGUUCUUUGAGUUGUUCGUACGCCACUCUUUGCUGUUCUUUGAGUUGUGUGUACGCCUCUGAUAGGUGGUCGCACUUUUGCUGCAAGGCCACGAACUCCUUAGAUUGGGAGCUCGAUACUGAUUGGGAGCUCCCGACGGUUGAAGCAGUAUCGGCCAACCGCAAGUUGGCGGCCGUAGUGUUGGAGAGCCCGUAAACCCGAUUUUUAUCGGGUCCACCUGACGAUCCAGCCUCCAUCCACAAAUCCGGAUCGAAUUCCGGAUGGGUCGAAGGAUCGUCCCCGUAUCUCUCCCUCAACCGAUUAUUAUAGGUCUCCUGAAAAAAAAAAAGUAAUCAUCAUAUUCAAUUCAAUAAACAUAAUAAUAACUUACAAAAUAAAAUGGUUGAACAAACAUACCACAAACUGUUGAGCACGGUUGUCAACGAACUGUUGCGUCCCCUUUUGGCGGUCUUGACUCCGCACGUGCGUCUCCACAAACAGCUCCAUAGGGCUCAGCUCACGUCCAAGAGACGUAGCCUAUAAUGAAAAAAAAUUUAUUAACAACAAAUUAAUUGAACGAUAUAUUUCAUUUAAAUUAAUCUUACCAUCUGUUUCGCAUGUGCAGCAAACGGAACGGAGCCGCCGGUGUGCGUUGUGACCGAGCCAUGAAUUGGCCGAUUCCGGUUGCCAGCACCGGACUGUGAGCAUCGUGUGAACCGCUCAGACGUCAUGCUGAAGAUAGUGCGGCCAUAUAUCUUCCGGGAUGUAUAUCGGUUUGAAAUCCCUCCAAACCGCAACAUCGUUCCAGCCUUGGAACCCCUUAUCCCUCGCUUUUUUUUUGCCUUUUUUUGGGUUUCGUACCAAAAAUCACGCAACCUAAUUCACACAAGCAAAAAUUACAUUUCGAAACAUAAAUUUUUAUGUAAAAAAAAAGUUGUAUUGUUUUCGAUGUUACCUAAUUGCCGCGUGAUUUUCCCACACCCUCCUCACAACAGUGUUAUGUUCAUCGUCCCAGCAGAAUCGAUGCUGUGUAUAAAAAAUUAUUUUUUAAAAUGUUAAUAAUUUAUUUACAAUUAUAUGUAGAAUUUAUUAGAAAUAAGCUGAAAAUUAUAUAUUAACACGAACCUCAAAUCUGCGAAACCAUGCAUUGAUUUGAGGCAUCCAUUCAGGAUGCCUGGAUAUCUGACUCCAUUGAAACAAUGGAAUCUCCUCGACGCUUUAAACGCCGAUGAUAUUACUCGGGCGGCCUCAAUGUUUGUGAACCUGAAAAGAAAUGAAAUUAAUGAAAUAGUGAUUACUUCAUAAAUUAUGUUUUAAAUUUAUUUUUUUAAAAAAAAAAAAAAAACUAAAACCUUAACAAACUUACAUUGAAAGAUCUUCCUUCCACUGUGCCUCGUACUUGCGGGUAAAUUGAUUCCGCUGCGAAGGCACGCAGCUUCUGCGAUGUGAAACAUCACUGGAAGAGGCAACAUCGGUUGACGACCCAAGUGGUGUAGGUGCCUCUUCUUGAGAGGCACCUAAGGAAAUAUCAGCAUCGCUGCUAGACGAACUUGAUUCGACUGGACGUGUAGCUUUGGUUUUCAUUAUGCGCAUCUAAACAAUUUUAUAUAAAUAAUUAUAUAAUAAAUUCAAAAGUUAAAAAAAAUCGGCAGCACCUCCCCUAUACUGGAUACUACCCAAAUCCACAAACCUGCAAAUAUUAACAAUAGCCACAACCAAUUGACCCAAUCUAUACUAAUUAUUCCAACAUAUUCAAUUACUAAUCCUAAGAUAAAUUCAACAUUAACAAUUACAAUUCAACAAAUUAUUCAAUAAUUAUGUCAAUACAACAAAACUAUAAAUUCAAAAUAAAUAGAAACAAUUAAACACAAAUCAUCAAGUUAGAGUAAAAUUAAUAAUUCUUCCAACAUAUUCAAUUACUAAAUCUAAGAUAAAUUCAACAUUAACAAUAUUAAUUCAACAAAUUAUUAAAUAAUUAUGGCAAUACAACAAUAAAAUAUAUUCAAUAAAUUAAAUAUAAACUAACAAUUAAACAUAUGCAAUUACUAAUCAACAAAUGCAAUUACUAAUUUAAGGUAAAUUCAACAUUAACAAUAUUAAUUCAACAAAUUAAUCAAUAAUUAUAUUGGCAAUACAACAAAUUAAAAAAAUAUAUAGACUAACAAUUAAAAUCAAUGGAAAUAAUUAAACACAAAUCAUGAAAUAAUAGAGUAAAAUUACUAAUUAUUCUAACAUAGUCAAUUACUAAUUCUAAGUUAAAUUCAACUUUAACAAAAAAUAUUCAACAAAUUAACUAUUAACAAUUAUGACAACACAUCAAUGAAAAAAAUUCAAAAAAUUCAAAAAAAAAAACCUACAUCAAGAAAAGGAACGAAAUAUACGUACCUUAAUAAUGUGUCAAUUCAAAACUUUAUCUACAUUAUAAAAAAAUACACCAAAACAACAAAAUAACAAAAAUAAAAACAACUAAAAAUAAAAUAAAAUAAAAUAGAAAAAACCACAUACCUUUAUUCAAAUCUUGCAAGAGAUUCAAGGUGAAAGCCUUGAAGGAUUGAGAGCAAAAAACUGAAAAUUAUAGGGCAACGAAGGAGAAGAAAAACAGAGGAGAAAAAAAAAUGAGGCGAAGCGGCGGGCGCUGAAAGUUAUAGGUUAUAUGGCAGAUUUACCGACGGAUUUACCAACGGAUAUUAAAAAAAUAUUAUUAAUUUUUUAAAUCCGUCGGAAACAGGUCAAAAGUCUGUCAGUGAUUCCGUCGGUAAUAUGACACGGUCAGCGGUGCAUUCAAUUCACACACUUUGGAAAUCGCACGGGCCGUCGGUAUUUCUAUCGGUAAUAUUUGAGACCGACAAAUUACCGACGGACGUAUUCUGUCGGUAUUGGCGUCGAAAACUCUGUCGGUGUGUCCGUCAGUGAUUGUGGUAUUUUGUUGUAAUUAUUUUCGAACUCUCUGUGAGAUACCGACGGAUGGAGGUCCAUCAGUGUUGCUGUCGGUGAUUGUGGUAUUUUGUUGUAAUUAUUUUCGAACUCUCUCUGUGAGAUACCGACGGAUGGAGGUCCGUCGGUGUUGCUGUUGGUGAUUGUGGCAUUUUGUUGUAAUUAUUUUCGAACUCUCUGUGAGAUGCCGACUUAAUAUAAUCUGUCGGUGUAAGUGUCGGUGAAUCCGUCAGUGAUGGCGUCGGUGAUUGUGGCAUUUCGCAUAAUUAAUUUUGAACUCUCUAUGAGAUGCCGACGGAUGUUUAUCCGUCGGUAUGGACAUCGGUAAGUUUGCAUUUUGCAGGAAAGGUUGUAUUUGUAUUGCCUAUUUACUUUCCUGCAAAAACUUAACUGAUAAACUGUCCAUCGCAUAAAACAAUAACAACAUUGCUUAAACAACAAAUAUUUUGUUUUACAAAAUACAUCAUCCAUCAUCUAAAUUACAUGAGAAAAAUGGUUUUACAUAGGGCUUCAUUUUGAUAGUUAGUCGGAAUUUUCUUCUUCUUCCUCAUCAAUUGAAUUGUCAUCAUCUUCAUCGCAAUCUUCAAUAUGGAUAUCAUCUUCUUCAUCGACAUUUGCUUGUUCGCUAGAGCUCAGAACAACAUUCAACUCCUCUCCGUCAUUAUCAACAAGACUAUCAUUGAGAACUCAAAAAUUUGAAUUUUCUUCCAAUUCAAUCGAAUGAGCAACUCGAUAUGGUUCAACCAACUCACGAACUUGAAAGACUUCAUCUCGCACACUUGUGUCUUCGUUCUCAUCCUGAACAACCUCGACACGACCCCGUGGUUUCGUUUUUAAAACGGACAACCAAUCAACUCUUGACGAUCCUUUCUAAAUGAAGGGGUGUAUGUGUAAUAAACUUGUUGACAUUGCUUUGCGAAAACAAAGACAUCAUUUAUGUUGCGGAGUCUAGCUUUUGAGUUGAUUUUGACCAGACCAUGGUGCGGAUCAACUCUGAUUCCUCUAUCCGUUGUGUCAUACCAAUAGCAUUUGAAUAAAAACACUUUAUUCUGCUCGCUAUGAUAUUGCAGUUCGACGACCUCUUCUAAUCUACCAUAGUAGUCAACUUCUAACUGGCUACUUGUGGAUCCCUUAACACAAACACCGCAGUUGUAUGUCUUUCUUCCUUGCCCGUAUUCUUCAGUAUGGAAAACAUAUCCAUUGACAAAAUACCCGUUGUAGCACUUAACUUUUCUUUCAGGGCCGAGGCUUAGUGAAGACAAUGACUUGGGCGCACUCCUUCCCAUUUGAUAAACCUUGUAAAUAUAUGUAAUUAAAUGUACAAUAAACACGGUAAAUGAACGAGAAUCUCGUAAUGACAUGCAUACGCAUACGUUAGAAUGAGUUUGUGAUAGUGCUUACAUGUGUUCUGAACCAUGUGGCAAAUUGUUCAUCUUGUAAUUGAAAGAUCUGGGAUUCGGUCAGCUGCGAGUUAUUGGAGAGCAAAUAUUGUCGAUGUUGCCUGCAAGUGAUAAUGAGUGUAUGAUAUUACAAUAUAUAAUUAACAGUAUAUUACUGACAAAGUUUAAUUAGUAUUACACAUAUAUAGACUUACUGAAUAAAUGGUCUCAGCUCAUCACAGUUAAAUAGAACAUAGUUGUGUGCUUGUUUGAAUUCUAUUUCCGACAAAUAUCUUCCUCUUACGGCAUUUUUAGGUGUGGGUCGUCCAGUAUUGGAGAAUAUUGACAAGUUCCCACUGGAAGGCACUUCACCGCCAUCGUCAUGCCGUGGAACGCGAUUGAUUCUUGUUCUCAGAUGAGGUUCGAAAUAGUACGAGAUAAAUGUUGAUAUCUCUUCAACAAUAUAGGCCUCAGAUAUCGAAGCCUCAACAUGCGCCUUGUUCUUAACCUUUUUUUUUAGAUUAAACAAGUACCUGCAUUGAAGUACAAUUCAAGUAUUUUCAAUUAAGAAAAACAUAGAAAAUACUUUAAGAUAUGAAUUCCAUUGCAACUGUAAUAUCUCACCGUUCGAAUGGGUACAUCCAUCUAUACUGGACCGGUCCUCCAGCUUUUGCCUCGAACGGUAGAUGUAUAGGGAGAUGCUCCAUUGAGUCAAAAAAUGAAGGAGGGAAUAUCAUCUCAAGUUUGCAUAGUGUCUCGAUGAUAUUCGUUUGAAGCAUCUCAAUGUGCUCAACAUUCACUUGCUGGAGCAUAUAUCUCUGAAGAAAUGACUGAUCUCCGUUAGUGCAUCCCAUAUUCCCUUUGGCAACAAAUCACGAAAAGCUAAUGGGAUGAGUGUUUGCAUAAACACGUGGCAGUCAUGACUCUUCAUUCCAUACAAUCUGCAGUCCUCUAUGUUAACAAGCCUUGAUAUGUUCGAUGCAUGUCCAUCCGGGAAACGCAGACUCUUAAGCCAUUUGUAGACUAGCAGUUGUGCGUUUUUCUCUAACACGAAGCUUGCCCUUGGUUUUGCAACCCGUGACUCUCAUAAACCAACUCCAUAUUUUUACGGUUACAGUAUAAAGCUAUAUCCAAUCUAGCCUUCAUGUUGUCCUUUGUCUUCCCCUUCACAUCCAUGACGGUGUUGAAAAUAUUCUCAAACACGUUCUUUUCGAUGUGCAUGACGUCAAGGUUAUGGCGGAGAAGAUUAGUCUUCCAAUACGGAAGCUCCCAAAAGAUACUUCGCUUUACCCAAUUAUGGGUCAAACCAAAACCAGGAAACUUUUGCUUACCUGAUUGAAGGCCAAACACAAUGUCACCGUACUCUGAUACAACAUGAUGCAAUUCUUCACUAGAAAGACGCGGGGAUGCAACAUCUUUUUCAACUCUACAAAGAAAUCUUUUAUGUUCUUUCUGAACCUGUGAUUAAGUGGCAAGAAGCGACGGUGACAGUCAAAAAAAGAAGUUUUACCUUCGUUUGCUAGCGUGAAUGCCUUGUUGUUUUCCAUGCAGUAUGGACAUGCGAGUUUCUCAUGCGUGCUCCAACCAGAAAGCAUUCCAUAAGCUGGAAAAUCACUGAUAGUCCACAUCAAAGCCGCCCUCAUAAGGAAAUUUUGUUUCCUCGAUAUAUCAUAAGUCAGAGAUCCGGAGGACCACAACUGCGCCAGCUCAUCUAUCAACGGUCGAAGACAAACAUCUAUAUUCCGCCCCGGGCUGCUUGGACCGGGUAUGAUAGUAGAUAGAAACAUGAACUCCGGCCUCAUACACAUUCCCGGUGGCAAGUUAUAAACUGUGAGAAUGACCGGCCAACAAGAAUAGGGAGCAGCAAAUGACCCAAAUGGGUUGAACCCGUCUGUACACAACCCAAGUCGAACAUUCCUUGAUUCAGCAGAAAAGUCAGGAUGAACACUGUUAAAGCGUUUCCACGCUUCGCCGUCAGAAGGAUGCACCAUCACACCAUCAACGCAUCGUGUGUUUGGUGCCAUGUCAUGUGCUCAGCAGUCCUUGGUGACAUAAAUAACCUCUGCAGUCUAGGUGUGAUCGGGAAAUAUCUAAGUUUUUUAUAUGCCACUAGAGUCUUCCCCUGCCAGUUCUGGGUUUGUAACGGGAAUGCCCGCAUGUCAUGCACUCGGUCAUCUCAGCAUUUUCAAGGUAGUAUAACAUAGAAGUUAGGGCACAUGUCAAUUUUCUGGUAUCCUAAACCGAGGGGUUUCAUCAUGGACUUCGCAGCAUAGAAGUUCUCUUUGAGCCUGUUCCCUUCAGGUAAAAUGCUUCUUGCCCAAUCAAUAAUUUUGUCAUACCCGGCCUCACUCAACCCGUGAUCUGACUUGAUGGUGAACACCUGUGCCACCGAUAAUUUACUGUGGUUUGUGCAGCCAUCCCAUAAUGGUUCGUCAGAAUCUUUCAACAAAUCAAAAAACCUAGCUGCAUUUGCAUUAGGUUCUUCUUCUAUGAUUGGACAUUGAUUGACAUUACCUUGAUUCAUUCUCAUUGCAACCAUAACCAUGUUUCUGUAAGGAUUAGUGUUGUCAUUUACCGCUUCAUGCACGUUGCUAGCACUAGAAGUUGACCCAACCACCGUUUCUCCCAUUCUCCUAUUACUAACAAAUACCUCUCCAUGUGCAUACCAACACUCGUAAUCCUCCACAAACCCUUUGUGUAGAAGAUGCAUCAUUACAACAUCUGGAUGCAGAUACUUUUUAUUUUGACAAUUCUUGCAUGGACACCUAAUACCGCCUCCAGUAAAAUUUCUAGGAAUAGAUGUUGAGAAAUUAAUAAAACCCUGAACCCCGUUACAAUAAUCCAUCCUCCGCAAUCCUUGGGGUGAAUCUAGAUACAUCCAUGAACGAUCAUCCAUGACUUCUAUCGAACCUCUAUAAAAUUAUGAUGACAUCAUGUAUAUAUUAAUUAACUAAGUUAGGUAAAUAAACUUGUAACAACUUCUCAUAAAUAUUAAUAUUCAUUAUCAUUUAUCAACGUUCAUACAAAAUAAUAUAUAUAUAUAUAUAUAAAUUAACAGAAAUUACCACUCUGCAAUACCAUAUAUAAAACUUUAAAAGGACCCAUUAAGCAAGCUAUUAAUUAUUUCAAAACAUAAUAUAUAAUUCGGUAAUUCCACAAAGUUUUAACAAUUUACAAACAAAUACAAUCUUACAAAAUCUAAAACAAACCACAACAGGUAUAAAAUUAUACAUUCAUAUACUAGCUACAAGUUUGUUUGAGAAAUAACAAUAAAACAUGUACAUCUACUAAUAAAAAUACAUAUACUAAAAAAACAAUAAAAUUGACAUUUAAAUGUUAAAAUUUUAAAAAGAUAGAAUUACUUACAAAAAUUGAUAAAAUCCGUCGGUAAAUUAGAACACGGAUGCUGUGACCACAAAACUUCAAGAAAUACAACUUGUUGUGCUGAGAUGAGGAAGAUUUUUGUUUAGGGGCGAGGAAGGGGCUGGUUAUUUACAGAUGGGGAGACUUAGGAUUAGGAAUAAGAAGGAGAAAUGAGGGAGGAGAGUGUCGGUAGAGUGACCAUAUAUUCACUUUUACCGAUGGAAUCAUCGAUGGCAUAACAUCGUCGGUGACUCCGUCGGUAAUUCUAACGGUAAAUAGGCACGUCACCGUACGAACCUGCUUUUCAAAUCCCUCGGUGAUUCCGUCGGUAUUUUUUACGGUGCACCAGUCACGUCACCCGUACAGAUCUGGCAUUUCAAAUCCGUCGGUGAUUCCAUCGGUAUUGUUGACGGUGAAUCGGUCCGAUCACACGUACGGGUCCCCAGUUUUGAAUCCGUCGGUGAUUCUGUCGGAAAAAUCAUCCGCGCCAGCUACCCGCCCUUUUUUCAUUAAUUCUGAACUUUCCGUCCGUCGGUGAUUUCGACCGCAAAAUAUCGACAGAAAUAUUCCAUCGGUGAUUCCAUUGGUAUUUAGCGAAUUUCUAGUAAUGUAGUAUUAAAAAUUUAAGAUUAUCAAAUAAUUAAACUUUUUAUCCAAACCAAUAAAUUUUAUGUGUCUAUUUUAAAAUUUGGUUUUAAAAAGAAAAUCGAAAUGACAUAACAAACAAUACCUAUAAAUCUUUUAUAUUACAGAUUAACAUAACCAGUGCACCCAUUUAUCAUUCUUAAGGUCAAUAUUUAGAAAUAAAUAAAUAAAAGUUACGUAACAAUAUUUAAUUUAAGUAACCUCAAAGACUACUAAUUUAGCUUUUGAUAUUAAAAGGGCGUAUGUCUUUACUCUCUGUCUAAUUGAUGAGGCAAAUAUCAGGUCUUCUAUCACCGCUACUCCCUGCUAACUCUUUGCCUCAUAUCUUAAGUUAUAUCUAUCAAGUUUGCUUAACUUAAGAUGGAAUAUUUAUGACUUUAUAUGUAUUAAAUCCAUAUAAUUGUUUUGACCUAUCAUGAUAAACAUGACGUCAUCAUAUUAUAAAACCAAAAUUCAAUGGUGUAUCUAAUUAUCAAAAAGGUAUAAAUAUUGCUAGGAAGUUAAACGUGUGGACCACCCCAAUUAUGAAGCUUGGAAGAAGAUGCCUAGAAAAUGUAAACACGUGAAUAUUGGAAACAAUUACAUCCUUUCCUUUUUAAUUUUUUUUUAAUUUUUUUAAAUUUUUUUAAUAAAAAAAUAAUAAUAAAUAUGUGAUUAAUUAAGAGCAGGUGAUUGCUUUUGUUUUUAGUUGUUUUUUCAAAAAAGAUAAAUAGAUUUUUUUAAUGUUUUUUUUAAUUUUAAUGUAUUAGUAUUAAAAAUAAAAUAAAUAAAUAAAUCAUGUAGUCUAUUUCUAAAUCAAUAUGAUUUUGAAGGUAAAGAAAAAAAAUCAAUUAAAAAAAAAAACAUAUUCGAUCAGUGGGUAAACCUGUCAAACCUGUGAAUCAAGUAACUUGAGCUAACACAUCAAACUCAUAAACAAGGUUAUGGAUUCCAAUAGGAUUAUAUUUUUUUUUUAAAAAAUUUAUUAUUUAACAAUAUGAUAAUAAAAAUAGAUAAUUAUAAAAUUAAACACCAGCCCAAUAAUAAUAUAUAUAUUUUUAGACCGCGAUAACAUCAUACAAAGAAAAAUAAAACCAAUUAUGAAACUAAAUUCUAAACCAACCCAAAUAUGAAAUAGAAAAAAUUUUAAAAAAUUGAUAACCAAAAAAAGGAAAGGAAAAGAAAAAAAAAGAGAAGAAAAAGCAAAACACUAUAAAUUAUUACUGUAAUCUAUAAUAAAAUGGGUGUGGGUGAAUAGCUAUUCUCCAACACCGUUUAGCUUUUUUAAAAAAAUUAAUAAGCAAAAAAAAUACUUCAUUAAACCAAUAAACUAGUAUAAAACAUGUUAACUUUAUAAAAAAAUAAAAUAAAAAUAAAUAAAUUAUAAAGUUAAAUUUUAAAUCAUCCAAUGUGAAAUAAACAAAAACAAAUUUUAAAAAAUAAAAUAAAUAAAAUAAAACACAUUGGAUUACUUAUUAUAAUUUACAAUGAAAUGGGUGUGAAUACGUCUCUUAACUAUUUGUGAGCUUCUUAUUCGUUCUUAGUUUUUCUUGUUUUUUUUUUCUCUGGUGGAAUUCCCACACGUCUUCUUUAUGGGCAGCCCCAUUUUUAAACCCGCUUUUUCAUCACGUUCCCGUGUCCCACACGUUUUCAUCAAAAACCUAAAUUUUAGGACUUCUUUGGCAGCCAUCUAAAAAUAUAUAAAAAUAAUAUUUUUAUCUUUUAAAAAUUAUUUUUACCAUCACUACAUUAAAAUAAUUUAAAAAUAUAAAAAAAUUUAUUUAAAAAAAAUCAAAAUUUUUAAAAACACAAGCAUUCCCAAACAAGGUAACGCGUCAAGAAUCACAACAAUAUGACAUGUUAGUGGAAAGUUGUGAUUAGAAAACAUGACUACUUUUAGAGUGAUUUUGACCGCGUAGCACGAAAUGUGCAUGCUUUAGUUUUUUUUGUCAAAAAAAUCAUCAUCAGAGACUAUUUUAUAUACCGGGGAGCUUGUUUUGAACGCGAUAGUAAUGAUAUUUUAAAGUAUGUUUUAUCUAAAAAUAUAUAAAAUAAUAUUUUUAUUUUUAAAAAAUUAUUUUUAACAUUAACAUAUUAAAAUAAUCUACAAAUAUAAAAAAAUUAUUUAUAAAAAUCAAAAAUUUUAAAAACACAAGCAGUCCCAAACAAGAUAACGCAUCAAGAAUCACAACAAUCUGACAUGUGAGUGGAAAGUUGUGAUUAAAAUACUUAAAGUACAUCCAGGCUAUUUCCAAGGAAAAAAAAAAACAUUACUACUUUUAGAGUGAUUUUGACAGGGAAGCAAGAAAUGUAAUUAUUAUUAUUUUUAAAAUAUUUUUUUAUUUAUAAGUAUAUUAAAAUAAAAAUUGUUAAUUUCGUUUCGUUUUAUUUGUAAUGGUUUCAUAUCAAUUCAAAAAAUAAAAUAAAACAAAAUAACUUUUAUCUUAUUUCAAAUCUCGGUCUCUUCCAGAUUUUUUGGCUAAAUUUCGUUCAGAAUGUUCCGGUUUCAUUCCACAAGUUCUAUUCCGGUCUUAAAAAGCCAUUGAAUCAAAUUGAACCUAGUUCAAUUAAUUAAUUAAACCAUUAAAGUAUAAAAAACUCUUUUUCAUUAGUAUUUUCAUUAACUAUGAUAUUAAUUUUUUAAAAUUAGAUUUAUCAUUAAUAUAUAUGGUUAUAUUCAUGUUAUUUUUUUUCAAGUUUAUACUUUGUAGGAAUUUAGGCCAAAAAAUGGAUGUUUUAGAUCUCAUUAGUCUUGAUAACAUUGAUCUAUCUUUAUAUUUAAAAUAUUAGUGUUAAAAUAUUUUAAUUUCAUGAUAUUUUGAUAUUUUAUUGAAGUUGAAUUGUUUUAAAUUAAAAAUUAUUUAAUCUUAAUUAUUUAAAAAUAUUUGAAAUUUUAAAAUUAUAUUUCAUCACGUCUCAUGAACCCCGUUGUGUCAAAAACAAAUUGCCUAAAAUUUAGGCUUUAGCAGUUCCUUUUUUGAAAUCCUCAUUAGUGAAAUUUCACGACUGCUUUAGCGGUUCCUUUUUUGUGUGCUUUCAUCUUAAAUUCAUGACCAAAAGGUAAAAUAUUCUACUUUCUAGUUUAGUAUUAAAUUUAGUAUUUAAAAAAUAUGUUUAUGAAUAUGGCAGUUUCAGGUUUAGAAACCAAAACUGCCAUAUUCAUACUCUCUCUUGGACAUUUUAAAAAUGUGUAGAAUACUUUUUAGUGAUGAUUUAUAAUAGUGAAUAGAUUUAUUAUUUUAUUAGGUUACUUUAAUGAUAAAUCAAUAUAGUAUUUUUUUUAUUUUUUGGAUUUUCAUCUUAGGGAAACUCAAUAGGAUGAAAAUAAAAUAUUAAUCAAACUUAAAAUUAUAAUUGUUUAUCUAUCCAAUUAAAAAAAAUAUGACAAUUCAGUGGUCUUUAAUGAAAUAAAAAAAAAUGAAAAAUGUUAUUUAUGUAAUUGUAAGCACACUAUAUUAUAUUACUUUACAAAGGGACGACGGACAUCCUUUCCAUUAGGAUUUCUUUAAGAGAUGGGGGACGAGAUGGCUGGUCAUUUUCAAGCAACGGAAGACAAAUUGGCAUCCUCUUUAGCUUCUCACAAGAUAUAAUUACCUUAAUAUCUUUAAGAGAAUUACAAAUCAGUUUUGCAUUGCAAAUGCUUUUUAGUUCCGGUAAGCCACAAAAUUUCACCUACCAGAGAAUUACAAAUCACAAGAAGGAAGUUGCUAGGAAGGAAGCCACAAAAUUUCACCUACCAGAGAUUAUAUUAUAAGAUAUGGCAAGUUGCUGUACACCUCAAAUUUGCUUUUCUUUUGUCUAGCGCUGCAUAUAAUUAAAAACUUCAACAAAAGAAUCAGAAGCUAAUUGCUGUCUGAGUUAACGUGUGGACCCACCCCAUUGUUGAAACUUUGGAAAAAGCUGGCCUGAAAAUGUAAGAGCCUGAAGCUUAGCUUCAAGAGCUGUAGCAAAGCAUUGACCGUCAUUAUCUGAUCCACUCCAACUUCCAUUCCCUACAAAUUUAACGAAGAACAGCAUUAGCAAUAAAAAGAGUUUUAUAUAUAACUUAAAGAAAUUCUAGUUAUGAAUUAGCAAAAAAAAAAAAAUCGUGCUUAGGGGUACUGAAACUACCGUUUUAUAGAUAACUUAAGAAAUUUUACUUAUGAUUACCUACUUAGUUCACAUCUUGAGCUUGAGAGCUCAGGCAGAAACACAAGUUUGAUCGCUCCCAGAAAGGUUCAAAAACUGCUUUUCCUAGUUAGCAUUUCCAUGAGCAGUAAGCGUCCUAUUCGUUUCGUUGCCCACGCUUAGUUUCGAGGUGUCAGCAACGUUCUUCUGAGCAUAAAUUCUUCUUUAAAACAAAAGGCGUAUAUGGUGAUUGUAAGGCAUAAUCCCGCAAAGUGUUCCAGUUUUUUUGCCUCUAUGACAUGGAUAUGGCUUCUCAUUAGUGAAAAAGCUAAAUGCUGUUUAUUGCACGCUGCUAGUUGGGAUAUACAGAACUCAGUUAAACCCAGCAAGUCGCUGCAUCAGACUUAAAACUCCAUAGCAGUCAGCACAAUCUAUGAAGAUAAAAUUGAAAACAAAACAAUCAAUGUAAACACAUGAAAAUGAGAAAGAAUAGCAUAUUUCCGCUUUUGAAAAAUCAUUCAUCACUUUUAAAUACGCAAAUGAUUAUCCCUAUUAAGAAAAUUCAACGACAACAAUAUACUCAAGAGCAGGGGCGGAACUAGGGGAGGUAGGCAGGGGUCCGGGCCAAAAUAUUUUGAAGGUUUGUAUUUUUAAUGUUUAAAUAUAAUAUAAUAUAAUAUAAUAUAUUUUUAAUUUAAAUAGAUAAGAUUUUUAAUAAUAAAUUAUAUUUUGAGUUUUGGCCCUUCCUAUUAUAUCAUUUCAGCUCCGCACCUGUCAAAAGCAAUAUUACAGUAAAGAAAUUAAAUCAAUACAGAUAAAUAUAUGAUCCAAAAAUAAUUAAAGAAUCAAUCCAUUUAAUCGAAAAAAACAUGACUGAAUCCAUAAACUAUAUGCCAUUCUUUUUCUAAAGGAGGCAGCCCCACUUUUUCAUUAGGUCGCCAUGGUCCCCGUGUCCCACACGUUUUUAAGUGCGUCCAGGCUGGUUCAAAGGGAAUUUCACGACUUGUCUGCGAGAGCUUCAACUCUACAUUGAAAUGUUUUUUCUUAAUCUGUGAGAGCUUCAUAAUAAGCUUAUUGAAAUAAAUUAUUAUAAUGAAAUUAAAAACAAAAAUGCUUAAAAAAAAACAGAGAGACGCCGUGUUUUCUCUAUUGCUACAAGGUAAAAGUCUGAGCAUAUUUUUUUAUUUAUUUUUUUAUUUUUUAAUAAUAUUACUGUUGUAUCUACCGCCUAGAAAUCAAGAACGCUAGUUUCAUUUAAAAGAUUCUGAAGUUCAUAUUUAGAUAAAUUAGCAGAAAGGACGGAAACACAACAAAUCAUACCCAGAGAAUCAAAAGCCAGAAACAAGCUACCUCAAUUCCUGCUCCACCUGGCUAAGAAAUGCAGCAUGCCCACUUGGAAUUACACAUCAUCCAAAUUCCAUGGCAAAUAAUUGGUUGGAAUUGUUUCCUGUGGAGUCUUUCAAAAUUUGAAAAUAAAAACAGAAAAUAGAUCCAGCAAAUGAUUCCAAAUAUCUUAUAAAAAUAACAAUGAAAUAUGUUUUUUAUUUACUGUAAGGAAAUAUAUUAAUGGAAAAAAUAAAAAAUAAAUCAAUUUAAAAAAUAUAUAAUAAGUCAAAAUCUAGACUUAAAAUCUAACUCGUAUCAGGUUCCUAGUUGAAUUGAAUAAUUGAAUAAGAAGGUGGGAAAGGGAGAGAGCGAAAGGUAUCAAACAGGAAAAAAGAAAAAAAAAGAAAAAAAAAAAGGAAAGAUCCAUAUUGUAGUAGUAUUCCGGAGGAGAGGGUCAAAGAUGGCGGCUGGUUCAAAGGACGAGCUUAAUCUCAUGAAUCAUUUUUUAACCUUUAUCGUAGGACUUGACACGUGUCCUCUAAACCCUCCUGUCCCUCUUCCGAUCCUUGCUAAACCCUUGUUCUGGUCGUAAUCAUCCAUUAGCGUAAACCUACGCUUCUCUUGACUUUGAUCCCAAUAAACCAACCUAUAGAGUUGGUGGUAAUGUAAUUGAUAUUAUUUUUUAAAUUAUUUUUAUUUUAAAAAAUAUAAAACUAAUUUUAAUGUGUUGGCAAUAAAAAAAAUUAAAAAUAUUUUAUUAAUGUAUUUUUAUUUGAAAAAUAUUUUUUUAAAAAUCGUAUGUAGAAUUACUAAACACCCUUAAGCCGGUGGACAAACACACAAACGAGAAAAUACAAAGGAAAAGGGAUAAAAGCAUAUAUUUGGAGAUGAUAAAAGGGCAUUGAGAUCAAAGAGGAUAAGUUUUCCAGUGAUGGGAUUGGAUGUUGAUGAAAGAUUGUGUGGAUAAGAGCAUAGUAAUUAAUUAUUUACUAAAAAGUUCUUCAGUGACCUAAUUCCGUGGCCCACAAAAUUAUCAUUAUCCAAUAAACUAUUUGAUUAAUUCAGUGUUGCUUAAUCCCAGUUUGCUAUUGCGUUUUAAAUGGGUAUUGGUUAAAUUUUAUUUUUUUAUAUUAUUUUGAUGGGUUGAUAUAAAAAUAAUUUUAAAAAAAUAAAAAUAAUUUUAAAAAAUAUUAUUAUAACACCAACUUAUGAUAAUUUUCUUUAUUGAUUAGUGAAUUUGAUUAGACUAAGAAUCUCCAUCACAGCCCAACAUCAUUAGCUUAUCUGCCAUCCCUUUCAAGAGAAGAAGAUUUCGAAUCAGUCCAUUCAUUCCCAUCUGUAGCAUCUUUCUCAAGCGUCAAUGGAGAAUUACUUCUGGAUUCUGAGUUGCCAAUAAAAAACAAAAAACCCUUAUAAACUAGUUCGUCUCCCAGUUCUUAAAUUAGUUUCCACAUUGUUUUUCACAAUUUUUAAAGAAAAAAAAAAUAAAAAUAUGAUCAUAAGCUAUAUAUCUAACACUCACUUGAAAGAAACUGAUAACCAUGCAAGCAUUUUACAUGGCAGUAUUUGAUAUGGGGUAAGAUUUUGGAGACAAAUUAGAGUACUCAAAUUGAAUGUACUAGGUGAAUUGCCUGCGCGGUGCUGCGGGUUAUAACAUGAACUGAGCAAAAUCUAAAGGCACUGAGAUCAAACUGAGCAACCACACAGAGUAAAUCUGAAAACAUUGUAACCAUUGAGAUCGAACUGAGCAACCAUUUUGGAAAAAAUAAAAUUUAAAUUAUUUUUUUAAAUGUUUUUUAAUCAUUUUAAUAUUAUGAUAUUAAAAAUAUUAUUUUAAUAUAUUUUUAAAUAAAAAAUAUUUUGCAACGCAACUUUUACCUCACUCUUAAAUAAAUCCUUAUUCUAUUGCACAUAAACAUAUGUUUUCAUGUAUAGUGGAUUAACCAAUCUUUUUAGUUUUCUUAUAUUGUUCAUAAAGACCGGAAACGCUUAAAAAUAAAAUUUUAAUAAUCAAGAGAAAAAAAAAUAGUUGAAUUUUUGUACCUCUCACAAGAAAAAUAGAUAGAUGUAUGAAAUUUUAUUCUAAAUAUAUUCUUAUAAAAAUUUCAAAAUUCCAAUUCAUGUAACUCGAUUAUUAUUCUUUUUUUAAGUUUCUUCUCUCUCUCCCUCUCUCUUUUUUCUUUUUAAUCUGUAUUAUGCAUUUUUAAAAUAUAAUUUAUUGCUAGUUAAUGAUAUAAGAUGAUUUGUACUAGUGAAUAGAUCUAUUAUUUUAUUAGGUUAUUUUAAUGAUAAAUCAAUAUAGUAUUUGUUUUUGGGAUUUUCAUCUUGGAAAUACUCAAUAGGAUGAAAAUAUAAUAUUAAUUAAACUUUAAAUUAUAAUUAUUUAUCUAUCCAGUUAAAACAAAUAUGACAGUUUAAUAGUCUUAAAAGAUAACGAAAUAUAAAAAAAAAUGAAAAAUGUUAUUUAUGUUAAUUGUAAGCACACGAUAUAAAUAAGAAAUAUUUCAUAUUAAUAAACGCUUUACGAGUCCAAUCAAUCAGAUGUUAAUUAACAUAAAGAAAUUAACAUGGUGUUUGCAGAGAAUGAAUUGUAGAAAGAGAGAUUGAGAGUGUGAGCAAUAAAAGAUGAUGCUUACCCUUUAUUCUAUAUUAUAUUAUAUUAUAAUAUAGAUUGAGAAGAUAACCUUACAAAGGGAAAAAAGACAUCCUUUGCGUGAGGAUGCUCCCCCUCCAUUACUGUCUCCCACCAUUCUUUUAGACUUACAUAUAUGUUUUUAAGAGAAGGGGGAGGAAAUGGUUGGCCAUUUUCAAGCAACGGAAGACAAAUUGGCAUUCUCUUCAGCUUCUCACAAUACAUUACAAUAAUAUCUGUGAGCCUGACUGCAACACCAGACCCAAGAAUAAUGGAUGUGGGUCUGGCUAUAAGAUCGUGUCAUAAAAGUAUGAUAAUUAAUAGAUUAAUUAAAAAAACAAAGAAAAAAAUCAACAGUAUUUAGGAUGGGUGGAGGCUGUGGUCGGGUUGUUGUUUGGAGUGGCAAAGCGGAGUGUUGUGGGCUGUUUGGGUGGCUAGUGAAAGUGGGUGGCGGUAGGUGGUUUAGCAAAUUUGGGAGGGUGACAGUAGUGGGUGGGGUGGGGGUUGUGGUGGAGACCUUUGCAAUCUGUUCAGAAUUAUCAAAUGGAAACACAUGUUCAUGAAAGCGAACAUGACGAGAAAUAUAAAUACGGUGAGAUGCAAUGUCAAAACAUCGAUAACCAAUAUGCGAGGAACUAUAUCCAAAAAACACACAUGGAGAGGAACGAAAAUCCAAUUUAUGAUUAUUAUAUGGACGCAAAAAAGGAAAACAGAGACAGCCAAAGGUACGCAAAAAAUGAUAAUCAGGAGACCGUUGAAAUAAACAAUCAAAUGGAGAGCGAUGGGCAAGAAUAGGAGUAGGCAUGCGAUUUAUAAGAUAAACAGAGGUUUCAAAAGCAUAAUUCCAUAAUCGAAAAGGUGCUUUACAUUGCCCUAAAAGAGUAAGAUCUGUUUCCACAAUAUGCCUAUGACGAUGCUCUACUGUUCCAUUUUGUUCAUGAGUGUGGGGACAAAUUAGACGAUGAUGAAUACCAAUGGUCUGAAAAAAUGUGGAUAGUUUUCGGUAUUCACCGCCCCAAUCAGUUUGAACAGAUUUUAUUUUUAAUAAAAAUUGACAUUCGACAAGAGUCUGAAAUUGAUGAAAAACAGAGUAAACAUCAGACUUGGCAACGAAAGGAUAAUACCAUACAUAUUUAGUAUAAGCAUCAAUAAAGAUAACAAAAUAACGAUAGCCAUCUGAAGAAAAAAGAGGAGUAGGGCCCCAUACAUCACUAAAAAUUAAUUCAAAUGGAGCAGAAGUUUUGUGACCCGUAGGUCCUAAAGACAAACGCGAUGAUUUUCCUAAAGGACAACUUUGACAUUGAAAAUUAAGACGUUUGUUGUUACAAAUGAUCUUAUUUUUCGAGAUUAACAAUUGAAAAAUACGUGAAGUAGGAUGACCUAGUCGAUGAUGCCAUAAAUCGACAAAGGCAGAAGUGUAGGGAGACCAAUAGGCUUGAGGAACUGACGUGAUGAAAGACUUGGUCAGGGCAUAGAGACCAUCUUUACUCUGACCUGAGAGAAGGACUUCAUGGGUGUUGAAAUCCUUGACAUAAAACACACGAGGGUGAAAUUUAAAAUAAACAUUAUUAUCAAGACAAAAUUUCUGAACAGAGAGCAGAGGUUUCGUGAUUGCAGGAACAGGAAGAACAUUAGAUAAGGUGAAAGAACGAUGUGGUGUAUAUAUUUUUGUAUGACCUAGAUGAGAUAUAGGAAGGCCCUUACCAUCACCAACAUGCAAAUUAUCAUUACCAAGAUACGGUUCUGAAGCGGUCAAGGUGGCAAGAUCAGGUGUGACAUGUUGAUUGGCACCGGUAUCCGGAAACCAAUCAACAGAACCAGUUGAGGAGAGAUUGCGUUGCACCAGGUUGGCAGUAGGUUGUUGGCCAUAACCUCACUGCUGGAAUUGAGGGCAAUGGGGAGCUGUAUGGCUAAAAUUCUAACACAGUUGGCAGCGUGGAUUAUGCCCCAUAUUGCGCUGCCAAGAGCCCUGCCUAUUGUCACCAAAGGAGGAGUUUUGGAAGCUACGGUGAUCAGGUCUGGAGCCAGCAAAUCGGUUGCCUCUGCUGCUGGACUGGUUGGGAAGCCAGCCACCGUUGAAGCGACCCCUACUGCGGCCAGAAUUGCCAAAAGUCUGGUGCUGCGCAACAAGAGCAGAAGAUGGAAUGCUGGGUGUGGGCAGAAGAGGAGCAUGUAUGGCAGCAGAAGAUUUGUGAAGAAAUUCAUGUGUGAGGAGAUGGCUGUGAAGAUCUGCGUAUGAUAAAGGUUCAGCCUUGGUAAUAAGAAUGGUAACUAAGUUUUUAAACUCUCCCCGAAGACCACGAAACACAUAUAAAUUGAAAUCUUCAAGCGAAACUGGCCGACCAGCAGCGACCAAUUCAUCAAAUAAGGCCUUCGCUUUUUGCAUAAAUUGAGUUACUGAUUCAUCACCCUGUCGAAGAUCCUGAAGAGAGCCGUGAAGUUGCAUAAUACGAGAGUUAGAGGUGGAAGCGAGAGCUCGCUCAAGAGUGCCCCAAGAUGAACAAGAACUUUGACAGCCAACAACAAGAUGCAAAACUUCCAUAGAUAGGGAGGAAAGAAGAGCACUUAGAAUGAAUUGGUCUUGUUGUUUCCAGGUUUGAAAAAGCAGAUUUACCUGAAGAGAGAUAGCAUCAUGGGCAAGAACAUGUGUUGAUGGAGAUGUGUUGGAGCCAUAAAAAAAAACCAAAAACUUCUUGGCCUAGGAGAUAAGGCAGCAUCUGCAUACGCCAAUAUAAAUAACUGGUGUUUGUUAAUUUGAGGGAGAUGACUUGAUGAGUGUGAGAAAGGGAGAUAAUGCUUGCGGCAGCAGAGGCAGCAGACGUGGGCUGCAAGAGGAGGCGUUCACCAGCCAUGGAAGAGGAGAAUCCAGGCGGUGAUGCAGCAGAGGAAAGCAGAGGAGGCGUUAUAAGAGAAGAGGGUUGCACUGUCGGAGAAGAAGAAAGCUGGACUGCUGGUGCUGUAGAAUUUGAAGAUGUAUGUGGCGACUGUUCCAUUGAAGAAGGAAGGCUGUGAGAAAAGUAGGUUUAAUUUAUUUUAAAGUUUUGUGGCUCUGAUACCAAGUUGAGAAUAAUGGAAUGUGUUGGGUUGUGCCUUAACCAACCUUCCUAUUUAUAUAAAGGCAGCAGAACACUACAAUAACUAUAAUGAUUACAACAUCCUAUAUUAGAAUCCUAUUCUGAUAGAUACAUGAGUAACUGUAAUGAUUACAACAUCCUAUAUUAGAAUCCUAUUCUAUAAUAAACAUGAAGAAAAAAACUAAUGAAGAAAAAGAAAAAAAAUUGAAUUAAUUGGGUUAACUCUUUAAACCAGGUUAUCCCAUAAAAUAUGGGAUUCACAUCAUAAAAGAUUGAUAACUAAAUAGAAAAAAAAAUAACGGGUUUACCCAUAAUUAACUGGGUUAACCCAUCAAACGAAGUUAAUCUGUCAAGCCCAAGAUACGUGUCAUGAAAGUCUAAUAAUUAAAUAGAAAGAAAAUUAACUUUAACAAACUAAACUAAAUGAAAAAAAUAAUUAAAAAAAAUCUAGGUUAACUCGUCAAAUCAGGUUAACCCAUCAAACCUGGGAUUCGUAUCAUAAAAAUCUGAUAACUAAAUAAAAAAAAUUAACAUUAAAAAAAAACAAAAAAAAAUUAAAAAAAAAGAAGAAAAAAAAACAGUUAUAUAAUAUAAUAUAAUAUAAUAUAACAUAAUAUAAUUAUAAUUAUAAUUAUAAUAUAAUAUAUUAAUAUAUUAAUAUAUUAAUAAGUAAAUAUAUUAAUAAAAGUUGUGGGAAAGCUACAGUAGUUUUCCACACCUUUUAGAGUAUUAGAUUUAUCAAGUUUGCUUAAUUAAGAUGGAAUAUUUAUGACUUUUUUAAUCUAUAGUGUUUUUCUCCUGGUACAUGGUAAAAGCCUGGGCAGUUUUUUUUUUUUUUAAUUUUAAUAAUAAUUCUAUUCUUUCUAUCCCAAGAAAUCGAGAAUGCUAGUUUCAUUCAUCAAGAUUCUAAAUCCUAUAUACAGAUAAACUCAAGAAUGUGUCUUCUCUCUCUUUUUUUAUUUUUAAUCUGUAUUAUAUAUAUAUUUUUUAAAUAAUUUACUGCUACUUAAUGAUAUAAGAUGAUUUAUAAUAGUGAAUAGAUUUAUUAUUUUAUUAGGUUACUUUAAUGAUAAAUCAAUAUAAUAUUUUUUUUAUUUUUUGGAUUUUCAUCUUGAAAACUCAAUAGGAUAAAAAUAUAAUAUUAAUCAAACUUCAAAUUAUAAUUAUUUAUCUAUCGAGUUAAAAAAAAAAGGUACAAAGGGAUGAAGGAUUAUUUCAAUAUUAAUUAAUAAGAAUAUCCUUGUUGAUUUAAAGGACUAUUUUCAUCAUUCAUAUCGAAAAUAAUUAUGUUUUGCACCUGAUUUUUAACAAAAAUGAUUGAAAAAAUGAUAUAUUAUUGAAUGUGAGCAAAUUUAAGAUUACAAAAAUGAUUAAACUUUUUACAGAUGGAUAGAAUUGAUAAAUGAUGCAACAAAGAAGGAUACGUAUUAUUACAUUUAACAGAGUAAUUAACCAUUAUACAUAUUAAUUAUUUUAAGAAAAAAAAUGUCCUUUGGACAAUAUUCUUUGCAUUAGGAUAGAAUUGAUAAAUGAUGCAACAAAGAAGUAUUCUUACGUGUUAGGAUAGACGACGAAAGGAUUAACAAUACGAAAGGUACAAUUUGAUUGAGAGAGAUGAUGCUUACCCACUCCACUACUGUCUCCCACUAUUUUUUUGGAUAUAUUCUGAUUUUUUUAAGAGAAGAGGGAGGAGAUGGCUGGCUAUUUUCAAGCAACGGAAGACAAAUUGGCAUCCUCUUCAGCUUAUCACAAUACAUUACACUAAUAUCUUCAAGAGAAUUGCAAAUCUGUUUUGCACUGCAAAUGCUUUUCAGUUCUGGUAAAUCAUACAAUUCCAGAGUUCUUAACUUUGGGAGAAUGACUUCCGUGAUGGAAUUGGAGGUGCUGCUUUCUUUAUCUGUUGUUUCUAUUAUCUCCUCUAUUUUCUCACAUCCACUAACAUCAAUCAGUUCCAGGUUUACAAGGAUUGGAAGUAGCACAAGCGGGAACAACUUCUUCAUACUGUUACAGUUCUCACAAUAAAACCUUUUAAGACUAGAAAACAUACCAUUACAUGAUGGCAAUGGAGUCCCAUCUCCGUUGAUACUCAAGAAGAUGAAACCAAGCUCUCCAUGCUAUUGCAAUCCCAAAUGUCGAUGAGCUCAAGUUCAGUUGCAUUCUCUAAUGACAAAACAUCACAUAAACUUCUUGCAUUUAUACAUUCACAAACCAAUCCUUGAAUGCCAUUUAAGAACUUAACAUGAAAAUCUCAUCUCCGUUGAUACUCAAAUUACCUAACCUAACUGUUUUACUUGGAAAAUCACCUCUGUUUGCCCAAUAAUCUUCACCCACCAUUCCUACUAAAAUUUUAUAUGUGCUUAAUGAUUGAAUCCCCUCUCGAGAACUGAGAUACUCCACGAAGUCAGGGAGACCUAUGAAAUGGCAUUGCAAAGUUUCUAAAUUUCUCAAGAAUCCUACUUCCUUUCCUUUAACUGUUAUCGGAGCAUAACAUUCAUCAAUUAACGUUUCCUCUAGUACAAAGACUUGCAGGUGAGAGAGUUUUGGUAAUAUACCACUAGGAAACUCCUUUUCACCACAUCCAUUCAUUCUAAGAUACCUCAGGUUGGUUAGGCAUUCCAUUCCUUGCGGUAUCUUUUCAAGCACUGUAAAAGAGAGAUCCAACCUCUUCAGUGCUCUGAGCUUUUCUAAUGAUGGAACAUGUCUUAAGUACUCACAAUUAUUGAGCAAUAAGGCAGUGAGACUCACCAAAUCAAAGACAGAGUCUGACAAUUUUUCAAUACCUGUCCAAGACAGAUCGAGGACCUUGAGCCCAUGCAAUUGCUUGAAAAAUGAAUCCGCAAUCAAUCCCAGCCCUUCAUUAUCACAUAGAAAUAAAGUUGACAGAUUUAGACACAUUGGUGAAUGGCUGGAAGGAAUUUCUUGAAUCUCGUUUUGCAUUAGUGAAACAAUCGUCAAGUUCUCCAUCCACUCCUUUGUAUCUGGCAGCUCUUUUAAUUAGUGACUUGCAUUAGUAUUUGGAUGGUCAUGUCCCUAAUCAAGUCAUGCAUCUUGACACAUCUUUUACCAUCAUAAUACAUUUUAGCACUUUCCAAUAAGCAGACAUUUUCAAGUCUAUUAAGCAUCGUGUGACCCUCAUCAAAUGCAUCUCCCCUACUCCUCUUUACUUUAAUUAUCCCCUCAUCGAUCAAAUAACUUAUCAACCUCUCCCUCCAAAUCCAAUCAUCUUCGGGAAAUAAUGCACAGUACAAGAGACAUUGUUGUAGUGCUAAAUCACCUAACCGAUCAUAACUAAACCUCAACAACUUUAAUACUUCCUUGUCCUUAAAUUCUGAUUCUCUCAAUUUCUUCAAUGUAUUUCUCCACUCAUGUAGGUUAUCCACUCCCCUCAAGCUUCUUGGUACUGUAAUAAUUCCCAACGGCAAACCAGCACAUUCCUUUGCAACAGCUUUUGCAAUCCCUUCCACUUCUCGCGAAAGUGCUAUGUCACGUCCAAGUUUCUCCAUGAACAAAGUCCAAGCUUCUCCAUCAGAAAGUGGCUUCACUUUGAUUUUACAGUGGCAAGCCAUCUGAUGACAAACCAUUUCUAAUCGAGUUGUCAUAAUCAGCUUGCAUUCUUUCAACUUCUCAGGAAUUCCCACUCUGUCAAGUUCAAAAUUGUUCCACAAAUCAUCUAAAAUGAGAAUCCAUUUUUGUUUCCUCCUUAGUUCUAUUGACAAUUUGGCAGCUCUGUGCAGAUCAUCAUCUUCACUUGAAAGAUCUACAUAAAGACAUUUAGCAAUACGAUUUUGCAAUCUGUUAAUGCUGAAAUCUUGAGACACAGUCACCCACCAAACAUGAUCACAAAUAUCUGGUUUUUGUAGAAGCUCAUUAUGGAUAUGCUGUAGUAUUGUGGAUUUACCAACUCCCCCCAUCCCAUAAAUGCCAAUGGUUGAGACUUCCCCAUCCAUUAACAAAGACCAUAUCACCUUCGUAUUCUCUUUGAAUGCUCGACCCACUAGCUUUGUUGAGCUAGUAGGUAAUGGAACUCCUCUAGUCUUGUUGUAUUUCAGACUUUCAGAAGAUCUAGCUCCAGCACCAACCUGCACUGAUCUUCGACUAUUCUCCACAUCCUCCUCCACUGGUCUGCUCUCGAGUGCCCCUUCAGAAACUCCAUCUUCUUGUGCUCUCAUUCCGGUCUUGCUUACUACGUCGUUUCCUGCUAUUGCAUGUGAAGAAAUCCUUUGUUCCCCUGCUCUGAGUUCUACAACCUGAACUUCUCUUUGUAACCUUCCAGUACCUCCUACCGUUGUUGAAAUUCCACAAUCAUUAACAUUGAUUGAACUUGCUGUGAUUUUAUGUCUUUUGUUGCCACCAAACAUAGCUUUCCAAGCUGCUUCUUGAACUUCUUUAGGCACCCCACGACAAAUGGCAACACCACGCCCUUCUUCUCCUGAUAAAUGACAUUUGAUCCUUGAAAUGGAAGUUUUAAUGGCAUAUGUAUGUCGACAAAACUUACACUUCAUGCUACCAUCAGCCUUUUCUUCAACAUAAUUCCGAAAUGAAUCAUUUGAUCCACCCAUUUCAACCUAUAGAAAAAAAAAGGGGGGGGGGGUUCAAAAUACAGAAUAAAAAUCAGUCAAAAUAUAGAAUAAAAAUUGAUGCAAGUUACACCAUAUCCGGAUGGAUGAGAAACUACUUCAGUGUUGUUACCCUUAUUUUGCUAUUAAAAUUGAUAGUUAGUUUAUUGCACAAUCAUCGGAGGGAAAAAGACGACGAUAAUUCAGUUAGACUUCUUACUUGUUGAGCAUUUAAACCCCUAUUUUGACUUUGGAGGGAAGUGCCAAGGCCAGGAUUUGAGGCAUUUGGCAUAGCAGUUUGAUUUUGCAAUCCUCGGACUUGGAGGUUAUCCAUCUGUGACCUAUAUAUAUACAAAUGAAUUGAUCAUAUUAUAAAACCUUUCCAUAAUUGGUAGUCUCUCUUAAGCAGUAAAAGUUAAUGGUGUUAAAACACAACAGCUAGAAGUCAAUCAGUACCUAGUUACGAAUAAGUUCUCUUGUUGGACAUUGUCUAUGUUAGGAAUUACAACAGCUCGAUCGACUUGUCCUUGAUUAGAAAAAUAUUGACUCCUGAAUCCAAAAUCAUUUGCAAACAAUAUGUUUAGCUUGUUGGGUUCAUGUUCAAGCUAUGAUGUUUCUUUCCCGAUUGAAAAACUAAUUUUUUUUAUAUAGAAAAUACAAAACAUGAAAAAUUGGAUACCGGGGAGCAGGAAAAGAAGGUCCAGGUUGAAUGAAGCCACCAUGUUCUGAAGUGGUUGCGUUCGGUGUCAUAUAGCCAUGUCCCGGCUGUGGUUGAUGAAUAUUGGAGUACUGAUGCCUGAAUAAUAUUCAAAUAGUUAAACUUAGAACUGUUAUUCUAACUUGGUUGAUUUUCUAGUUCCAUUAUGUGCACAAAAAAAGAGAGAUAGAGAGCUCAAAAAGACUCGAAAGAUCCUCGUCAAUUCUGGUCAAGUUUAUUGUUUUCAUGAUUAAAAAAGUGUAUAUUCGAAGUUAAUACCAUUGAUUCAAUGGAGGUUGAGGUCCAGGUAGCAUCGCAGGCACUUGAUUCCUCAUUGGUAACUGAUAAUUAGUCCAUUGUUGGUCCCUAAAUUAGCAACAUUUUGUUAGUAAUUUCUUUAUACAUAUACGCAUAAUUCUUUACUAUUAAUCCACUAAGCAUUUAUUAUCAUUUUAGCUUACCUCAAAGGCAUUGAUGGUCCAGGUAGCAUGGGAUUGGCACAUCGAGGAUCAGAUAAAUUAGGAUGAGGCAGAUACCUAUAUUCAAAUAUAAUGAAUUCAUUUAGUGUAAUAAAUUGGCAUCACUGAUAAGAAUAUUAGGCAGAUAAGUAGAACAACAACAAGAAGUUAAAUAAUUAUGAAUAUUAUGUACAAGAAGAAUUUAAAUAAUGAUUAUUCUCACUUAGUUGAUUUUCUAGUUUCAUUAUGUGAUGCAAAUCAGGAGACAGGGGAAACAUGGGGAAGGCAAGGACUCUUGAAAGUUGAUUAAAGCUUAUUAGCUGUAGUUAUUAUUUCCUAUUUAGCUGAUAGUUUCCUAGUCAGAUUAGUAUUAGAUUUCAAUUACGUAUUAGAUCGUAAUUCCUUAGCUGUAGGGUAUUUAAGAGGGGAACAGAACAAAAGAUGGGACAUUAUUUGUAUUCUUGGCAAUUACUUUCUUUAAAUACAAAUUGGAGUGAUUCCUCUACAUAGAUAUUCUGUAUUAAAUUAUUUAUUGUUCUUACUGGGAGCAACGAGAGGUUGUACCGGAGGGCAUUUACAUUAAUAUGUGCACAAAGAGAGAGAGAGAGAGAGAGAGAGAGAGAGAUAGAGAGCUCAAAAGAAGUAAAAUAAUGAUGAAUACCUUGAUGGAGUUUGAGGCCAAUUUGGUUCAUUUUGGUUGAUCCGUGAUGAUAUGGAGCUUUGGUUGUCUGGAACCUCCGGUGGCAGCCUGCUUCCAUUGACAGUGACAUUAUUAGGAUAAACGGAAGAACAACUAAAUUGCAAGCAAUCAUCUUCUGAUAAAAUAUGCUUAAGAAUGACGUACGAGAGAAACUCAGAAAUAUUGAAUGUAUCUUCAAUGGUGUAUCUAAUUAUAAAAAUGAAGUGAUCAUAUUAUAAAACUUUUCAAUAUUUGGUAGCCUCUCUUAAGCAGUAAAUAUCAAUGGUGUAUCUAAUUAUCAAAAAGGUGUUAAUACCGUGUUAAAACACAACGGCUAGAAGUCAAUAAGUACCUUGUAGAGUUGCUAGAGUUUCGAGGCACGAAGUUCUCUUGUUGCAUAUUGUCUAUGUCUGGAAUUACAGUAGCUUGAUCGUCUUGUCCUUGAUUAGAAAGAAAUUGAAUCCUGAAUCCAAAAUCAUUCGCAAGCAUUAUGAAGCAUUACAAACUUAUGAUUAUCUAGCUGGGUUCAUGUUCAAGCUAUGAUGUUACUUUCCUCUUUGAAAAACUAUUUCUUUUUUUUUUUACAGCAAAUACUAAAUAUGAAAAAUUGGAUACCGGGGAGCAGGAAAAGAAGGUCCAGAUUGAUUGAAGCCACCAUGUUGUGAAGUGGUUGCAUUCGGUGUCAUAUAGCCUUGUCCCGGAUGAGGUUCAGGAAUAUUGGAGUUCUGAUGCCUGAAUAAUAUUCAAAUAGUUAAACUUAGAACUGUUAUGCUCACUUGGUUGAUUUUCUAGUUCCAUUAUGUGCACAAAAAAGAAGAGAGAUAGAGAGCUCAAAAAUACUUGAAAGAUCCUCGUCAAUUUUGGUCAAGUUUAUUGUUUUCAUGAUUAAAAAAGUGUAUAUAUAUUCGAGGUUAAUACCAUUGAUUUAUUGGAGGUUGAGGUCCAAGUAACAUCGCAGGCACUUGAUUGCUCAUUGGUAACGGAUAAUUAGUCCAUUGCUGGUCCCUAAAUUAGCAACAUUUGUUAGUGAUUUCUUUAUACAUAUGCAUAAUUGUUAGCUAUUAAUCCACUAAGCAUUUGAUAUCAUUUUAGCUUACCUCAAAGGCAUUGAUGGUCCAGGUAGCAUGGGAUUGACACAUUGAGCAUCAAAUAAAUUAGGAUUAAGCUCAUACAGUGAUACCUAUAUUCAAACAUAAUGAAUUCACUGAUAAGUACAACAACAAGAGGAAGAAAAGAAGAAGGUCCAGGUUGAUUGAAACCACCAUGUUGUGAAGUGGUUGCGUUCGGUGUCAUAUAGCCAUUUCCCGGCUGAGGUUGAUGAAUAAAGGAAUUAUGAUGCCUUGAUGGAGUUUGAGGCCAAUUUUAUAUAAAACUUAACGAUAAAAAAAUAUCAUAAAAAAAGUCUAAAUCUCCCAAUUGUUGUCUGUUUGUUUAACAAUAAACAUUUUGAAGAUGCUCGAGAUAAAUUGAUACACGAAAACAUAAAACUUUUUGAUCCAAUGGGUGAUACAAACACUUGCUAAUUCAAUGGACAUUGUAGCAAAUUGGAGUAGGCAUGAGCACUCACCAUGGUUUGAGGAAAUGAAGCUGGAAACUGAGUUGUUUGUUGAAUACUGUCGUUGAUCACAUUGUUAUCCACCACCAUGUUCUGUCCAUCUUGAUCAUUGCAUAAUAUGGAGCUUUGGUUGCCUGAAACCUCCGGUGGCGACCUGCUUAAUUUGUUAUUAGGAACAUUAUUCUUUUUUGGGAAUAAUAAGAAAAACUGUAGAAUAACUAAAUUGCAAGUAAUCAUCUUCUGAUAAAAUAUGCUUAAGAAUGACGUACAUGAGAAGCUCAGAUAUAUUGAAUGAAUCUUCUUGUGAUUGAAAAUCGAACUGAUUCGAUGUCAAGUUGACAUCAUCCCCAUUACAAGACGGUGGGACUCCUUCCAUCUGAGGUUUAAAAAAGAACAGAAAGCACAGAUUAGAUGUGUGUGUGUGUCUAUAUAUAUAUAUAUAUGACUUAUUUAUUUGUUAAAGAGAUUCAGAUGAAAAAUAGGAAAUAUAAAUGUUGCUGUUAAUGAUUUAAUUCUUUGUUUUAAUGCUAAAUUAUUUGUCACUUGUUGUAAACAAGUUUAAUGAAAGGUAAUUAACUAAUACUGAUCAAGUUAAUUCAUGAAUCAGUAAAAAACAAUUUCAUUGAAUCAUUAUGUCAGAAAAAUAUUGGAUAAAAAUUAAUGGCAGUCCCACUAAUUGGAAAAGAAAAGGGUGAAACUAAAAUAAGAAGUUUGUCGCACGUAUGCGGCGUCGAGGCGAAAACAUCCACUCUCAAAUCGUUAUCUAAUGUGACAAAUGUGAGGAGACAAGGAAUUCUUGUCUUUUAUUAGUGGAAAAAUAGAAUGGGAGUCGCCACCUAAUAUUUUGGUAACUAGGAACCCUAACUGGUCUCAGAGAUCAGGUACGGGGACUAGUUGCGUAAAGGGAAGGUUUUAGCACCCCAAAUACGCUCUACCUAAAGUAAGCUGCAUUGUUUAAUUGUUUGAUAAAAUCUAAGGUCUUGUCGUGUAUUUUAGUUGUUGGUCCGUCUAUGGUUUAAGAAAAAAAUCAUCUUCAGUAAAGAGAUCCUUAUCUUAUUGGGUAUGACCUAAUUGUUUUAACAUCAACAAAAAAAUUUUAAUAUCCGGAAUAUGUCUUACAUAUAAGAUCAUAACCCUAGAUAUUAAAGGAAAACAAAAUAAGUUUUUUUGGAAUUUUUGAAAUAUUGUCUAGUUCUCGUGACUUUAAUAAACUGGUUAUUAAAGCUAAAAUGCAUGUUAAUACAAAUUUUUGAAUCUUUGUUAUAUGAAAAUAUGAUAUGAUUUUUUUUUUUGAAAGACUAGGGCGUAUGCAUGAAAACAAAAAAUAUAUUUUUUAUGUUUUUGUAGAAAACCGGGUAUUUUAAUACCAAAUUUGUAUCUUUACAAUAUAAAAAUACAAACCAAUGUUGAUUAAAAUACAAUAGAAAAAUUUGCAAAAAUCACUAAUUUUUGAAAAUAUUUGUUUUAUUUUAUUAUAAUUAAUUUUAUCAUGGAUUUCUUUAAAGAUUCAAACCAUAUAUAGUUACAUAUAGAAAAACAAAAACACCAACAAGAUGAAGUACAAAUAAUUUACCUGGAUUCAAGAUGUUCUUCAAGUGCUAGCUGGUUUGCUUGAGCAGUGAUCAGCCAAAAGAAAAGGAAGAGAAAUCACAGAUCAGAGAAGAAUAUAUGGCUUAGAAAAAUAAUAAAGUUGCAGUUAACAUAAAUCUAGUUCGUACUGAUCAUGGGAUGUGGAAAGGAAAAUAGGGAAUUCUAUUGUGAGAUGAGAUGUGACGUGGAAGAGAAUGGUAGGUCAGCUAAAUAAUAAUUAAUUAACGUAUUGUUUGACAGGAAGGAAAUUGCCAGGAAGCAACCCCCCGCAUACCUACCAAACAUUAUAUUAUAAGAUAUAGAGAGUUAACAUGUGGACCCACCCCAAUGUUCAAACUUUGAAGGAGCUGCCAUGAACAUGUGAAAGAACAGCAUAUUUCUGCAUGUGUGAAGUUGUUUCUGAUAAUAUUUUUUAUUUGAAAAUAUAUUAAAAUGUUAUUUUAAUUUUUUUUAAUAUCAACAUAUUCAAAUAAUUUAAAAAAAUAAAAAAAAUAAAAAUUUAAAAAAAGAUCACUGCGACUGUAAAGACAAACCAGCUGUGACUAUACUAGUAAGUGUGAGAUUGAUAGCAAAGACGAAAGCAUACCAAUGCAACAAUCACAUUCUCAAAUAUUCAGAUUUUAAAAAAACAUAUCCAAAUAUAGUUUUAAAGUUGUGUCAAAUGCAGAAUGCUUUAAUUAAUACGAGGAAACUCUUGUUUAUAAUAUAGUUUUACACAGGGACCGUUAUAAAUAAUUUGGUAUUAUAAUAACAAUUAUUUUUUUAAGUAUUUUUUAUUUAAAAAUAUAUUAAGAUAAUAAUUUUUUAUAUUUUAAAAUUUAUUUCUGAUAUUAACAUAUUAAAAUAAUAUAAAAUAUCUAAAAACUAAUUUUAAAAAAAUUAAAAUUUAAUUUUAAAAAAAAUAUUUAUUUGCCUGGUACUGGGCUUCCUCGGGACACAACGCUGCACUUCCUUAAAUGAAAAUAUUAAAGUCGGUGUGUGCAUCAGACCUCAUCCUCAAUUGACUCCGAUUGUUGAAAUAACUUGAUCUUCUAAUAAAGUUUGUUUUUGAAUAUAUAUUCUAUCCUUACUAAAUUAUUAGGAAGUAACAUUAUAACAUUUUUAAGUCUGCUUAAUUUAUUUGGUUUAAGAUACUAUUUUAAUAUAGUAUUAGAUAUUUAAUAACUUACGAGUUAAUUACUUAUUAAGAUAAUUCAGAUUAAUUAUUUUUAUUAAAAUAAUAUUAUUUCAUUUAUUUCUAUUAACAUUGCUAGAUAUGAAGUAGUUUGGUUUGACUAGAUGAUUCAAUUACAAAUCCAAUCUAAAUUAAGGUUAAAAUUUUGAGUUUUUUAAAAAUAAAUCAUCAAACUAGACAGGUUUAACAACUAAUAUAUAUAUAUAUAUAUAUAUAUAUAUAUAUUAUUCAACCAAAUAAUUGCUUGUUACAUAUAUAUGGCGAGCUUCCUAGCACUACAAGAUUUCACAGUUUUACCGAUGGCCAUAUUCCGUCGGUGUGUGAUUGAGAGUUCGUCAGUAAAUUAUUUACCGACUAAAUUACCGACGGAAUACGCCCGUCGGAUUACCUUUUGUCGGUGAUUCCACAUUCCGUCGCUAUAUCAGUCGGGAAAAAAAAAAAACACGUACCGACGGUUUUACAGACGGAAAGUGCGCGCCAAAAAAAAAAAUUUCCCGCUUGGAAUAUACCGAUGGAAAAUACUCCGUCGGUGAAAUUCUAAUUACCGACGGAAAAAAUCCAUCGGUACAUUGGUCGGUCUGUGUUUGAAAUACCGACUGAAUAUAUCCGUCUGUAAAUUCGUCGGUACGUUUGGCAGCUACUGUCACAUGCCGACGGACUAAAUCCGUCGGUAACUCUAUCGGUGAGUGUAUGGAAUACCGACCGAAUUUAUCCGUCUGAAUAUUCGUCGGUGAUUUCCAAUGCUGACAGAGUUAUUCUGUUGGUAAAUACCUGUGUAAUUGUUUUUUUUUUAAUUUGUUUUUUUUUAAAUUAUUUAAAAUACAUAAUAUAAAAUGAUAUAAAUUAAUGGUAAUACAAACCAAUUAUGUAAAUAAAAUUCAUAUUAAGCAUCAAAAAUAAAAAAAAUCAAACUUAAAUAAUAUUCAUUACAAAUGAAUGUGUUUCAAAAACACAUUAAACGAAAUUUUAAAUGUAAAUAAUGUUUAUUAAAAAUUAAUAUAAAGGUGGAGGAGGAGGAGGAGGAGGAGGCUGGGGGUUAGACGGCCAAAAAGGAUUAGGCGCACAUGAUCCACCUUGUGCCAUCUUCAUGAUCAUUUGACGAAGCUCUUCAUAGGCCGCUCUUUGUUGUUCAGACUCUGCUCUGUGUUGUUCUUUGAGUUGUUCGUAUGCCACUCUUUACUGUUCUUUGCUGUUCAGAUUUCACAGUUGUUCAGACGCUGUUCUUUGCAGAUGAUGAAUUGGAACUACACAUUUCUUCAGAGCCAACAGAGUAUGCACUGCACAUGGGUCUUGCAUGGAAACGAAGGGUUAAAGAAUGUGGGGUCCAUGUGAUCGCAGGGAAGUCAGAAUCAUUUGAAGAGUCGGCAGUGGGAAGAGAUACAGUGAUGCCUUCACCACCGCCAUAUCAUUUGCUUCCUCAUCCUUAUCGUGGCUCAAUUACAGCGUCUACACCUAAACAGUGGAGUGAAUUUUUAUUUGCGGAGCUGCAAAACUAUAACCUCAAUUUAUGGCUUUUUGGUAAGAAUACAUAUUUCCUUUAGUUAUUUCUAUUUUAUUCUAUUUAAUUUAAGAGAUUAAUUUAAUUGUUACAUUUUUCUUAUUUAAUCUAAAAAAUUAAAUAUUAUCUUUAAAAAUAUUUUUAUUAAAUAUUUAGAGUCUGAUUGGUUUUAUUUUUAAUUCUUGAUUUUAUGAUAAAAUGUUUCUUAUUUAAUUUAAAAAAUAAAUAUUAUAUUUAAUAAUUAGAUCUAUCGAAUAUCACUUAACUAUAUCAUUAUUUUAUUGGUAGGAACUUAUGAGUCUUUUAAGCCAAAAGAAUAGUAGGAAGAGCUAAAAUUAGCAAGGAAUAUUUAGAGUCUGUUUGAUUUUAUUCUUUGAUUUCUUGAUAAAAAAUUUAAAAUUCUUUAAAACAAAAACUAAAUACUUAUAAGUGUUGAUUUUGAUUUUAUUUAAAAAAAAAAACAAAAAGUCAACAAUCACUAACAUAAUUUGUUAAAAUCACUUUAGUUUAUUUAUAAAAUAUUGAAAACUGAUUUUUUAUUUUUACAUUAAAAUAAAAAAAUUAAAUAAUGUUUUUAUAUUUUAUUUCAAAUUCAAUAUUUCAAAACAAAAACGAAAAUGAUGUGAUAUUAACCUCUUUGAUUAUAAAGUAAGUUUCUUAAUUAAAAGUAAAGUAAUAACAAAAUGCAUAUACAAUCACGUACAUCUAACUUUCUUUUCAAACUUGGAAGUUCUACUGAAUUUUGUUGGUUUCUUAGGGAGAAGAAGAGCUUUAAAAGAUAAAUGACUGAUAUGAAUUUUGUUGGUUUUUUAGGGAGAGACGUUUAAAGCCACUCCAAAUUAGUAGGAUACAUCUCUUUUUGCCGAAUUGAUAUGAAUUCGUUGGCUUGAUGAAAACUACAGAAAGUUCUGAAAGCAUCCUUAAUUAGUAUAAUUAGUAAACUCUUGUUAGUUUUGGUUAUAAGAUUUUGCUAUGUAUUUUUGCAUAGUUUUUACUAUUUUUUGGCCCUUAUUGUUUUUGUAAAUACAACUUUUAUUUUUAUUGUCGAUUUGUCAUUAGCUUUAUGGCACUAACACCAAUUAAUAAUAAAUCUUGGACUAUUAUUAAAUAAAAAAAAAAUAAAAACAUUGUUAAAACACCAAACUUGCAUAGUUCAAACCUAGAGAAACCCGAUGACAAUAAUCCAAUUUAGAAAAUAAUUAAUUUGUCCUUGUAGUCUUAGAAAAUAGUAUUUAAUCCUUAUGUUUUCAUAUUCAUCUAUGAUUUAAUCUCUUACAUCCAUUUCAUUUUCGUAUUAUUUUAAUCUAAAAAAAAUCACAUAUCAUGAAUAUCAAUUCAAAAUAAAUAAAAUGUUUAAAAAAUCUUUUAGUAUUGCACCUUUUGUUUUAAAAGAAAAUAAAACUACAAUAUAUUUGAUCAACUUAAAUUUCAUGGCCUUACCACACUAUGACAAUCAUGUAAAAAUUAAAUUUCAAAAUAUUAACCUCAUAGAAAAAAAAUACAUUGCGAAGACAAAUAUAAAAUAAACCAAAUGAUUAAAAAAAGUUCAAUCAAACAUAUCUUGUAAAAAUAUAUCCAGACAAUCAAAUAUUGGAUUGACAAAGGCAUUAUGGAAUAAUCUAUCAAAUCUACCGCUCAAGUUAUGAACUCAAGUAAGUUUAAUGAUUUUUUAUUAAAUUUAAUUUUUAUCUAAAUAUAAAAUAAUAAAAUUUUAAAAAAAGAAGAAGCAAAAAGGAGUCUAAAAGAGUGGGUUUGGUGGCCCAGCAUUCUUGAGCCUUCUUUUAAAAAAAGAAAACCUAGGUGUGCAGACCUUGUAGUCUAGCCCACGCCCUUGAGCGUGGUUUUGCUUUUUUAAAUUUUAGACCGAUGCAUCAUUGGUUGUUUGUAGAAUCUAGCGAUGGAAGGUUUCUGGAAAAACAAGACUAUGGUUUUGUUUUUUGCUAAAAAUAUGUUUUUCAACCCAAAACAUCUAGAAAAUAUAAUAAACACCUUGAUGAAUCUAUUUAUGGUCUUAACAACCUAAAAAAAGCUCAAAAAUCUAAAAUCAACUCAAACCUGAAAAUCUUCUUGUUGAGAGGUCUCCUUCAUCAAGUAAGGAAAAAAACAAAAAAAAAACACCUAGGUAAGACUUUCCUGAUCAAAUAAAAUCCAUUAACACCAAGAUUGACCAUUUUGGUAGUUGGAAUAGAAGUCAAUAAUAACAUUUUCUCUUUACAUCGGAAUCCAGCAAAUCUCUCUCUUCUUUUUAUAAACAAAGGACUAAAAAAAAAGUUUGGUACCUAAAUUGAAUUUCUAACAACUAAAGAGAUAAAUCACCUCUUAAUGAAACAAUUGGGACCAAACUAAGCUUUUCAUAUGAAAUUUGAAGUUGCCACCUAUUUUCCCCAUGUUUUUCACUUUGAUCAUCAUCUUUUAAUUCAACCAUUUCUUCAUAAAAAAGAAGCAACUUGCUAUUAAUUUGGGCUCAAAAGGGUGCGCAAUAGUGCAUGCUAAAAAAAUUGAGGAUCAAAUUGAAAAUUUUAAAAAAAUUAAUUGUUUUAAUCCAUAAUAAUUUGUGAAAGAAUGCACAGUAAAGAGAGAAAACAUCACACAGCUUUGAACACUUUAUGUGUUGACUGAAAUUGACAAGUGAGUUUACUCACAUAUUGUUAUAUUGGUUUUGAGUUCAAAUAGACGUUUAAAAAGGGAGUUUUUCAUGAAUACUGUCGCACGUCAAAAAAUCCACGCGCGCGGCAUCAGCUAGCAAUUUAUGUCUCGUUGUUUGUAUUUACUUGAAUACUUGAAUUUGUUUGUAUUUACUUGAAUUGAUUCGUUAGGAACGCCACCUAGUAUUUAAUUGAGGUUACUAGGAAACCCUGAUUUACUGGUCAUGAUCAGAGAUUCCCGGGUAGAAGACUGAUUGUGGUUAAAAAAGAUAUUAGCACCCCUAACACACCCUACCUGAGAUAAGCUGCUCCGCGGACUUGGUGUGUUAAAGAAAUUUUAAAAAAUUUAUCUUUUCAUUGGAUUUUAGAAAUACAACUUCCGUACAAGUUUGUACUUCUACACCGUGAUUCAAUCAAAAUAUUUAAAUCCUUCUUCAUUCCUGCCAACUUUAUCAUGAAAAAUUCACAAAAUAACACACACACCACAUUCAAACUUCGUGAGCUUGAUGUAAUUUAAAAAAUAAAAUUUUAGCCCACUUCUAAGGCUUCGAUACAUCAGUUAUUAAUUCCCAAAAUAUAUGUAGAAACAUGUUCUUAUAUUUUCAUGGAAAAUACAACAUGAUUUUAUCUAUUCUUAGAAUUUGUGCAUGUUCAAAUUAAACAAUUAAUUCUUUUUUAUCCUUUUUUAUUUUUAUAAUUCAACAACAUAAAAUAAAAAAAAACACCAACACACACACUCUUUUUAUUAUUAUUUUCUUUUCUUUUCUUUUCUUUUACAUUCACAUACUACAAAUUUAAAAUAAAUAAACAAAAAUUACAUUAAAACUUUAAAAUUUACAAAAUGGUCCCCCAAAACUCCGGGAAUUGCAGAGGAACACUUCUGGAAUCGCAGCAACAGUGCUGGAACAGUGGCGGCGCGUCUUCCCACGCGUCACUGCCACUGGCGGCGCGUGGGUUCACGCGCCGUCGCUGGAAAACCUGACAAACAGGGGUGCGUGGAACGGCUUCCUCCCCUCUUCAAUUUUCUGCCGGCGGUGAGCGUUCGGUCACCUGCAAACACAUAAAAAAACGCAAACAAAGCAGUUGAUUUUAGUUUUUUUUGUUUCAGAUCUGUUUUUAAAUUUUUUCUUCUGCCCGUUUCGGAGGCCCUGUACUUUGGUGGCGAGAAGGGGUGACGGCGCUGCUGUGGCCGCUGUCGGGUGGUCUGUGACCGACAGUGAGGGAACAGACGAGGUCUGUGCUGCUGGGUCUCCAGUGAUGGCUGGUCGCAGAGGAUGAAAAAGAGAGUGUCGGUCGCCGGAGAAGGUGCUGGAAGUCAGAUCGUCCGGGGAGAGAGGAGCUGUUGUUGGUGCUGAAAAGGGGAGGCUUCUGGCGAGAAGAUCUUGGCCGAGUGAGAGUCGGGUCUGUGAGGAGGAACUGCUGAGAGGGAGAUCGGAUGAGGUGGCUGUCGGUUCUGGUUCGUUUUUAGAGAAGAUGGAAAUGGGGCUCUGGUUCUGUGAGCUGGAGGAUGGCAGAUCGGUGAGGGAGAAAAAUAAGAGGUGAAGUCUUUGGUUCUCCGUUUUUUUCCUUUCCAAAAGGGAGUAGGGGGCUGCGGCUAUAGUGUUGGAAAAAUGGGGAGAAAGAUAGGGCCGGCCGCUGGAAAUGGUUCUGAGGAAGAGAAUCAGGGGUUGUCUUGUGUUAGAGGGUGAGAUUUUUGGCAAGGAAAAAAAAUGAUGAUGGCUUCGGGUAGUUUUUGAAAGAAGGGUGGUGGCCGGGGAGAAGAGAAAAUAAAUCAAAAGGGGAGCUGGCAGCUGUGAUCGGAGAAGAAGGAAAAAAUUUCCCAAAAGGGGGGGGGGACUCCCUGGCGGCUGCUUUCAGUAGGGAAGAAGAAAAGUUUAGUUUUUUAGGGUUCUCUCUUUCCUCCCCAAAAUUACAAAAUGAACCCCUCCACUAAUUUUUGUAGGCUGCUAUUUAUAGGCAUAGCAUUUUUUCGGGUCUCAAAAUUGGUCCCUCAAUUUUUCAAUCAAUUCACUUGGUAAAAAUUAAAUUUGGUCUUAAAAUUUCAAUCUUUUCAAUUAAGUCCAAAUUAGGCUCCCAAACUUAAUUUUUCACCAAUUAAGCCCCCAAAUUAAUUUGACCCAUUUAAAGUAUAAUUAAGUCCUUGCACUUAAUUAAAUCCUUCAAUUGGACCUAAAUUAAUUCUUAAACAUAAUUAAAAUUUAAUUUGGCCCAUGAUUAAAUCAAAUUGGCCAUUAAAAAUUUCAUUAUGUCAUUGAACUUAAUUUUUAUGCAAAUUCAUCCAAUAAUCAUUUAAUUUGACCUUCGAAUUUGCAUUUAAUUUGACCUUCGAUUUUUGCCUAUUUUUGCAGUCUUUUUUCAUUGGCUUCCUCCACAGUGCCAGCCUUUAUUCUAUUUUUUUAUUUUUAUUUUGAAAAUUUGGGGAAUGACCCAGAAUUGGGUUAUGACAAAUACAACCCUUCAUGUAUUCAAUAUGAAUGAUGGGAGAUUUUAAUGUCUUGUGAAUGCAUUCAUUUAUAUAUGGAUGAUUUUGCUAAGAAUUGAUUGGUAAAAUACUUAAUUUCGUUAUAUAAAAACCGAAGAGAGAACAAUAAAUAGCUAAGAAUUGAAAUGCAAAAAACUAAUUUGCAUAUAACACUAAGUUUUGCAACCAUUUCUCUACUUUCUAUGCUAUUGGCUUGCUAAAAACUAAAGAAAAGACAUUGCUCUAGUUGUCUGCCUUCACUCUUCAGAUUGCUCAACAAAUCCCUUGAGACCUCCUCCAUAGUUAACACAUCACAUAAUGGCUACUCUAAAAAAUUUAGCCACGGUCCCCAGCCCCUUUGGGAUUUUCUUCUUCUCCCCUGCACCCGAAGGAGAGGGGGUGAUUUUCCAUUUUCUUCUUCCUCAGCUGCUGGACCCAACAACAGACCUUCUCAGCCGGUUCACUUCCACUUUCUCAGCCGGCUCCCCCUUUUCCUUUCCUUUCCUUCUUCUCCUUCAACCAGAAACAACAACGCCUCCCUCUCUCACCCCUCACCGGCCAAACACAGCUCCCCCCUUCAGCCGGUUCUCCCUCUCCCGAGGUCGCCUCCUCUUUCCCUCACCAGACUGACCCGUCUUCUCCCCUCAGCCGCAAGCCUCCCCUUCAGCUACACGACAGCCACCCCAUUUCCCCCGAUCUGUCCUUCCUUCUCUCUUGAACCAGCCAGCCACCGAGCCUUCCCCUCAGCAGCGUCUUACUUCUCUAGUCUCCUCAACACUCUCCUCUCGCCGACUAGCCUAACAGGCGACAACAGCAAGACCCGCGGACAACGACAGUCAGCGAUCUUCUCAAUCAAGCACCGGGCGAGCCAUCGCCCUCCUCCGUUCGCCUCAACAGUAGCCCGAAGCUACAUAACCGCCGGAUCUGUUACCUGUAGAAUAAAAAUCAACAAACCAUGAGAAGGAGAGAAGCCAUGAAAGAGCAGAUCGGAGAGGGGGAAAACGAAAUAAAAACCAUUGCUCGUUGCGUUUUCUUGGCUUUGUAGGUGAUGUUACUCCCCACCGCCGGUGCUGAAGGGGACAGGAGGAGAAAACGGCUAAGAUCCAUCCAUUUCCAGUUGCUGGCGGUGGCGCGUGAACCCAAGCUCCGCCAGUGGCGGUGGCGCGUUGGCGACGCGCCGCCAUUGUUCCUGCGGGUGGCAGAAGGGCAAUGCUGCAAUUUCUGGAGUUUAGGGACUAUUUUGUAAAUUUUGUAAAUUAUGUAAUGUAAUUUUUAUUUAGUUUGAAUUGUUUUUAUAAUUUGUAAUGUGAUGUAUAAAAAGAACAAAAAAAGAAAAGAAAAGAAAAGAUUGAGAAAAUAAUAAUAGAAAAGGAGUUGUGUGUGUGUUUGGUAUUUUUUCUAUGUAUGUUAUUGAAUCAAAAGAAAAAAAUGAAUUUAAUAUUUUAAUUUAUAUGCACAAAUAUCUAAAGGACAGAUAAAAAUCAUGUUGUAUUUUCCAUAAAAAUGUAGAACAUGUAUCUACGUAUAUUUUGGAAAUUAAUAACUGAUUUAUCAAAGCCUUAGAAUUGAGCUAAAAUUUUAUUUUUAAAUUCAUAUCAAGUCUAUAAAGCUUGAAAGUGAAUGUGUGGUGUUUAUUUUGUUUAUGAAUGUUUUUCUUUUAUGAUAAAAUUACAAGAAUAAAGAAGAAUUUAAUAUUCUGAUUUGCUCACGGAUAAAGAAUUAUGAACUUACACGUAAGUUGUAUUUUCUAAAAUUCGAUGAAAGAACAGAAUUUUUAAGACUUCUUUAACACAUCAAGUCCACAAAGCAGCUUACCUCAGGUAGGGUGCGUUAAGGGUGCUAAUACCUUCCCUAACCACAACCAGUCCCUUACCCGCGAUCUCUGACAAUACCAGUACAUCAGGUUUCCUAGUAGGCCUCAAUGAAUUACUAGGUGGUGACUCUAAAGAACCAAAUCAGCAAAACAGAACGAGAAAUCGCCAGCCGAUGCCGCGCGGAUUUUUUUCGACGUGCGACAUCAGUAGUCCUCAUUACACGCUCGACUCUUGCAGGCACAUUUGCCCCCAGUCAGAUGAAUGGCCUCCUGGAACAGAUUUCAUAUGAGUACUACAAGCAUGCAGCGCCAGAUAAAAUCUUGACAUUGCAUCACACAAUCACCAAAAUUCAAAGUAACAAAACGAAGAACAAAAUGUGAUAACAAUGACAAUGAUCACUCAACCACAGCCGAAUCUUAUGCUUUGAAGACACUUUUCAUCAUUAAUUUUCCUUUUCACAUUGAUUUUCAAUGUUCCAGACAUAUAAAAUAGCAUUGAUUUACAACCAUGGUUUUAAGGCAUCAUUAUUGGCAAAAACAUUGUAGGACAGAGCAAACUUAAAGAUCAAUGCUUCAGUUGUCAAUCAUAUUAAUAAUUUAUAUUUGAUCGCCUGAAAGGGCCUAGAAUAGGACCAGGUAAAAGUUUGUUUCUAUCUAAGAAAGCAAGGUCUCCACAAACUACCCCCAAUUUCGCCACUACAGCUCAAGUAGCUUUGAGUCAUUCCAACAAAUUGAAAUUGAAUUCAAAGGAAUAAAUCAUUAAAUGCAGGGCUCCUAUGUGGGAAAGGGAAAAUGAUUCACUAUUAAAAUAAGAAAAGCUCAAACACAAAUUAUAGCUUCACUUUUUGUGAAUUAUAUCUCAUAUUUCUUUGACUAUAUGUGUGUUGUAACCCAUUUUUAGAUCCCCAUAAAAAAUAAAAUAAAUAGCCAAAAGAGGUUAGAAAAAUAACAGGAGGCAGAAGCGCUCAGAAAACAGUCAGAAAAAUUGGUCAAGGAAUUUAAAAAUACAAGGAUUAAAUUUUUGACAGUAUAUUCUUGAAGGAUGAAAUCCCUAUUGAGAAGGAAAAUUUGAAUUUUGAGGAGAAAAGCCAAAAUUUGGAUGUUUAUGGACUUAAUUGGAUUUUUAUUUGAAUUUAUAGAGGAUUUGAUUGCAAGAAAAAUUGAUUUUUAAGUCAAUUUGGGCUUUAAUUAGAAGAAAUUUAAGUUCUGGGGCCAAAAUAUAUUUUUUAGGAAUUUAUUAGGUCAAAUCAGGGGCUUAAUUGCAUAAAUAUUGAAGUUUAAUGGCCAAUUAGGGACUUAAUUGUGAAAAUCCGAAACCAGGGACCAAUUUGGAAAAGGCGCAAAGAUAGAGGGGGCUAUUUGGAAUUGAUUCAGGGGCUUAAUUGAAGAAAUUGGAAGUUUAUUGAUCAAUUAGGGGGUUAAUUGUGAAAAUCAGAGGCCAAGGACAAAAGUGAAAAACGCGGCCAACUAUAGGGGCAGGGACCGAAUUUGGCAGGGACGCAAUUGAAUUUUAUUCUUAAAAUCAGGACUCGAUUGAAGGACUUAAUAGAACAAAUGAUAAAUUAAGGACUGAUUCAAAAACAAAUGUUCUGGCGCCUUUUUUUAAAUGAAACGACGCAGUUUCAUACAUAAAAAAAAAAAAAAAGAAGAGAGAGAAGACCGAACGGUGCCGUUUUGAACAGACAGCGGGGAAGAAGGAAAAGAUUGCAUUGUUUAAUUCGUUUUGAACCAACCAAGGCCCCACGCCGGUGGGCCACCGACAGAAGACACUGGCCGACCACCCGCCGCGCUCCCGAAACCGAGGGAGGCCCGCUUGGACAGCCGCUCCUCGACACGCUCCUUGGCUCCACGGUGAAGCCACGCUCACUGGCUCUAUAAAUAGAGAACCGAAAGAGAGAACAGGGGAUGAAAAAAGAAAAAGAAAAGGAAUCCGAAGAAAACUAAAAAAUGAAGAGAGAGAGGAAGAGAGAGAAACAACCCAACUGAGGAGAGAGAGCAACCGAAAACCCAAAAAAACCAAGAGAAGAGUGAAAGUUUGACGCUGGGAGGGAAUUUAGAAAACAAAAACCAAGAAAUAGAACCGAGAGGGCGUCGCCGGAUUGUUUGGAAAUCACCGUGAGGAGUCGCCGUCCGUGAUCUAGGACGCUGCAACCGCCUCCACCGCAGCACCGCCAGCAAGUCGUCGUCUCCGCUGUGCCAGGUACGCUUCCUCCCCCCGCAUUUUUUUUCUUCUGAAACUUGCAUGAGUUGGCCUCUUGCAUGCAGAAUCGUUCUGCAUGCAGGAGGCGGGGGGGAAAAUAAUUCCCCCCCGUGCUGUAGUUUUCUUUAUUCUCUAGGCCAGAUGAUUUCUGGCCCAGAAAUAUAUGGGAUGGGCCAGAAGGAUUCUGGCCCAACCCGGCGGUCUGGGCCGGUUCCGGCCCAGACCCAGGUAGGAUAGUUGUUGGGCCGAGAUCGGCCCAGUCCCUUUUGGCCCGAGUCUGGCCCAACGAUUUUUGGGGCUGAGUCCCGCCCAUUUAGUUGGGCCGGCCCAGCCCACUUAAUAUAUUAAUAUAUUUAUUAAAUUAAAUUAUAUUAUUAUAUUAUAUUAUUAUAUUAUUAUAUUAUAUUAUGCAUGUAUAUAUAUAUUUUUUUAAAAAAAUAAAAAAAAAUCCGAAAAGUCUAAAAAAUAUUGUUGUUUUCUUUUCAUAUAUAUAUAUAUAUAUAUAUAUAUAUAUUUAUAUACAUUAGUUUGUAUUUUUAUACUGUGGAGAUACAAACUCAGUGUUUAAAAUACCCAGUUUUCGUCAAGACAUUCAAGAUUUUCAAAGACAAAAAAAAAACAUGUCUGUUUGCUUUCAAAAAUUCUAAAAAAUUCCUUAAAAAUAUUAUUGAUUUUUCCUGCACAUUGUUUUUUGUUUUUUUAUAUUGGUUUGUAUUUUUAUACUGUGGAGAUACAAAUUCAGUAUUAAAAUACCCGAUUUCGUCAAAAAAAAAUGUUUACAAAAAAAAAAAUGUGUUUUCUUGCGUGUUGCAUACGGCCAAUACUCUAACAUGUUUUGAAUGUUCUUUUUAUAAAAAACAAAUAUUGGAAGCUUUGAAAAUGUGUUUUCGCAUAGAUUUCUUAAACACAAACUACUUUCUUGCAUUUCUGGAUUUUACAACAUGUUUGUAAAACUCCAAAGGGUAUUGGCCAAUAUUCCAAAAACUAUAAAAAAUUUUAUUCACCGCUAAUGUUUGGAUAAAGAAAUUCUUAAAGGACGAAUAUCCAAAAUAUUAGUGGGAGUAAUAAAUCUGCACACAUCUUUGAAAGAAGCCUUGAUUAUAAUCGAGGACAUUUCAAAAUUUCAAAAAAAAAAUUUCCCUUCACGGUUUACGAGCCGUGAAUGUAUGAAAUACUAAGGCAAGAUGUUUUUUUUAAGCAUUGUGAAUUUUCUUAGAUUUCUAAUUUGUUCCUCCUCCUUGCGAUUUACGAGUCGCAAACUCUUGAAAUACUAAGGGAAAAAUGAGCUUUCAAAGCACAUGGAAUCUCCUUAGAUUUCUACCCAAAAUAAAUUGACGGGACUAGAAAACACCAACACCAUAGAUUAUAGAGCAAACCAAACACCAAGCAGCUUACCUUAGGUAUGGCGUACUAGGGGUGCUAAUACCUUCCCUUUACGCAACCAGUCCCUUACCUUAGAAUCUCUGAAAGACCAGUUAGGGUUCCUAGUGACCAAAAUACUAGGUGGCGACUCCAAAACACCAAAUCAGUAAAAUAAUGAAAAAUCGCCAGUCGAACCCGCAAUUGGAUUGGAUUUUUUUUGGGGUGCGACAGAAUGGCGACUCCACUAGGGACCCUUGGACUAAGCUUGAUUUGUUUGUUCGUUUAUGCUAUGUGUGAUUGGUUUUUAUUUUCUUAUGAUGCUUUGUUUAAAAGCUUUAGCAUAUUUCUUUACAUUCUAUCAUACAUGGCAUAGUCAUGCAUUACUUUAUUAUUAUUAUUAUGUUUUGGAGGGCACACACAUGUAACUUUAAGAUUAAGUGGGGGACUAGCAGCUUGCCUUAUGACUUGAGUCAAGGUUUAAGUUUGUGUAAACCCCAACUCUUUGCUGAGUGUUUAGACUAUUGUGAUUGGUACAUGUACCAUCCCACUAUCUGCUAGACCUCCAUAUCGCCUUUACGAGGUUGAUCACUGGAACAACAAGAGACCCUCUUUUAGAGACCCAGUAGUAAACCUACCCUAUGUCUCACGUAGAGGAACUAGAACCUAUCCUUAGGGUGUAUGUUCCAAUAUAUCUUUUGCAUCAAAACAAGUCUAAACCCCAAUGCAUUUUGAAUUGCAGGACUUGUGAACGAAAUGACCAUCAUCACUAAAUCUUCCAUCUUAGAGUAUGGAAACAAUUCUGAACUGUCACAAUUGACUGAAGGAGACUACCUUAGAAGCGAUGCUAAGAAGAUGUCACCAAUCAAGAACCUGAAUUGCAUAUUGAAUGAGGUGAACAAAUUAACGACUCAUUUUCAGAAUGUGGAUAAAGAUGCAUUUUUUAGGAAAUACGGACGUUUGAUGGAAAUUGCAAAGGUAGAAGUUUUAAGCCCAGCUGUGCGAGCUUUAGUUCAUUUUUGGGAUCCAGACUACCGAUGUUUUUCCUUUGGAAGCAUAGACUUGUGCCCAACGGUUGAGGAAUAUGGAUUGUUGACCGAGUUUCCCAACGACCUGUAUCAGAUUUAUUCUCCUUUAAGAUCCGACAAGAUCAUCCCUGAACUGUCAAAAUUGCUCAGAAUCUCCAACUUGGAAAAGUUUAUGGAAAAGAAUGGUACCGGUUUGAAAUGGAGGAUGCUAGAAUUGGAAAAGAAGUCGGGAGUAGAAAAAGAGAGAUUGAUUGCCCUAGGUAUAUUUGGCCUUGUGUUGUUCCCAAGUCAGAUUGGUUUAGUGAGUUUGGAGGCCGCUGCUGCUUAGGUGGAAUAUGAGAAUACACAAAUCAAUCUAGUGGCUGCUUUUUUAGCCGAAACAAUUUUGACACUUAAUCAUUAUAGGAGGGCCGGAAAAGGAGCAAUGAGAUGUUGCACGCAACUGUUGUAUAUUUGGAUGGUUAGCCAUAUCGAAACAAAGAAACCUGUCUUCAAUAAUUUUUGGUGGUUCACCUAAAAACCCCUAAAGUUAGUAGAAGAAGAAGAAUGGGGAGAUCUAGACAACCAGGGUUGGGUUGAUAAAUUAGAAGGUUUACCUAAUAGAGAUUUUAAGUGGAGAGCCCCAUGGGUAACGACAGUGAAGGUCCUAAUGAGUUGUGGACAAAGGCGUUGGGUACCAUUGGUGGGGAUUACGGGUUAUGUGAGUUAUGCUCCUGCCUUAGUGGUAAGACAACUUGGGGUCAUGCAGUUCGUUCCCAGGACUAUGGGAAUCGCUUAAUUCUCUGGUUUGUUCAAAGAUCCCAUGGCAGAUGAGGUUUUGGAGAUCAUCAAACAAGAUUGGAAGCAUCUAGUGUUGGUGGAGAUAGAAGGGUUGAGAGAUCCAAGUGUGAGCGAAGGAUAUGUAAAAUGGAGAGACUCAGCUACUUCAGCCACGCCUUGCGUAGAAGCUAAAUCUCCUCAAGCUGUAGCGGAGCCUAUUAAGAGAAAAAGGGUGAACAUUGAAGAUGAUUCAGCUGCUUCAGCCAUGCCUUGUGUAGAAGUCAAAUCUCCUCAAACUGUAGAGGAGCCUAUUAAGAGAAAGAGGGUUAGCAGUGAAGAAGAAUUGAGAAGGCAAGUGGAAAAACUGAGAAUAGAGUUGAGCAAGAGCAGAAAAGACAAGGCAAUGUUGGAAGAAAUGAUGCUAGAAGAGGAUAAAAGAAGAACAUUUCUAGAUGAGCAAAUACAGUCUAGAGAUGCGAAAAUAACAAAGCUGGAGUUAAAGUUGGUUGAGGAGAAGAUUGCUAGGGAAGGAAGUGAGAAGGAGCUUAAAGGGUUGAGUUUGGAUUGGAUGCAAAGUUGCUCUGAACUUGAAGCAAUGGAGAUGGACUUUAGCGAUUGCCAAGAAAGUGCAGAAUAUUACCAAGAAAAAUUUGCGCAAGUGCAAUUCGAACUAAUGGAUAGGAUUAGGAAGUAUGAGGAUUUGAAUAAGAAAUAUAUGGAGUUGGAAAGCGAAAGGGGAGGAUGCGAGGAUGUUAAAGCAGAGUUAGCGGUCAAGAAAAAUGAGAUAAAAGUUAUGAGGAUAAAGCUUGACAAAGAACGCGAAAAGUCGAAGCAUUUAGACGAGAAGCUAGUAGCAAUGGAAAAGCAUAAAGAUCAAAUUGACGCCAACAACACUGCUUUGAACAGAACCAACAUGUUGCUAAUAGAAAAAAUGACCAAAACAGAUGAGCAAAUGGACGAAGCUGCUGCACAUGCUCGAAUUGUUAGAAUCAAUGCGCGGAAUGUAGGAGGAGACAUCAUUCGCUAUCGCCGAAGCCUAGCUGAAACUGAUGCCUUUCUAGGGAAGAUUGAGAACCGCGGCUUUGCUUUCUUACCUUUGGCUAAAGAGUUUAGGGAGGAAAGGGAUUAGCAUGUUGUAUUUCUUUUAUUUCUAAAUGUAUUUUUAUCCAAGCGUUAAUGAAAAGGGCGUUGACCCAUCUUCUUAUGCAAAAAUCUGUCUCUUGGUGAACAUGAUUCAAGCAAACGACUCGAAAGGCAGAACUCCUAUCAAAGCAAUGUGACAAGAGAAUGCUUAUAAUGUGAUGGUUGUUAUUCGUUCACAAAAAAAGGCUGCAUCCAUACCCAAUGAAACAUGCAUUUUUCAAUCAUGCAUCCAUCACAAUCAUACAUUUUUCUCAUACAUCUAUGCAUGCAUCUGCAGAUUAAGAAACAUAGGUCCCCCUUCUAGAAUCCACAACACUCGACAAAGAACAAGAAUGGAAAACGAAGAAAGGUCACAACCAGAAGCUCAGUACCAAAGAGAACUUGAAGGAGUUCGGAAUGAUGUGGCGCACCUAACCAGUAUGUUAGAGCAGAUAUUGAGAGCCAGAGAUGGAGAGGGAACGUCUACUCAACCUAAUGAAGCACCAGCAGCAGCUCAAAUUCCUGUCGCACCUAUAAACAUAGGGGCAAAUACACCAACUAAGCAGAGUCCUAGUCCUGCUCGGCCCAUCCAAAUCCCUAUUACAAUGGAUUUAACAAACGAAGAUCCACAUGACUUUAAAUUCUUUAAUCAUGAAGGAGAUGAUAAGUGGACUGCACUAGAAGAGAGGCUAAGGGCAAUUGAAGGAAAUGAUUUGUUUGACCCCAUUAGGGUCGCUGAAGUAUGUUUAGUGCCUAACAUUGUUAUUCCAAAGAAGUUCAGAGUGCCAGAGUUUGUUAAGUAUACUAGGAUGGAAUGCCCAAAGACCCAUCUCCGCUCCUACUAUAACAAAAUGGCAGAGGUUAUCCACGACGAUAAAAUGUUAAUUUACUUCUUCCAGGAUAGCCUGACCGGAUCGACCCUCAGUUGGUAUAUGAGGUUAGACAACAUUAGGAUCAAGAAGUGGACGGACCUGGCAGAUGCUUUCUUAAAGCAAUACAAGUUUAAUCUUGAGAUUGCUCCUGAUAGGACCAGUCUGAUUACCAUGGAGAAAGGAACUCAAGAGUCAAUGUACAACCUCCGCUAAUAGAAACAGAAAUGGUGACGUUGUUUGCUAAUACUUUUAAGGCUCCAUACUAUGAACACCUUAUGGGUAGUUCAGCACAACAUUUCUACGAUGUUGUGCAGAUUGCUGAGAGGAUUGAACAAGGAAUCCGAAGUGGGAGAAUUGCACCUAUAGAGAAGAGAGGUUUCAUUGGAAAGAAGAAAGAAAAUGAGGUGAAUAACCUAGAAAGGAGAAGCAAAAACUACCAAAUACCUACCACCUGAGUCACUAGUAUUAACUUUUCCAAACCCCCCAUUCCAAACCAACCCAAUCAAAUAAAAUUCCCAGCAAAUAACCACAUCAAUUACCAAAGAAAGGAUAACCAACCAUCAGAAGAACAACUACCUCCUUUACCAAUAACCUUAAAAGAAUUGUAUGCCAAGCUGUUGAGUAUUGGACAGAUAGCUCCCCUACCCAUACCACCUAUGCAACCACCUUUCCCUACCUGGUACAACCCCGAGGUGACUUGUGAAUACCAUGCUGGUCACGCGGGCCAUAACAUUGAGUCUUGCUUUGCUUUUAAAAGAAAGGUGUUGUAACUGAUCAAAGUGGGAUGGGUCACUUUCGAGGAUUCGCCUUUUGAAAAUGAUGUGUAAAUGCAUAGUAAGACAUCAAGAUGAAUUUUGAAAAUGCAUGAUCUCAUUAAAAACAAAAGAUUGGCUCACAAACAAAAUAAAAUCCAAUUGACAUCUUGAGCCUCGAUUGUCAAUGAAUAAAAACAAAACAGAAAAAAGGCAAACAACAUAGUUAAAAAUAUAAUCCAACAAUCAUUGUUGAUUACAUUUUAAAAACCAAUGGAGCUUCUUGGGUCUCCCAAUUCUAGAACUUCUCCCCUUCGGCUAGCUUCCGAACAAAAGUCUUGACGGUGACUUCUUCCAAAGUGUGGAUGGUUAAUUGUGGCAGCUCUUCAUCCCUCCUUUCGGAUUCAAUUUUCUCAGCAAUGUCCUUGACUUGAUUUUCCUCCAGAAUGUUUAUGCCCUUUGGGACGCUGGUUUUUUGGAAGUAGUGAAGUAUCCACAAUGGGUGUCAAAACAUAGUGGUGGUACCCAAAAAGGAAGGUAAAAUCAGAGUUUGCGUGGACUUUAGGGACUUAAAUCGGGCUAGCCCUAAAGAUAAUUUCCCUUUACCACACAUAGAUAUGUUAGUUGAUAAUGCAGCACACAGCUCCACAUAUUCCUUCAUGGAUGGGUUUUCAGGCUACAAUCAGAUAAGAAUGGCGCCAGAGGAUAGGGAGAAGACAACCUUUGUAACACCAUGGGGAACCUUUUGCUACAAAGUCAUGCCAUUUGGUUUAAAGAAUGCUGGGGCCACUUACCAAAGGGCUAUGGUGACUUUGUUUCACGACAUGAUGCACAAAGAGAUUGAAGUAUACGUGGAUGACAUGGUUGCUAAAUCUAAAGAGGGAGAGAAUCAUGUCCAAAUAUUGAAGAAAUUAUUUGAAAGAUUAAGGAAAUAUAAGUUCAGGCUUAGCCCAACAAAGUGUUCAUUCGGGGUGUAAUCCGGUAAGCUGUUGGGGUUUAUGGUGAGUGAUAAAGGGAUAGAAGUGGAUCUUGAAAAAGUAAAAGCUAUUCAAUCUAUGCCACCCCCCAAGACUGAGAAGGAGGUGAGAGGUUUCUUAGGAAGGUUGAAUUACAUCGCUCGGUUUAUAUCCCAUUUAACCGCGACUUGUGACCCGAUCUUUCGUUUGUUGAGGAAGAAGAACCCUGGAAUAUGGAAUGAAGAGUGUGAUAAAGCUUUUGAGAAAAUCAAGCAGUACUUGCUAAAUCCACCUCUGCUUGUUCCUCCCGUACCAGAAAGGCCAUUGAUUUUAUACCUAACAGUAACCGAAACAGCAAUGGGAUGUGUGCUUGGGCAACAUGAUGAAACCGGAAGGAAGGAAAGGGCCAUUUAUUACCUAAGCAAGAAGUUCACGGAAUAUGAGUCUAGGUAUACUGUGAUUGAGAAGCUGUGUUGCGCACUAGCAUGGGCUACAAAGAGAUUACAUCAGUAUAUGUUGUAUCACACUACAUGGUUAAUUUCCAAGUUAGACCUAUUAAGGUACAUUUGUGAAAAACCUUAUCUAUCUAGCCGAAUUGCAAGAUGGCAAGUUCUUUUGGCUGAGUAUGACAUAGUAUAUAUGACAAGGAAAGCCGUGAAAGGGAGUGUUAUUGCCGAUCACCUGGCUGACCAUGCUAUGGAAGAUUAUGAGCCGUUAAACUUUGACUUUCUCGAUGAAGAUGUGUUUGCAAUCGAGGAAGAGAAAUCAGAUUGGUGGGUUAUGUACUUUGAUGGUGCUGUAAAUGUAUGUGGUAACGGAGCAGGUGCAAUAAUAAUCUCUCCUGAUAAGAAGUAGUAUCCGGUUUCAGUUAAGCUGCAGUUUGGGUGCACCAAUAACACGGCUGAGUAUGAAGCUUGCAUUCUUGGUUUAGAGGCUGCCUUAGAGAUGAACAUAAAAAAGAUAGAUGUGUAUGGAGACUCAAUGCUGAUCAUUUGCCAAGUAAAAGGAGAAUGGCAAACCAAAGAAGAGAAGUUAAGGCCUUACCAAGAAUACCUAUCUAAGCUAGCUAAAGAAUUUGAGGAAAUAGAGUUCACCCAUCUAGGAAGGGAAGGGAACCAGUUUGCAGAUGCUUUGGCCACACUAGCAUCUAUGGCCAAGAUAGACUUUGGGCACAAGGUACAACCAGUACACAUCAAUAUCAGAAAUAACCCCGCUCAUUGCUGCUCAGUCGAAAGAGAAGUGGAUGGAAACCCGUGGUACUAUGAUAUCAAGAAUUUCAUCCAAAACCAGGCAUAUCCCAUGGGGGCAUCCAAAAUCGACAAGAAGACCUUGAGAAGGUUGGCAAUGGAUUUUUAUCUUGAUGGGGAGAUUUUGUAUAAGAAAUCAUCUGACGGGACUUUGUUGAGAUGUUUGGAUGAAUUUGAGGCAAAAAGCACGGUACGGGAAGUCCAUGAAGGGAUUUGCUCAACUCAUGCUAGUGGACAUGUGAUGGCCAGGAAGAUACAAAGAGCCGGGUACUUCUGGAUGACAUUAGAGAAGGAUUGUAUCGAUUAUGUCCGGAAAUGUCAUAAGUGCCAAGUAUACAGUGAAAAUCAAUGCUCCUCCGGCUCCUCUGUUUAAUUUAACAUCUCCAUGGCCUUCGCGAUGUGGGGAAUUGAUGUGAUUGGACCGGUAAACCCAAAAGCCAGCAAUGGUCAUAGGUUUAUUCUCGUGGCUAUCGACUACUUCACAAAAUGGGUAGAAGCUGGGUCAUUUGCUCAUGUGACGCAAAAAGUGGUGAAAAAUUUAUUGAGAGAGAUUUGAUAUGUCGGUAUGGUCCACCAGAAAAGAUUAUAACUGAUAAUGCCCAAAUUUCAACGGCAAGAUGAUAAUAGAGCUCUGCACUAAAUGGAAAAUCAAGCAUUCCAAUUCUUCGCCAUAUAGACCAAAGAUGAAUGGUGCGGUAGAAGCUGCUAACAAAAUGUCAAAAAGAUUAUUCAGAAGAUGGUAGUCACCUAUAAGGAUUGGCAUGAGAUGUUGCCAUUUGCCCUUCAUGCAUAUCGCACCGCAGUUCGAACCUCAACAGGAGCCACCCCGUACAUGUUGGUAUAUGGAAUGGAGGCGGUGAUGCCUUUAGAAGUGGAAAUCCCAUCAUUGAGAGUGUUGUUAGACUCUGAGCUGGAAGAGGUAGAAUGGGCAAAGGUUAGAUAUGAACAGUUGAAUCUGAUCAGUGAAAAGAGGAUAGCCGCGAUCUGUCAUCAUCAACUCUACCAAAGAAGGAUGGCUAAAUCAUAUGACAAGAAGGUUCGACCUCGAGGAUUCCACGAAGGAGAUCUUGUACUAAAGAAAAUAUUACCUUUACCUGGAGAAGAUCAGAGUAAAUGGGCACCUAACUACGAGGGGCCUUACGUGGUGAGGAAAGCAUUCUCAGGAGGAGCUUUGUUACUGUCUAGAAUGGAUGGAGAAGAUCUAGCUAGGCCUGUGAAUUCCGACUCUGUAAAGAAAUACUACGCUUGAUGUAUUUCGUAAUUUCCCAGUCAAUAAAAUAAAUUUCGGCCAUGAAUUCUCUUUGUAAAGAGUCCUUUUUAUAUAUAUAUAUAAAACAUAUGAUCUCAUAGCAUUUGAAAUCUUUUACUUAAAAGAAUUUUUUUGCAUGACUAAGAAGAUGACUCCAUCAAUUGGAGAGAACCAAAUCAAAUCUGCUUGACAUAUAGUUGCACAUCACACUAGGGGGCAAAAGGUGCACGAAGUGCACAUAAGGGUCCAUAGUGAACCCAAGCCAAAAAGGGGUAUCAUAAUAAAAACUUCUGAAAAAGGCAUCUUUUAUAAGAUUUGCUAAUUGCAUUAAAAGUUUCAGUUUUCAUGAACAAAACCAAUUUUUCCUUUUAAAAUAAUAAAGCACAGAAAUCAAUGGAGCAAGAAAGGGCCCCAUAAGGAACCAGAGAUCUCUUCACUAAAAGGAUAUGAAGUAUAUUUCGGUUCAUGAGAAAAGCUUGAAACAAGAGCUCGAAGAGGUUUACGACGAAAGGGGGACCUAUGUUUUCAAGAUAGGUAACAAAAACAUACAUCCAUAUUGACCAUAAUACAUUUCUUUCAACAUUUGUCAGAUCGGGGUUUCAUCACCACUUCUCGGGUUGUGCGUUUGUUUUUAAACCCUACCUCAUUUCGAGUGCGCAUUUGAGCCCUCACUUCUUGGGUAGUGCGUUUUCUAACCCUACUUCUUUUUUAGUGAGCUGUGUUGUAACCCAUUUUUGGGUCCCCACAUAAAAAAAAUAAAAAUUCAAAAAAUAUAUUAUCAAAAAAUAUAACAGUGAAAAAAUGCUAGAGCGCCCUAAAAAUGCUCAAAAUUUGAUUGAGGAUGUUCAAAAAUCAAAAAUUAAUUUUUGACAGUAUAUCAUUGACUGAUGAGAGCCCCGAUGAUAAAGAAAAUUCAAUUUGUGGAAGAAAAAUGCAAAAUCAGAAGUUUAUGGACUCAAUGAAAUUUUAUUAAAGGUUUAAUUGCAUUUAUGAAGAUUUUAAUUGCAAGAAAAAUUGAUUUUGGAGUUAAUUUGGGCUUUAAUUAGGAGAAAUUAAUUUUCUAGGGUCAAAUUAUAAUUUUUGGAAGUUAAUUUGGUCAAAUCAGGGGCUUAAUUGCAUAACUAUUGAAGUUUAAUGGCCAAUUAGAGACUUAAUCGAAGAAAUCCGAGACCAAGGACUAAAAUGCAAAACGCGCGCAAAUUGAGGGACUUCUUUGAAUCUGACGCGUUUUGGCGCCUUUUUCUUUUAAAUGAAACGGCGCGUUUUGACCAAAACAGCGCCGUUUCAUUCACUGUUGCAAAAAAAAAAAAAAAAAAAAAAAAACAGAAGCCCAAAACGGUGCCGUUUUGACGACACUGUAGGUCUUCUUCUUCCCCUGGACGCGCGAGGCAGGGGAAGAAGAAGAUUUUUCUUCUCCCUUUUCGCGUACUUUCUUUCCUUCUUUUGCUCAAAAAGACGCCGAAACAAGGACACCACUUGCCCAAGGAUUUCCACAUGUUGGACGAACAUUGGAGGGGCGGCAGCAUAGUGGCCGCCCCAGCCACGUCUCCCCUGUUUUUCGCCUAUAAAAACAGGGGAGGAAGAAGGAGGAAGAGGGGAAGAAAAGAGAAGGGAGAGGGAAGAGAGAAGAGAAGAGAAGAGAAGAGAAGAGAAGAGAAAGAAGAGAGGAAAAGAAAAGAAAAGAAAAACAGAAACAGAAGAAGAAAGAAAGAAGCAGGGGAGAAGAGAGAAGAAAUCGUCGCCUCUGCCACCCUUCGAUCACCAGCAGCACCGCCGGCCACCGCUCCAGUUGGAAGCUCCACCGCGUCAGGUAACCUCCUGCUCCCUCGCCAUCAUUUUUUUUCUUCUCGCCCUCGCUGUCCCUGCCUGCACUUGCAUGCAGAACGUGAAUAAUUCACGUUCUGCUGCAAAAUGCAGCGUGGGCUGGGCUGGGCCGUCAGCCCAGCCCAUGUAAAAUGGGCUUGGCUGGCCCAGCCCACGCAUUUGGGCCGGGUCCGACCCAUUUUAAUUUUUUAAUUUUUUUUUAAAAAGAAUUUUUACAAUUUUUCCAGCACAUGUUUUUAUCAAUUUUGCUUAAUAUCAGUCUGUAUUUUACAUCGUAAAAAUAUAAAUUCGGUAUUAAAAUACCCGGUUUUCGUCCCGCGGUACUGUUCACACGGCACUAUUCACAAUUCAAAAAAAAAAAAACAAAAUCAAAAAUAUUUGUUUCAGAAUUUUAUAUUUUUUCCGCGUAGUUUUUAUGUCAUUUUGAUUAAUAUCGGGCAGUAUUUUUACAUCGUAAAAAUAUAAAUCCGGUAUUAAAAUACCCGGUUUUCGACAAAAACUUCCAAAAAUUAAAAAAAUUAAAAAAAACAACAAUUAAAAAAAAAAUGUUUUUUGUGCAUACGCCCAAGUUUCUCAAAUCUAAAAAAUCAUAUCGUAUUUUUCAUAUGUCAAAAAACAAUAUUUUAGCAUGCAUUUUGGCUUUAAUAACCAGUUUAUUAAAGUCAAGAGAACAUUGGCCAAAAUCUCAAAAACAACAAAAUAUUUUAUUUUGUUUGAUUUUAGUAUCAGAGAUUAUGAAUUUAUACGUAAAUCGUAUUCCUGAUAUUAAAAAGAUAUUUUCUUUUGACGACUUCGAAUAGUUAGUUUUUUUUUUUUUUUUUUUUUUUUUUUACCCGAUAAAGAUAAGGAUCUCCUUACGGAGGAGGACUUUUCUUAAACCGUAAACGAACCAACAAUUCAAAAACCACAACACGAGUUUAGAUUUUUUCAGACAUUAAAACAAUGCAGCCUACCUUAGGUAGGACGUAGUUGGGGUGCUAAUACCUUCCCUUUAUGCAACCAGUCUCCGUACCCGAUCUCUAAAGACCAGUUAAGGUUCCUAGUAACCAGAAUACUAGGUGGCGACUCCCAUUCCAAUUUUUUUUCACUUGUAGAGACAAGAAUUCCUUGUCUCUCCUUAUUUUUCAGGAAUAAAUUAUUCCGAUUUUCCCUUGAGGGUGGACGAUCGCCGCGCCGCCGCACACGUGCGACAGAAUGGCGACUCCACUGGGGACCUUGUGGACUAAGCUUUGUUUUUGUCUGAUUAUUGUGUUUUUUGUUGUGGUUUGCGUGUUUUUAUUUUUAAAUAUACAUUUCCUUUAUUUUUUCUUACACGCUUUAAUUUCUGUAUAUAUUUUUCAAACCAUACACAAGCCUUUAAGUUAAGUGGGGAAUUAACGAUCUGCCCUAUGACUAUUGGUCGGGUUCAGAUGCGUGAAACACCCAACUCAUAUCUGAGAGCCUGCUUGGUAAUGGUGGGCAUACGUGUCUUAACUGUUCUUUGCAACGCCCCCAUACUGCCUUUACGAAGGACGUCACUGGGCAGAUAUGAGACCCUUUUGAGACCAGGUAGAAAACCUAUUCAUGAAUAGACCCUGUCUUUAGUUUGUAUGCGCUAUCUUUCUUUACAGAAUAUGUCAUACAAAAAAAAAAAAAAAAAUCAUGUCACCCCUUUGAGGGGCAAGUGCAUCAUAUAAAUUACAUGUUCAAACAUUUAACAUGCAUACAUGCCAGAUCGAAAUAUAGGUCCCCAAAAAGUCUACAACACCCGACUUCGAGCAAGAAACAUGGAAGAUGAAGAGCGUGCUCAACGUGAGGCCUAUUUGCACAACGAGUUGGAGUCUCUGAAAAUAAGUGUGGCUCACCUCACUAGCUUACUCAAGCAAACACUAAGAAAUACCUCUGAUGAAGGUAUUUCUAAUCGACCGAUUACCUUUGAUCCGACUCCUACUACAGUUCAGCCUGAGGAAAGAAUGAGCGAACAUGGUCAAGAACCUCAGCAAAAUCCAACAUUUGUGCAGUCAACGACACCUGCACCAUCCCCAACAGUCGUGAAGGCAUCUGCUAAUGAGUCCUACAAGGCUAAGUCAUCUGAUAGCAUUGAUCAAGCUAAGAUAGAGGCGUUGGAGGCCAGACUCAAAGCCAUUGAAGGGAUAGACUUAUAUGACCCGGUACGGGCAGCAGAGAUGUGUUUGGUCCCAAAUGUGGUUAUCCCAAAGAAAUUUCGUGUUCCUGAAUUCAUCAAAUACAGUGGAACACAAUGCCCCAUGACCCAUCUCAGGUCCUACUGCAAUAAAAUGGCUGAGGUAGUACAUGAUGAAAAACUACUAAUGCACUUUUUCCAAUACAGUUUAAGUGGGGCAACUUUGAGUUGGUACAUGAGAUUGGAUAACACAAAAAUUCGCAACUGGAAAAAUCUUGUGGAUGCUUUCGUCAAGCAAUACAAGUACAACAUGGACAUUGCGCCCGACAGAACCAGUUUGUCCAAUACAGAGAAAAAGGAUAAAGAAAGCAUAAGGGAAUAUGCUCAAAGAUGGCGAGAAUUAGCUGCUCAAGUACAUCCCCCACUUCUGGACAAAGAGAUGGUCUCUUUAUUUGCCAACACACUUAAAGCACCAUAUUACGAACAUAUGAUGGGUAGUUCAGCCCAACAAUUCACUGAUGCUGUGAUAGUGUGUGAACGCAUAGAGCAAGGUGUCAAGAGUGGUAGAAUUGCUGCACCAACCGAGAAAAGAGGCGUCGAAAGAAAAGAGGUUCACCAUGUUGAAGAUGACUACAUGGGUAAAACAAAUACAUCCCGAAAUUACCAUACUAUUCAUACGGUACUGUUCACACAUGCAUAAAAAAAAAAACAAAAUCAAAAAUAUUUGUUUCAGCAUUUUAUAUUUUUUCCGCGUAGUUUUAUGUCAUUUUGAUUAAUAUCGGGCAGUAUUUUUACAUCGUAAAAAUAUAAAUCCGGUAUUAAAAUACCCGGUUUUCGACAAAAACUUCCAAAAAUUAAAAAAUUAAAAAAAACAACAAUUAAAAAAAAAAUGUUUUUUGUGCAUACGCCCAAGUUUCUCAAAUCUAAAAAAUCAUAUCGUAUUUUUCAUAUGUCAAAAAACAAUAUUUUAGCAUGCAUUUUGGCUUUAAUAACCAGUUUAUUAAAGUCAAGAGAACAUUGGCCAAAAUCUCAAAAACAACAAAAUAUUUUAUUUUGUUUGAUUUUAGUAUCAGAGAUUAUGAAUUUAUACGUAAAUCGUAUUCCUGAUAUUAAAAAGAUAUUUUCUUUUGACGACUUCGAAUAGUUAGUUUUUUUUUUUUUUUUUUUUUUUUUUACCCGAUAAAGAUAAGGAUCUCCUUACGGAGGAGGACUUUUCUUAAACCGUAAACGAACCAACAAUUCAAAAACCACAACACGAUUUUAGAUUUUUUCAGACAUUAAAACAAUGCAGCCUACCUUAGGUAGGACGUAGUUGGGGUGCUAAUACCUUCCCUUUAGCAACCAGUCUCCGUACCCGAUCUCUAAAGACCAGUUAAGGUUCCUAGUAACCAGAAUACUAGGUGGCGACUCCCAUUCCAAUUUUUUUUCACUUGUAGAGACAAGAAUUCCUUGUCUCUCCUUAUUUUCCAGGAAUAAAUUAUUCCGAUUUUCCCUUGAGGGUGGACGAUCGUCGCGCCGCCGCACACGUGCGACAAGCUGUUUGAGCCCUCACUUCUUGGGUAGUGCGUUUUCUAACCCUACCUCUUUUCGAGUGCACCGUUUGAGCCCUCACUUCUCGGGUAGUGCGUUUUCUAAACCUUACCUCAUUUCGAGUGCGCCUUUGAGCCCUCACUUCUUGGGUAGUGCGUUUUCUAACCCUACCUCUUUUCGAGUGCAUCGUUGAGCCCUCACUUUUCGGGUAAUGCGUUUGUUUUUAACCCUACCUCAUUUCGAGUGCGCCUUUGAGCCCUCACUUCUUGGGUAGUGCGUUUUCUAACCCUACCUCUUUUCGAGUGCGCCGUUUGAGCCCUCACCUCUCGAGUAGUGCGUUUUCUAACCCUACCUCAUUUCAAGGGCGCCUUUGAGCCCUCACCAACAUUUUUCUGGGUAGGUCACUCAUUACAACGCGACCACUUCUCCAUUUUUUUUUUUUACUUUGGUAGGUCACCCAUUACAAUAAGGCCAUUCUUCCACCUGGGUAGGUCACCCAUUACAAUGAGACCACUCUUUCCUUUUUCUUUGAGUAGGUCACCCAUUACAAAUGAGACCGCACUCCACAUUUUUUUCUAUUUGGGUAAGUCACCCAUCACAACGAGACCGUUUUUUCAUAUUCUUGCCACUUGGGUAGGUCACCCAUCACAAUGAGACCAUUAUUAUUAUUAUUAUUUUCUGGGUAGGUCACCCAUAAGAAUGAGACCAUUCUCCAUUUUUUUUUUACCUGGGUAGGUCACCCAUAAUAAUGAGGCCAUUCUUCCCCCUAGGUAGGUCACCCAAAGAAUGAGACCACUCUUCCUUUUUUCUUGGGUAGGUCACCCAUCACAAUGAGACCAUUAUUUCUUUCUGGGUAGGUCACCCAUAAGAAUGAGACCAUUCUCCAUUUUGUUUUUACCUGGGUAGGUCACCUAUAAGAAUGAGGCCAUUCCUCCCCCUGGGUAGGUCACCCAAAGAAUGAGACCACUCUUCCUUUUUCCUUGGGUAGGUCACCCAUCACAAUGAGACCAUAUUUUUUCUAGGUAGGUCACUCAUAAGAAUGAGACCAUUCUCCAUCUUUUUUUUUACCUGGGUAGGUCACCCAUAAGAAUGAGGCCAUUCCUCCCCCUGGGUAGGUCACCCAAAGAAUGAGACCACUCUUCCUUCUUCCUUGGGUAGGUCACCCAUCACAAUGAGACCAUAUUUUUUCUGGGUAGGUCACCCAUAAGAAUGAGGUCAUUCCUCCCCCUGGGUAGGUCACCCAAAGAAUGAGACCACUCUUCCUUUUUCCUUGGGUAGAUCACCCAUCACAAUGAGACCAUUAUUUUUUCUGGGUAGGUCACCCAUAAGAAUGAGACCAUUCUCCAUUUUUUUUUACCUGGGUAGGUCACCCAUAAUAAUAAGGCCAUUCUUUCCCCUGGGUAGGUCACCCAUAAGAAUGAGACCUCUCUUUCCCUUUUCCACUCGGGCAGGUCACCCGUCAUAAUAAGACCACACACAUUUUUUUGUAUUGGUUAUGGGUAACGGAAUCGCCAGAUGGGAUUCCAAAUUCAAAGGAGAUCACCAGAUGGGAUCUCGAAUGGAUUUCCAUGUUGAUCAAACUGAAGUAAGAAUUCAGAGGAUCGCCGGAUAAGGAUCUCGAGAUGACUAAGUUUUGAUCAUAGUUUUUGGGCUACGGAGGAUUGUUGUAAAACACAAAGUUUCAGAUCAAUUAAGCUUCGACCAGAACAGUUUCGGGAGUUCCGUUUUGGGUUUAUCUUUAUAACACUUACUGUGCAAAACCCAUGCUCCAUAAGUAUUAUAAAGAGGGGGCAUCUGUUGUAACCCAUUUUUGGGUCCCCAUAAAAAAUAUAAUAAAUAGCCAAAAGAGGUUAGAAAAAUAACAGGAGGCAGAAGCGCUCAGAAAACAGUCAGAAAAAUUGGUCAAGGAAUUUAAAAAAACAAGGAUUAAAUUUUUGACAGUAUAUUCUUGAAGGAUGAAAUCCCUAUUGAGAAGGAAAAUUUGAAUUUUGAGGAGAAAAGCCAAAAUUUGGAUGUUUAUGGACUUAAUUGGAUUUUUAUUUGAAUUUAUAGAGGAUUUGAUUGCAAGAAAAAUUGAUUUUUAAGUCAAUUGGGCUUUAAUUAGAAGAAAUUUAAGUUCUGGGGCCAAAAUAUAUUUUUUAGGAAUUUAUUAGGUCAAAUCAGGGGCUUAAUUGCAUAAAUAUUGAAGUUUAAUGGCCAAUUAGGGACAUAAUUGUGAAAAUCCGAAACCAGGGACCAAUUUGGAAAAGGCGCAAAGAUAGAGGGGGCUGUUUGGAAUUGAUUCAAGGGCUUAAUUGAAGAAAUUGGAAGUUUAUUGAUCAAUUAGGGGGUUAAUUGUGAAAAUCAGAGGCCAAGGACCAAAGUGAAAAACACGGCCAACUAUAGGGGCAGGGACGCAAUUGAAUUUUAUUCUUAAAAUCAGGACUCGAUUGAAGGACUUAAUAGAACAAAUGAUAAAUUAAGGACUGAUUCAAAAACAAAUGUUCUGGCGCCUUUUUUUAAAUGAAACGGCGCGUUUUCCCCAAAACAACGCCGUUUCAUACAUAAAAUAAAAAAAAAAAAGAGAGAAGACCGAACGGUGCCGUUUUGAACGGCACUGUUCACCUUUCUUCUUCCCCCGAACAUACAGCGGGGAAGAAGGAAAAGAUUGCUUUGUUUAAUUCUUUUUGCAGGUACCUCUAGCCCACCGACCAACCAAGGCCCCACGCCGGUGGGCCACCGACAGAAGACAUUGGCCGACUACCCGCCGCGCUGCCGAAACCGAGGGAGGCCCGCCUGGACAGCGGCUCCCCGACCAGCCGCUCCUCGACUUGCUCCUUGGCUCCACGGUGAAGCCACGCUCACUGGCUCUAUAAAUAGAGAACCGAAAGAGAGAACAGGGGAUGAAAAAAGAAAAAGAAAAAGAAGAGGAAUCCGAAGAAAACUAAAAAACGAAGAGAGAGAGGAAGAGAGAGAAACAACCCAACCGAGGAGAGAGAGCCACCAAAAACCCAAAAAGACCAAGAGAAGAGUGAAAGUUUGACGCUGGGAGGGAAUUUAGAAAACAAAAACCAAGAAAACGAACCGAGAGGGCGUCGCUGGAUUGUUUGGAAAUCACCGUGAGGAGUCGCCGUCUGUGAUCUAGGACGCUGCCACCGCCUCCACCACAGCACCGCCAGCAAGCCAUCGUCUCCGCUGCGCCAGGUACGCUUCCUCCCCCCGCUAUUUUUUUCUUCUGAAACUUGCAUGAGUUGGCCUCCUGCAUGCAGAAUCGUUAUGCAUGCAGGAGGCGGGGGGGAAAUAAUUCCCCCCCCCGUGCUGUAGUUUUCUUUAUUCUCUGGGCCAGAUUAUUUCUGGCCCAGAAAUAUGUGGGAUGGGCCAGAAGGAUUCUGGCCCCACCCGGCGGUUUGGGCCGGUUCCGACCGAAUUACCGACCGAAUUACCGACCGAAAAUUCAGAAUCAAUGAAAAAAGGGCGGGCAGUGGCGCGGAGGUUUUGGCGGGUGAUUUUUCCGACGGAAUUAAAAACUGGGGCCCGUACGCGUGAUGGGACCUAUUCACCAACAAAAAAUACCGACGGAAUCACCGACGGAUUUGAAAUGCCAGAUCCGUACCGGUGACGUGACGGGUGCACCGUUAAAACUACCGACGGAAUCACCGAGGGAUUUGAAUAGCAGGUCCGUGCGGUGACGUGUCGAUUGCCCGUCAUAAUUACCGACGGUUUCGCCGACGGAUUCACCGACGGAAUAAAACCCGUCGGUAAGUCCGUCGGUAAAAGUGAAUAUAUGGCCCCUCUGCCGACACUCUCCUCCCCCAUUUCUCCUUCUUCUUCCUAAUCCUAACCCUCCCCAUCUGCAAAAUAACCAGCCCCCCCUCGCCCCAAAACAAAAUCUUUCUCAUCUCAGCACAACAAGUUGUAUUUGUUUUGUGGUCACAGCAUCCGUGUUUUGAUUUACCGACGGAUUUUAUCAUUUUUUGUAAGUAAUUCUAUCUUUUAAAAUUUUAACAUUUAAAUGUUAAUUUUAUUGUUUUUUUAGUAUAUGUAUUAAUUUUUUUAGUAGAUGUACAUGUUUUAUUGUUAUUUCUCAAACAAACUUGUAGUAUAUGAAUGUAUAAUUUUAUACUUGUUAUGGUUUGUUUUAGAUUUUGUAAGAUUGUAUUUGUUUGAAAAUUGUUAAAACUUAAUUUGUAGAAUUACCGAAUUACAUGUUGUGUUUUGAAAUAAUUAAGAGCUUGCUUAAUUAAUGGGUCCUUUUUAUAGAGGUUCGAUAGAAGUCAUGGAUGAUCGUUCAUGGAUGUAUCUAGAUUCACCCCAAGGAUUGCGGAGGAUGGAUUAUUGUAACGGGGUUCAGGGUUUUAUUAAUUUCGCAACAUCUAUUCCCAGAAAUUUUACUGGAGGCGGUAUUAGGUGUCCAUGCAGGAAGUGUCAAAAUAAAAAGUAUCUGCAUCCAGAUGUUGUAAUGAUGCAUCUUCUACACAAAGGGUUUGUGGAGAAUUACGAGUGUUGGUAUGCACAUGGAGAGGUAUUUGUUAGUAAUAGGAGAAUGGAAGAAACGGUGGUUGGGUCAACUUCUAGUGCUAGCAACGUGCAUGAAGCGGCAAAUGACAACACUAAUCCUUACAGAAACAUGGUUAUGGAUGCAAUGAGAAUGAAUCAAGAUAAUGUCAAUCAAUGUCCAAUCGUAGAAGAAGAACCUAAUGCAGAGGCAGCUAGGUUUUUUGAUUUGUUGAAAGAUUCUGACGAACCAUUAUGGGAUGGCUGCACAAACCACAGUAAAUUAUCGGCUGUGGCACAGGUGUUCACCAUCAAGUCAGAUCACGGGUUGAGUGAGGCCGGGUAUGACAAAAUUAUUGAUUGGGCAAGAAGCAUUUUACCAGAAGGGAACAGGCUCAAAGAGAACUUCUAUGCUGCGAAGUCCAUGAUGAAACCCCUCGGUUUAGGAUACCAGAAAAUUGACAUGUGCCCUAACUUCUGCAUUUGGUUGAACCAUAUCGAGUUGCUCCUUCGAUUGAAUUGGAAGAAAAUUCAAAUUUUCGAGUUCUCGAUGAUAGUCUUGUUGAUAUUGACGGAGAGGAGUUGAAUGUUGUUCUCAGCUCUAGCGGACAACCAAAUGUCGAUGAAGAAGAUGAUAUCCAUAUUGAAGAUUGCGAUGAAGAUGAUGACAAUUCAAUUGAUGAGGAAGAAGAAGAAAAUUCCGACUAAUUAUAAAAAUGAAGCCCUAUGUAAAAACAUUUGUCUCAUGUAAUUUAGAUUAUUGAUGAUGUAUUUUGUAAAACAAAAUAUUUAUUGUUUAAGCAAUGUGGUUAUUGUUUUAUGUGAUAGACAGUUUAUCAGUUAAGUUAUUGCAGGAAGGUAAACAGGCAAUACAAAGACAACCUUUCCUGCAUAAUGCCACAAUCACCGAAGUCCAUACCGACGGAUCAACAUCCGUCGGUAUCUCACAGAGAGUUCGUAAAUAUUUACGCGAAAUGCCACCAACACCAACGAAAUUACCGACGGCUUCACCGACAACUAUACCGACGGAAUGCAAUCCGUCGGCAUAUCACAGUGAGCUCGAAAAAUAUGCCACCACCAUCGACGGGAUUACCGACAGACAAUAGUCCGUCGGCAUCUCACAGUAAGCUCGAAAAACAUCCACCACCAUCGACGGGAUUACCGACGGAACAUAGUCCGUCGGCAUCUCACAGUAAGCUCGAAAAACAUCCACCACCAUCGACGGGAUGACCGACGGAAUAUAGUCCGUCGGCAUCUCACAGUAAGCUCGAAAACAUAACACCACCAUCGACGGGAUUACCGACGGCGUAGGUCCGUCGGUAAUUUGUCGGUUACACAUAUUACCGACAGAAUUACCGACGGACCGCGCAUUUUCCAAAGUGCGUUAAUUAAUGCGCCUCUGAACUUGUCAGAUUACCGACGGAAUCACGGACGGACUGCGAAAAUUUUGGAGGGCUUUUAAAAAUUCGGGGCGAAAUUCGAAAAAUACCGACGGAAUUUUGAUCUGUUACCGACGGAAUUUUGACCUUUUACCGACGGAUGUAAAUUCCGUCGGUUAUGCCGUCGGUAAAAUUGACCUAUAAGUUCCAGCCCCGCCGCUUCGCCUCAUUUUUUCUUCUUCUCCCCGCCGCUUCUUCGCUUCUCCUCCGUUUUUCACCUUAGAUUUUUCAUUUUUUCCCCCUCAAUCCUUAAACACUUUCACCUUUAAUCUCUAGCAAGAUUUGGUGUUGUAAAUCUUCAUUAUAUCAAAAGGUAUGUGUUUUUUUUCUAAUUUAUUUUAUUUUAUUUUAUUUUUAGUUGUUUUUAUUUUUGUUGUGUUGGUGUUUUUUGUUGCAAUGUAGAUAAAGUUUUGAAUUUGACACAUUAUUAAGGUAUGUAUAUUUCGUUCCUUUUUUUUUAAUUUUUGAAUAUUUUUUGAAUUUGUUGAAUAUUUGUUAAUUUAAUUGUUGAAUAAUUGAAUUUAAUUGUUGAAUUAUUGAAUAUUUUUUGUUGUUGUUGUUAGAAUUGUUAUUAGUUAAUUUAACUUAGAAUUAGUUAAAGUUGAAUAUUUGAAUAUUUUUUGAAUUUGUUGAAUAUUUGUUAAUUUAAUUGUUGAAUAAUUGAAUUUAAUUGUUGAAUUUAUUGAAUAUUUUUUGUUGUUGUGUUGUUAGAAUUGUUAUUAGUUAAUUUAACUUAGAAUUAGUUAAAGUUGAAUAUUUGAAUUUUUUUGAAUUUUUUGAAUUUGUUGAAUUAUAAUUGUUAAUGUUGAAUUGUAAUUGUUAAUGUUGAAGUAUAAUUUGUUGAAUUUAUUGAAUUUAUUUUUUGUUAUAUUUUUUAUUGUUUUGAAUAUAAUUAUUGAUUAAUUUGUGAAUUGUAAUUGUUAACGUUGAAUUUAUCUUAGGAUUAAUAGUUGAAUAUGUUGGAAUAAUUAGUAUAGAUUGGUUCGAUUGGUUGUGGCUAUUGUUAAUAUUUGCAGGUUUGUGGAUUUGGGUAGUAUCCAGUAUAGGGGAGGUGCUGCCGAUUUUUUUUUAACUUUUGAAUUUUAUUUUACAAUUAUUAAUAUAAAAUUGUUUAGAUGCGCAAAAUGAAAACCAGAGCUGGUCGUCCAGUCGAAUCAAGUUCGUCUAGCAGCGAUGAUGAUGUUUCCUUAGGUGCCUCUCAAGAAGAGGCACCUACACCACCUGCGCCGUCAACCGAUGCUGCCUCUUCCAGCGAUGUUUCACAUCGCAGACGCGGCAUGCCUUCGAAGCGGAAUCAAUUUACCCGCCAGUUCGAGGCACAGUGGAAGGACGAUCUUUCAAUGUAAGUUUGUUAAGUUUUAGUUUUUUUUAUAUAUAAAAAACAAAUUUAAAACGUAAUUUAUGAAGUAAUCACAAAUUAAUUUCAUUUCUUUUCAGGUUCACAAACAUUGAGGCCGCCCGAUUAAUAUCAUCGGCGUUUAAAGCGUCGAUGGAGAUUCCAUUGUUUCAAUGGAGUCAGAUAUCCAGACAUCCUGAAUGGAUGCCUCAAAUCAAUGCAUGGUUUCGUAGAUUUGAGGUUCGUGUUAAUAUAUAAUUUUCAGCUUAUUUCUAAUAAAUUCAAGUUAUAAUUGUAAAUAAAUUAUUAACAUUUUAAAAAAUUAUUUUUUUAUAUACAGCAUCGAUUCUGCUGGGACGAUGAACAUGACAGUGUUGUGAGGAGGGUGUGGGAAAAUCACGCGGCAAUUAGGUAACAUCGAAAACAAUACGACUUUUUUUUACAUAAUUAUUUAUGUUUUGAAAUGUAAUUUUUUCGUGCGUGAAUUAGGUUGCGUGAUUUUUGGUAUGACGCCCAGAAAAAAGCAAAAAAAACAGCGAGGGAUAAGGGGUUACAAGGCUGGAACGAUGUUGCGGUUUGGAGGGAUUUCAAACCAAUAUACAUCCCGGAAGAUAUAUGGCCGCACUAUCUUCAGCACGUGACGUCUGAGCGGUUCACUCGACGCUCACAGUCCGGUGCCGGCAACCGGAAUCGGCAAAUUCAUGGCUCGGUUACAACGCACACCGCGGCUCCGUUCCGUUUGCUGCACAUGCGAAACGGAUGGUAAGAUUAAUUUAAAUGAAAUAUAUCGUUCAAUUAAUUUGUUGUUAAUAAUUUUUUUCAUUAUAUAUAGGCUACGUCUCUUGGACGUGAGCCGAGCCCUAUGGAGCUGUUUGUGGAGACGCACGUGCGGAGUCAUGACCGCCAAAAGGGGACGCAACAGUUCGUUGACAACCGUGCUCAACAGUUUGUGGUGUGUUUGUUCAACCAUUUUAUUUUGUAAGUUAUUAUUAUGUUUAUUGAAUUGAAUAUGAUUUUUUUUUUCAGGAGACCUAUAAUAAUCGGUUGAGGGAGAGAUACGGGGAUGAUCCUUCGACCCAUCCGGAAUUCGAUCCGGAUUUGUGGAUGGAGGCUGGAUCGUCAGGUGGACCCGAUAAAAAUCGGGUUUACGGGCUCUCCAACACUACCGCUGCCAAGUUGCGGUCGACCGGUACUGCUUCAACCGGUGGGAGCUCCCAAUCUGUAUCGAGCUCCCAAUCUAAGGAGUUUGUGGCCUUGCAGCAAAGGUGCGACCACCUAUCAGAGGCGUACACACAACUCAAAGAAGAGCAAAGAUUGGCGAACGAACAACACAGAUUGGCGGACGAACAACGCAGAGCAGAGUCUGAACAACAAAGAGCGGCCUAUGAAGAGCUUCGUCAAAUGGUCAUGAACAUGACACAAGGCGGAACAUGUGCGCCUAAUCCUUUUUGGCCGCCUAACCCCCACCCUCCUCCUCCACCUUUAUAUUAAUUGUUUUUUUUUUAAACACAUUCAUUUUGUAAUGAAUAUUAUUUAACUUUGAGUUUUUGUUGCUUAAUAUAAAUUUUAUUUACAUAAUUGGUUUGUAUUACUAUUAAUUUAUAUUAUUUUUUCUAAAUAAUUAAAAAAAUAAAAUUACACAGGGAUUUACCGACGGAAUAAAUCCGUCGGCAUUAGACAGUGUCUGAGGUAUGCCAUCCCAUCACCGACAUACUCACCGACGGAAAUAAUCCGUCGGUAUAAAAAUACCGACGAAUUUAUAGACGGAUUUAUUCGGUCGGUAUGAAAUAUCACCGACACUUUUGCCGACGGAGGUAGUCCGUCGGUAUUUAUAUAAAACCGACGGAAUAUAUUCCGUCGGUAUAUUCCCAGCGGGAAACUUUUUUUUUUUGGCGCGCAUGGGCCGUCGGUAAACAUGUUUUUUUUAUUACCGACCGAUAUAGCGACGGAAUGUGGAAUCACCGACAAAAGGUAUUCCGACGGGAGUAUUCCGUCGGUAAUAUAGUCGGUAAAUACUUUACCGACGAACGUUCUGUCACACACCGACGGAAAUAUUCCGUCGGUAAAACUGUGAAAUCUUGUAGUGUCAUGUAAAUGUCUGCAUGAAUACCAAGUGUUCAAACUUCAACACAAAACUUCGUAUAAUAACAUAACUUAAAAACUCUUAGAUGCGAUCUUCGAGAACCCAAACCAAGUUCCUUAUGUUCUUCCUUAUUUAACUACGAGAUCAUCAGUAUGCUGAGGAAUUCAUGACACAACCUUGAGCAUUGGAGAUUCAAACCGAGUUGUAAAUUUGACAAGACAAACACGGACAGCACUUUGACUUGCAUUGGUAUUUAUUUUAUGUCUAGAACUUAGUCAUACAUCUUUCAGCUUCAAAGAAAUUGACCAAAGAGAUAAACUGACAUGCAGCUGUAAAAUGGUGAACUGCCACACAACCUCGCAUGUCCUCUUUUUCCACAGCCUCGUACAAUAGAAAGAAUUGCAUUCACAUAGUAUUUAGGCUUUACUUAAUUAGCAAAACAGCAGUACACCUGGUAAGGAUAUGCAGAUAGGGAUUGUUCUGCCAUGGUAGAAAAAAAUGAACCAAGAUACUUCCAAGAAAUAUACAAGGAAAUGAGCAACAGUGUGCACUCUGCAGAUAGGUAUUUUUCCAAGGAAAUAUAUUAUCCAGCACAUAAAGAUUAUAACUCAUAUCAUGAAAUCCAGAUAUAUGGGAAGAAAGAGCAAAGUAUAUGGUAAAAGAAAGCAACUUUAUAGUUGAGAUAUGACAGGAACAUAAGAAUGCAAGAACAUACCUUCCAGAACUAGGAUAUCUGAGGAUCAGUUUCCUUGUAGCCAUUGUACUCAGUGUGUGCCUUCCAAUCUUCCAGACAGAUAGCAUUUUCACUUCCAUAUAGCAUCUAAUCGUCGAGAUCCUCAAGCUCUAAACUCUGGAAGAACAGCUUCUGUAGCCCAGAGUUUAAAAGAAUAUCAGCAAAACCACGUGCAAAUCUAGAUACUGGUUCAGAGAUAGAUGUGACAAAGCGAUGCUGAAUGAGAAGAUCAACAUAUUUCUCCCGAUUCUUGCUAUUUACAACAAUACUCUUCCCACCAGGGCAAAGUUCCACAACUUUCCUGGAUCCUAGUUCCUCAACUUCUCUAACGAAUGUCAGACUCAAAGCAUCUGAAUCAAUGAACUCAGGAUCCAUCUGCAGAAUCUGUUUGCAACUGCUAUACAAGCAUGGAUCUGCAUCCCGUAUGUCUUCCAAAGUAAUAUGCAUCCCAGCCAAUUGCAAGAAAAAUGCCCGAUCAAAUACAAUGCCGACUUGCACUUUAUGCAUCAAAGCUAAAGCCAUCACUCGACCAGAGAAUGUGAAAUACUCAGGGUGCCUGGGAUCCACCUUGGAUGCUGCACAUAAAAUUAAUACAACGAAGUCCAUAUAUAUACUUUUGUUUGUUAGUGGUUAUCCAUGCCAACAAUUGAAUCCAAGCAAGAUGAUGCAACUUAAUUCAAGUCCAGAAACAGAAGACAAUAACAAACCUCAAUUAUGAUUCUUUGAAGAGGUAUUUCAGAAAUAACCAAUUGCAAUUUUAAUGCAGUGGAAGAAUUAGACAUGUUAAUCCCCAAAGGAACCAAUAACAUAUUAGUGAAACACGGAAUUCAGGUAACAGAGUUGGAGAAACAUGGGAAAUAUUCCUGUAUAAUAACCCUAGGGACUCAAGUACUUCACAAUAAAAUAUUUGUGACACACAAGGUUCGGGAAUUUUUCCCUUAACAAACCUUUGCUAGUGAACCUAUUUACAGGAUGUAAUGCCCUUAUCCCACAUCCAUCAGGAACUCACAUGGUAAACAACUUUUCUACAUAUAAAUGUUAGAGAAAGAACACUAAGAGAAUGCAGUGAAUGAUCUCUCGUACAGUUAAAAUCCAAGCAAUAUUAGUGAAAUAUCUUUGAUUAAGGUCACUGAGAAGGUUCACCGCGUUAAGCCACCCAGUAUUACAUCAAGUGUAGGAAAACUGUCGAACUUCUAAAAAAUGUUAAUUCAAUCCUGACUAUGCCUAAAAUUGAAUAUUAAAUGUCACAUUCUCCAGAUUUAGGUGUAACAUUUCCAGAUGUCCUCCCACUAACAUAUAUCAAAAUAAUGAAGAAUAAUAGUCCAAUGGUUGUAAGUGAUUGAGACAGCAUAGACACAUUAAUGUCAACUCAUAUAAACUGUUGGAGCUCUCCACCACCAUUUAGUGAAUGUUUACUUUCCAGUGUAAAUUAAAACAAAUACUCAGCCCACAAUCUGAAACAUUAGACACACGGCAAUGAAAACGUAUUGUUUACAUAGUCAGUAUUACCUGGGAAUAAAAAUUCAGUUGAGAAAGGAGAAAAUCCAACUUACAGAAUAAAACAUUCACGAACCUAAUUGCAACUGUUGUUCAGAAAAAAAAAUCCUACUCUCAGAAAAACAUGAACGGUUAAUUACAUGAAGUUUCACCCCAACCAAAAAUCAUUACUUCAAUCCUAAUUUCGACUUCCAAAAUUAAUUUGGGUGAAACAAUUCCAGAUGAGCUCAUCUCACCCACUAGCAACAUAAACUAAAUGACGUACAGGUGCUUCUUGAAUGGUUGUAGGUGAUGGAUACAGCAUCAUUACACAUUAAAUGUAAGUUCCUAUAGAUUACAGGAACUGCACAUUUUGUUCAUCUGAGUAAAUUUUUAUUAUCCAGUGAGAAUAUAAGCAACAAUGUUCCAAACUCUAUGCUAGAGUGACACAUUAGACACAAGGCAAUCCAAUAUAUUGUUUAACCAUUCGUAUCAUCAAAAACUAUAUUCAAUUGAGAAAAGAGAGAACCCUGUAGCAUUGUUCAUGUAAGGCAUUCAUGAUUAGGGUUUUCUCGUUUUGUUACCAGGAUUGGUAACCCUAUAUCCAAUCAAGAAAAGAGAAAACCCAAUAGCAUUCAGGCAGCAGAAACUUACCAGGAUUAGGAUAGAACCUUCUGCGAUCACUUGGGCAUGCCACAAAAAGAGCUUUUGAGGAUCAAAUAGAGCUUGUGUAACCAAGAAAAACCACUCCCGCAAUACACCAGGACCAGUAGCUUCCUCAUUUUUAAAUUCCAGAAAUAGACCACCAUGCAGUGCAUCUGAGUCGGCAUGCACUAUGUACUCAAAUGACUCUGACAACAAUUGUUACCGAUCAAUGAGCAUCUCGUGAAGCUCCUCGUAAUCUUCUCACCUCAGGGAACAUCAUCAUAGCCAAAUGCCUCCUAGACUCAAAAUCAAUCACAUCCUUGUUCCGAAGAAGCCAUUGAUGAUCUUCAGUUCUUUUUGCAUAUCUAACAAUCAGCGCACACAAGGAAGCCUUUCUAAGUCUCAAAAGUGUCCAAAACUUUUCCUCAGCACCCUUAUAGAGUUUAGCAAUGUUAUUCAACUCCUUCAAAAUAGCCAAAUAUUGAGACCAACCUGUAUGAUUCAACUCACCCUCUCCAUUCAUUUUCAAAUUUGAAGAAUUCUGCAUUUUCCCAAGACAUUUCUCCAUAAUAUUCAGCAAAUCAAAAAAUAUCACGUGAAGAUGCUCAAUCUCCUUCGCAUACAAUGGAUAAUUAAAUGCCCUGUUGUUCAACGGCAUCGAAACCAGACCCCUACAUGCCCCUUGCUCUGAAAUCAUACUAUACAACGGUACCAAAAAUGCUGAAAAAUCCUUCACAUCAGCUACUGAUGGCCCCACACUCCCCGCCGCACUCCCCAUGAAAUCUUUAAACAAUGUAUCAAACGAAUGUGAAGUAGAGGAAAAACAGAAUUGUAAAGAGAAGUUUUCUCUUGUGUAUUGAAUAAUACCGCUCGUCGAAAUAUAUACAGCAAGCAAAAAAUAUUCUAACUAACUUAUCUCAUGCAAUAUCAAUACUACCCUUUAUGUACAGUGCUUUACAGAAGCAGUUAAAAAAUAAAUAACAGAGUAACAGAAUUCAGGUAACCAUGCCAUCCUUCUCUGUAGUGACGUGGUGUAUUGAUGAGUCAUCCUCUAAUAUCCCCCCGCAAGAUGGAGAGUAAAAAUUUACGAUGCCCAUCUUGGAUAAAUGAAAAUUGAGAACAGAGGAUGAUAGAGCCUUUGUCAUGAUAUCAGCAAGUUGAUUAGAGCUGGAGACAUAACGAGUGCAGACGUGGCCAGCCUGAAUCUGGUCUCGAAUAAGAUGGCAGUCGAGUUCAAUGUGUUUAGUCCUCUCAUGGAAUACUGGAUUUGCCGCAAUAUGGAUAGCAGCUUGGUUGUCACAGUGUAAGAAAACUGGUUGUAGAUGUUGGACAUGGAGUGCAGACAGAAUGUAUUUCAGCCAGGAUAAUCCAGUGCAGGUUACAGCCAUGGAAUGGUAUUCGGCCUCUGCCGAAGACUUAGAGACCACAGAUUGUUUCUUAGAUUUCCAUGAGAUCAAGGAAGAGCCAAGAAAAAUACAGUAGCCACUAAUAGAACGUCUGGUAUCAGGGCAAGAAGCCCAAUCAGAAUCGCAAUAAGCCUCAAGAUGUAAAGAGGAAGAACUGGAAAAUAAAAGCCCCUGACCUGGUGCUCUCUUAAGGUAACAAAGAACUUUGUGAGCUGCAUGUAAAUGUGCAUCAGUAGGAUUAGCCAUGAAUUGGCUCAAAUUGUUGACACUAUAACAAAUAUCAGGCCGAGAGACUGUAAGAUAAAGGAGCCUGCCAAUAAGACGUCGGUAAAUACUGGGAUCAGAUAAGGGAGUGCCCGUGGUCUGAGUAAGGUUAAGAUUUUGUUGCAUUGGAACUUUAGCAGGGGUGCUGCCUAAGGUGCCAGAAUCUGCAAGAAUAUCCAAUGUAUAUUUCCGUUGGCAAAUAUAAAUGCCUUUGGAGGAUCUUGCAACCUCUAUGCCGAGAAAGUAGCGUAAAGGGCCAAGGUCCUUGAUCUGAAAAUGCUUGUGAAAAAUGGAUUUCAAUUCUUGCACAAUAGUAAUGUCACUACUUGCAACCAGUAUAUCGUCGACAUAAACAAGAAUAACAACAAAAGUGCCAUUAAUGUCACGGGUGAAAAAGCUAUAAUCAGCCUUGGAUUGAGAGAAACCUGCAGCAAAAAGAACAUUAGAAAAUUUGGAAUACCAUUGCCUUGAAGCUUGUUUGAGACCAUACAAGCUUUUGAGCAAUUUACAGACUUGAGUAGGGGAUCCUUUGGUGUAGCCAGGAGGUUUAUUCAUGUAGAUAUCUUCAUGCAAGUCCCCAUGCAAAAAUGCAUUAUUUACAUCGAAUUGAUGUAAAUGCCAACCUUUAACUGAGGCAGUAGCUAAGAGACACCUCACGGUAACCAACUUAGCCACAGGAGAAAAAGUAUCUUGAUAAUCCACUCCCUCAAGUUGGGUGAAACCGCGAGCCACAAGUAUUGCUUUAAGACGUUCAACACUCCCAUCAGAAUGAUACUUAAUUUUAUAAACAUAUUUGCAAUCAAUGGGAACUUUGCCAGGAGGUAAAUCCGUAAUCUGCCAAGUGUGAUUGGCCUCCAAGGCUGCUAAUUCAGUGUCCAUGGCUUUACACCAUCCAGGGUCUUUAAGAGCUUGCUUAUAUGUUCUUGGUUCAAUAUGAGUGGAAAUAGUAGUUGAAAAAGCUUUAUAAGAAGGAGAAAAAUACUAGUAAAGAAAUAGUAUUAUGAAGGGGGGAAGCAGUACCUGAAGGGGAACAUAACAGCUGGUCCAACGGUGGGAUAGGAGGAGUUAGAGCAGUCUGAUGACAAUGGUAAUCCUGCAGGUACUCAGGAGCGCGCCGAGUUCUGGUUGGCCUGCGAGAAGGUGAAACUAAAGAAGAAGGAGAAGGUAAGGGAGUAUGAGGUAAUUCAGGUGAAGGAUGUAAAGACUGUGGUGGGGAAGGAGGAGAACUCGGAGCUAAAAAAUAUGGAGAGGAAGACUGGGAAUUAGUAAUGACAGGUGAGGGAGUAAUGGUGGGGAGUAAUGGAGGAGAUGAUGGUGGAGUAGGAAUAGAGAGGGAAGGUGAAACAGAAGGUGAAAAAUGAGGAUGGAAGGGAAAAAUAGAUUCAUGAAAAUGAACAUCACGGGAUAAAAAAAAUGUGAUCAGUUUGUAUAUCAAGUAAUUUAUAUGCUUUAACCCCAAAAGGAUAGCCUAAAAACACACAUGCUCUGCCUCUAGGAUCAAACUUCUUACGCCCUUGUGACAAGGUAGAGGCAUAGGCAAGGCAACCAAAAACUCUCAAGUGUUUGUAUUGAGGAGGAGUGUGGAAGAGAUAUUCAUAGGGUGUUUUGUUAUGAAGAAGAGGGGUAGGAGUUCGAUUAAUUAGGUACAUCCAGGCUAUUUCCAAGGACAAAAAAAACAUUACUACUUUUAGAGUGAUUUUGACAGCGAAGUAGGAAAUGUAAUUAUUGUUAUUUUUAAAAUAUUUUUUUAUUUAUAAGUAUAUUAAAAUAAAAAUUGUUAAUUUCGUUUCAUUUUAUUUGUAAUGGUUUCAUAUCAAUUAAAAAAAUAAAAUAAAACAAAAUAACUUUUAUCUUAUUUCAAAUCUCGGUCUCUUCUAGAUUUUUUGGCUAAAUUUCAUUCGAAAUGUUCCAGUUUCAUUCCACAUGUUCUGUUCCGGUCUUAAAAAAUCAUUGAAUCAAAUUGAACCUAGUUCAAUUAAUUAAUUAAACCAUUAAAGUAUAAAAAGCUCUUUUUCAUUACUAUUUUCAUUAACUAUGAUAUUAAUUUUUUAAAAUUAGAUUUAUCAUUAAUAUAUAUGGUUUAUAUUCAUGUUAUUUUUUUUCAAGUUUAUACUUUGUAGGAAUUUAAGAGAAAAAAUGGAUGUUUUAGAUCUCAUUAGUCUUGAUAACAUUGAUCUAUCUUUAUAUUUAAAAUAUUAGUGUAAAAUAUUUUAAUUUCAUAAUAUUUUGAUAUUUUAUUGAAGUUGAAUUGUUUUAAGUUAAAACAUUAUUUAAUCUUAACUAUUUAAAAAUAUUUUAAAUUUUAAAAUUAUAUUUCAUCACGUCUCCAUGAUCCCCGUUGUGUCAAAAACAAAUUGCCUAAAUUUUAGGCUUUAGCAGUUCCUUUUUUGAAAUCCUCAUUAGUGAAAUUUCACGACUCCAGCUGGGCGUUGACUUGUCUGUUUAAUUUCUAUUAUUUUUAUUCCAUUUUAGCAUUUUAGCAUUUCAUACUCAUCAAAACCACUGGAACGCAAUCAAGCUUUAGCUUCAAACAACCAGAGGGAGAUUUUAUAGGGAUAAAAUUUUAAAAAUCACGCCUAUGCUACUUUGUAGUUUUAGUAUUAAAUUUAGUAUCUAAAAAAUGUGUUUAUGAAUAUGGCAGUUUCAGGUUUAGAAACCAAAUCUGCCAUAUUCAUACUCUCUCUUAGACAUUUUAAAAAUGUGUGUAGAAGAAUACUUUCACUGAUGAUUUAUAAUAUUAGGUUACUUUAAUGAUAAAUCAAUAUAGUAUUUUUAUUUUUAUUUUUUGGAUUUUCAUCUUGGAGAAAUUCAAUAGGAUGAAAAUAUAAUAUUAAUCAAACUUCAAAUUAUAAUUGUUUAUCUAUGGAGUUUAAAAAAAUAUGACAAUUUAGUAGUCUUUAAUGAAAUAAAAAAAAGAAAAAUGUUAUUUAUGUAAUUGUAAGCAUACAAUAUUAUAUUACUUUACAAAGGGACGAAGGACAUCCUUUGCGUUAGGAUGCUCCCACUCCACUACUGACUCCCACCAUUCUUUUGGAUAUGCGUCGAUUUCUCUAAGAGAAGGGGGAGGGGAUGGCUGGCCAUUUUCAAGCAACGGAAGACAAAUUUAUUGUAUCCAUGUAUUUAUGUAUCCUUUCUCUAUCUCUAAAUAAAAUGAGAGAUGGGAGUUGAGUGGAUGUGAUCCUCCUCCAUGUAUUUAUUGUAUCCUUUCUUUAUCUCUAAAUAAAAUGAACCUCUCCCAUGGAUGUAGGCGGUUUUGUCGAACCACGUAAAAUAUUGUGUCAAUGUGCUUGCACUCCGUUGAGCAAUUAUCAGUACAUCACCGGUCGGAUUUUCCCAACAAUUGGUAUUAGAGCUGAUGGUUUAAGUGGUGUUUGAUUUUUGCUAAAAAAUGAAAGUUGUCAAAAUUGUGUUUUGACCAUAUCACUGUGUAGAGGAGGAAGAGACGAAGCCACUGUUGAAAACCGCGUCGAAAUCGAACGUCGGACAUGGCCGCACGCGCCGGAAUGGUGGUUGGCCACGCGCGCCACGCGUCUUCUUCGCCCGGAUGGGCCGACCCGACCCGACCCGAAUACCAUACGACCCAACCUACGUGGCUGACCCGGAUAAGGAUGAUGUCAGCAUGACAUCAUAAUUAUGUCAGCAUGAACAAUAGCAUAGCCCAGGAUGACAUCAGCAUGAUGUGAUGGUGACGUCAACAUGCACAGUCAGCACCUGUCAGAGACCACCACUAGAAAUUCGCUAAAUACCAACGGACAUACCGACGGAAAUUUUUCUGUCAGUAUUUUUCGGCCGAAAUCACAGACGGACAAUAUUCGUCGGUAAUUCGGUCGGUAAUUACCGACCGAAAAUUCAGAAUUAAUGAAAAAAGGGCGGGUAGGUGGCACGGAGGUUUUGGCGGGUGAUUUUUCCGACGGAAUCACAGACGGAAUUAAAACCUGGGGCCCGACGCGUGAUGGAACCAGUGCACCGUUAAAAAUACCGACGGAAUCACCGAGGGAUUUGAAAUGCCAGAUCCGUGCCGGUGACGUGUCGAUUGCCCGUCAGAAUUACCGACGAUGUCGCCGACGGAAUCAAAACCGUCGGUAAGUCCGUCAGCAAAAGUGAAUAUAUGGCCACUCUACCGACACUCUCCUCCCCCAUUUCUCCUUCUUCUUCCUAAUCCUAACCCUCCCCAUUUGCAAAAUAAUCAGCCCCCCCUCGCCCCAAAACAAAAAUCUUCCUCAUCUCAGCACAACAAGUUGUAUUUCUUGAAGUUUUGUGGUCACAACAUCCGUGUUCUGAUUUACCGACGGAUUUUAUCAUUUUUUGUAAGUAAUUCUAUCUUUUAAAAUUUUAACAUUUAAAUGUCAAUUUUAUUGUUUUUUUAGUAUAUGUAUUUUGUUUUAGUAGAUGUACAUGUUUUAUUGUUAUUUCUCAAACAAACUUGUAGUAUAUGAAUGUAUAAUUUUAUACUUGUUAUGGUUUGUUUUAGAUUUUUUUAAGAUUGUAUUUGUUUGAAAAUUGUUAAAACUUAAUUUGUAGAAUUAUCGAAUUACAUGUUAUGUUUUGAAAUAAUUAAGAGCUUGCUUAAUGCGUACUUUUUAUAGAGGUUCGAUAGAAGUCAUGGAUGAUCGUUCAUGGAUGUAUCUAGAUUCACCCCAAGGAUUGCGGAGGAUGGAUUAUUGUAACGGGGUUCAGGGUUUUAUUAAUUUCGCAACAUCUAUUCCCAGAAAUUUUACUGGAGGCGGUAUUAGGUGUCCAUGCAGGAAGUGUCAAAAUAAAAAGUAUCUGCAUCCAGAUGUUGUAAUGAUGCAUCUUCUACACAAAGGGUUUGUGGAGGAUUACGAGUGUUGGUAUGCACAUGGAGAGGUAUUUGUUAGUAAUAGGAGAAUGGGAGAAACGGUGGUUGGGUCAACUUCUAGUGCUAGCAACGUGCAUGAAGCGACAAAUGACAACACUAAUCCUUACAGAAACAUGGUUAUGGAUGCAAUGAGAAUGAAUCAAGAUAAUGUCAAUCAAUGUCCAAUCGUAGAAGAAGAACCUAAUGCAGAGGCAGCUAGGUUUUUUGAUUUGUUGAAAGAUUCUGACGAACCAUUAUGGGAUGGCUGCACAAACCACAGUAAAUUAUCGGUUGUGGCACAGGUGUUCACCAUCAAGUCAGAUCACGGGUUGAGUGAGGCCGGGUAUGACAAAAUUAUUGAUUGGGCAAGAAGCAUUUUACCAGAAGGGAACAGGCUCAAAGAGAACUUCUAUGCUGCGAAGUCCAGUGAGAUCGGAAGAGCUUCGUGUAGGAAAGAGUGUAGAUCUCGGUGGUCGCCCGUAUCAUUCUGAAGACUGCCAAGGCACACAGGGGAUACCGAGUGCAUGACAUGCGGGCAUUCCCGUUACAAACCCAGAACUGGCAGGGGGAAGACUCUAGUGGCAUAUAAAAAACUUAGAUAUUUCCCGAUCACACCUAGACUGCAGAGGUUAUUUAUGUCACCAAGGACUGCUGAGCACAUGACAUGGCACCAAACACACGAUGCGUUGAUGGUGUGAUGGUGCAUCCUUCUGACGGCGAAGCGUGGAAACGCUUUAACAGUGUUCAUCCUGACUUUUCUGCUGAAUCAAGGAAUGUUCGACUUGGGUUGUGUACAGACGGGUUCAACCCAUUUGGGUCAUUUGCUGCUCCCUAUUCUUGUUGGCCGGUCAUUCUCACAGUUUAUAACUUGCCACCGGGAAUGUGUAUGAGGCCGGAGUUCAUGUUUCUAUCUACUGUCAUACCCGGUCCAAGCAGCCCGGGGCGGAAUAUAGAUGUUUGUCUUCGACCGUUGAUAGAUGAGCUGGCGCAGUUGUGGUCCUCCGGAUCUCUGACUUAUGAUAUAUCGAGGAAACAAAAUUUCCUUAUGAGGGCGGCUUUGAUGUGGACUAUCAGUGAUUUUCCAGCUUAUGGAAUGCUUUCUGGUUGGAGCACGCAUGGGAAACUCGCAUGUCCAUACUGCAUGGAAAACAACAAGGCAUUCACGCUAGCAAACGGAGGUAAAGCUUCUUUUUUUGACUGUCACCGUCGCUUCUUGCCACUUAAUCACAGGUUCAGAAAGAACAGAAAAGAUUUCUUUGUUGGUAGAGUUGAAAAAGAUGUUGCAUCCCCGCGUCUUUCUGGUGAAGAAUUGCAUCAUGUUGUAUCAGAGUACGGUGACAUUGUGUUUGGCCUUCAAUCAGGUAAGCAAAAGUUUCCUGGUUUUGGUUUGACCCAUAAUUGGGUAAAGCGAAGUAUCUUUUGGGAGCUUCCGUAUUGGAAGACUAAUCUUCUCCGCCAUAACCUUGACGUCAUGCACAUCGAAAAGAACGUGUUUGAGAAUAUUUUCAACACCGUCAUGGAUGUGAAGGGGAAGACAAAGGACAACAUGAAGGCUAGAUUGGAUAUAGCUUUAUACUGUAACCGUAAAAAUAUGGAGUUGGUUUAUGACGAGUCACGGGUUGCAAAACCAAGGGCAAGCUUCGUGUUAGAGAAAAACGCACAACUGCUAGUCUACAAAUGGCUUAAGAGUCUGCGUUUCCCGGAUGGACAUGCAUCGAACAUAUCAAGGCUUGUUAACAUAGAGGACUGCAGAUUGUAUGGAAUGAAGAGCCAUGACUGCCACGUGUUUAUGCAAACACUCAUCCCAUUAGCUUUUCGUGAUUUGUUGCCAAAGGGAAUAUGGGAUGCACUAACGGAGAUCAGUCAUUUCUUCAGAGAUAUAUGCUCCAGCAAGAUGAAUGUUGAGCACAUUGAGAUGCUUCAAACGAAUAUCAUCGAGACACUAUGCAAACUUGAGAUGAUAUUCCCUCCUUCAUUUUUUGACUCAAUGGAGCAUCUCCCUAUACAUCUACCGUUCGAGGCAAAAGCUGGAGGACCGGUCCAGUAUAGAUGGAUGUACCCAUUCGAACGGUGAGAUAUUACAGUUGCAAUGGAAUUCAUAUCUUAAAGUAUUUUCUAUGUUUUUCUUAUUUGAAAAUACUUGAAUUGUACUUCAAUGCAGGUACUUGUUUAAUCUAAAAAAAAAGGUUAAGAACAAGGCGCAUGUUGAGGCUUCGAUAUCUGAGGCCUAUAUUGUUGAAGAGAUAUCAACAUUUAUCUCGUACUAUUUCGAACCUCAUCUGAGAACAAGAAUCAAUCGCGUUCCACGGCAUGACGAUGGCGGUGAAGUGCCUUCCAGUGGGAACUUGUCAAUAUUCUCCAAUACUGGACGACCCACACCUAAAAAUGCCGUAAGAGGAAGAUAUUUGUCGGAAAUAGAAUUCAAACAAGCACACAACUAUGUUCUAUUUAACUGUGAUGAGCUGAGACCAUUUAUUCAGUAAGUCUAUAUAUGUGUAAUAAUUAAACUUUGUCAGUAAUAUACUGUUAAUUAUAUAUUGUAAUAUCAUACACUCAUUAUCACUUGCAGGCAACAUCGACAAUAUUUGCUCUCCAAUAACUCGCAGCUGACCGAAUCCCAGAUCUUUCAAUUACAAGAUGAACAAUUUGCCACAUGGUUCAGAACACAUGUAAGCACUAUCACAAACUCAUUCUAACGUAUGCAUGUCAUUACGAGAUUCUCGUUCAUUUACCGUGUAUUGAUGUACAUUUAAUUACAUAUAUUUACAAGGUUUAUCAAAUGGGAAGGAGUGCGCCCAAGUCAUUGUCUUCACUAAGCCUCGGCCCUGAAAGAAAAGUUAAGUGCUACAACGGGUAUUUUGUCAAUGGAUAUGUUUUCCAUACUGAAGAAUACGGGCAAGGAAGAAAGACAUACAACUGCGGUGUUUGUGUUAAGGGAUCCACAAGUAGCCAGUUAGAAGUUGACUACUAUGGUAGAUUAGAAGAGGUCGUCGAACUGCAAUAUCAUAGCGAGCAGAAUAAAGUGUUUUUAUUCAAAUGCUAUUGGUAUGACACGACGGACAGAGGAAUCAGAGUUGAUCCGCACCAUGGUCUGGUCGAAAUCAACUCAAAAGCUAGACUCCGCAACAUAAACGAUGUCUUUGUUUUCGCAAAGCAAUGUCAACAAGUUUAUUACACAUACACCCCUUCAUUUAGAAAGGAUCGAUCAAGAGUUGAUUGGUUGUCCGUUUUAAAAACGAAACCACGGGGUCGUGUCGAGGUUGUUCAGGAUGAGAACGAAGACACAAGUGUGCGAGAUGAAGUCUUUCAAGUUCGUGAGUUGGUUGAACCAUAUCGAGUUGCUCCUUCGAUUGAAUUGGAAGAAAAUUCAAAUUUUCGAGUUCUCGAUGAUAGUCUUGUUGAUAUUGACGGAGAGGAGUUGAAUGUUGUUCUCAGCUCUAGCGGACAAGCAAAUGUCGAUGAAGAAGAUGAUAUCAAAUGUCGACAAGCAAAGUGUGCACCUCGAGCUGCCAAAUUUGGCAGCUACAGGCUGUGAACUGCCCGAGGUGGCCACUUUGAGCCACUCAACGGAGCCGUUUCUAAAUUUUCCGACCCGACCGGACCAUUCUCCGGGAUAAAGGGUUUCAUAUGGACAUGUUGGUGCAGUUUUGUCGGAUUUGGAGGCCACACGAGCCGGAAAAUGCGCCUGGAAAGCAGCCACUAAGGCAGUUUUUUUAGGAAGAAAGUGAACAAUAACAAGCGCUGUUGUUUUUAAAUUAGUCCUCCAGUUUUCAAUUUCUUCAAUUUUGACCCCGGAUCAAUCCAAUACAGCCCCCUCUAUCUUCGCGCCUUUUCCAAAUUGGUCCCUGGUUUUCGGAUUUUCACAAUUAAGCCCCUAAUUGAUCAAUAAACUUCCAAUUUCUUCAAUUAAGCCCCUGAAUCAAUUCCAAACAGCCCCCUCUAUCUUUGCGCCUUCUCCAAAUUGGUCCCUGGUUUCGAUUUUCACAAUUAAGUCCCUAAUUGGCCAUUAAACUUCAAUAUUUAUGCAAUUAAGCCCCUGAUUUGACCUAAUAAAUUCCUAAAAAAUAUAUUUUGGCCCCAGAACUUAAAUUUCUUCUAAUUAAAGCCCAAAUUGACUUAAAAAUCAAUUUUUCUUGCAAUCAAAUCUUCUAUAAAUUCAAAUAAAAAUCCAAUUAAGUCCAUAAACAUCCAAAUUUGGGCUUUUCUCCUCAAAAUUCAAAUGUUCUUAUCCACCAGGGCUCUUAUCAUUCAAGAAUAUAUUGUCAAAAAUCCAUCUUUGUAUUUUAACCUCCUUGACCGAUUUUUCUGACCAUUUUCUGAGUGCUUUUACCUUCCGUUAUUUUUCUAACCUCCUUUGGCUAUUUAUUUAUUUUAUUUUUAUUUUUUGUGGGGACCCGAAAAUGGUUACAACAGAUGCCCCCUCUUUAUAAAGCUUACGGAGCAGGUUUUUGCGCAGUAAGAUUUAUAAAGAUAAACCAAAACUGAACUCCCAAACUGAUCUGGUCGAAGCUUGAUCGAUCUGAAACUCUUUCUUUACAGCAAUCCUCUUAGGCCCAAAAAACUAUGAUCAAAAUUUAGUUAUCUCGAGAUCUCUUCUGGCGAUCUCCUUUAACCAAAAACUUGGAAUCCCAUCUGGCGAUUCCUUUUAACAAAGGCUGAAAUAUGAGGUCCCUUCAGGCGACCUCCUUUGACCAAUAUCAAAAUGCGAAAUCCUUAUGGCGAUCUCAAAACUUGGAAUCUCAUUUGGCGAUUCCACAACCAAAACAAAAAUGCAUGUGUGGUCUCAUUAUGAUGGGUGACCUGCCCGAGUGGAAAAGGGAAAGAAUGGUCUCAUUCUUUGGGUGACCUACCCAGGGGGAGGUAUGACCUCAUUCUUAUGGUGACCUACCCAGGUAACAAAAAGAUGGAGAAUGGUCUCCUUCUUAUGGGUGACCUACCCAAAUGGAAAAAGGAAGAGUGGUCUCAUUCUUUGGGUGACCUACCCAAGGGGAAGAAUGGCCUCAUUAUUAUGGGUGACCUACCCAGGUAAAAAAAAAAGAUGGAGAAUGGUCUCAUUCUUAUGGGUGACCUACCCAAAUGGAAAAAGGAAAAGUGGUCUCAUUCUUUGGGUGACCUACCCAGGGGAAGAAUGGCCUCAUUAUUAUGGGUGACCUACCCAUGUAAAAAAAAAAGAUGGAGAAUGGUCUCAUUCUUAUGGUGACCUACCAGAAAAAUAAUGGUCUCAUUGUAUGGGUGACCUACCCAAGUGGAAAAAGGAAGAGUGGUCUCAUUCUUUGGGUGACCUACCCAAGGGAGGAAUGACCUCAUUCUUAUGGGUGACCUACCCAGGUAAAAAAAAGAUGGAGAAUGGUCUCAUUCUUAUGGGUGACCUACCUAGAAAAAAUAAUGGUCUCAUUGUGAUGGGUGACCUCCCUAAGUGGAAAAAGGAGAAGAGUGGUCUCAUUCUUUGGGUGGCCUACCCAGGGGGAGGAAUGGCCUCAUUCUUAUGGGUGACCUACCCAGGUAAAAAAAAAAGAUGGAGAAUGGUCUCAUUCUAAUGGGUGACCUACCCAGAAAGAAAUGAUGGUCUCAUUGUGAUGGGUGACCUACCCAAGUGGAAAGAAUAUGAAAAAGUGGUCUCGUUGUGAUGGGUGACCUACCCAAAAUAGAAAAAAUAUGGAGUGCGGUCUCAUUGUAAUGGGUGACCUACCCAAAUGGAAGAAUGGCCUCAUUGUAAUGGGUGACCUACCCAAGUAAAAAAAACAUGGAGAAGUGGUCGCGUUGUAAUGGGUGACCUACCCAAAUAAAAACAUGGAGAAUUGGUCGCGUUAUAAUGGGUGACCUACCCAGAAAAAUAUUGGUGAGGGCUCAAAGGCGCCCUUGAAAUGAGGUAGGGUUAGAAAAUGCACUACCCGAGAGGUGAGGGCUCAAACAGCGCACUCGAAAUGAGGUAGGGUUAAAAAAAAGCACUACCCGAGAAGUGAGGGCUCAACGGCGCACUCGAAAAGAGGUAGGGUUAGAAAACGCACUACCCAAGAACUGAGGGCUCAAAGGCGCACUCGAAAUGCGGUAGGGUUAAACAAAACGCACUACCUGAGAAGUGAGGGCUCAAUAGCGCACUCGAAAAGAGGUAGGGUUAGAAAACGCAUUACCCAAGAAGUGAGGGCUCAAAGGCGCACUCAAAAUGAGGUAGGGUUAGAAAACGCACUACCCGAGAAGUGAGGGCUCAACAGCGCACUCGAAAAGAGGUAGGGUUAGAAAACGCACUACCCAAGAAGUGAGGGCUCAACGGCGCACUCGAAAAGAGGUAGGGUUAGAAAACGCACUACCCAAGAAGUGAGGGCUCAAACGCGCACUCGAAAUGAGGUAGGGUUAAAAAAAAUGCACUACCUGAGAAGUGAGGGCUCAACAGCGCACUCGAAAGAGGUAGGGUUAGAAAACGCAUACCCAAGAAGUGAGGGCUCAAAGGCGCACUCAAAAUGAGGUAGGGUUAGAAAAUGCACUACCCGAGAAGUGAGGGCUCAACGGCGCACUCGAAAAGAGGUAGGGUUAGAAAACGCACUACCCAAGAAGUGAGGGCUCAAAGGCGCACUCAAAAUGAGGUAGGGUUAGAAAACGCACUACCCAAGAAGUGAGGCUCAAAGGCGCACUCUAAAUGAGGUAGGGUUAAAAACGCACUACCCGAGAAGUGAGGGCUCAACAGCGCACUCGAAAAGAGGUAGGGUUAGAAAACGCACUACCCAAGAAGUGAGGGCUCAAAGGCGCACUCAAAAUGAGGUAGGGUUAGAAAACGCACUACCCGAGAAGUGAGGGCUCAACGGCGCACUCGAAAAGAGGUAGGGUUAGAAAACGCACUACCCAAGAAGUGAGGGCUCAAAGGCGCACUCAAAAUGAGGUAGGGUUAGAAAACGCACUACCCAAAAGAUGAUGAAGAAACACCGAUACAACAAAUGUUGAAAGCAAUGCAUUAUGAUCAAUAUGCAUGUAUACUUACCUGAGAAAAAUAGGUCCCCCUUUCAUUGUAAACUUCUUCAAGCUCUUGUUUCCACCUUUUCUCAUGAACCGAAAAUAUACUUCAUAUCCUCUUAGUGAAGAGAUCUCUGGUUCCUUAUGGGGCCCUUUCUUGCUCCUGAGUAUUGUGCUUUAUUAUUAUUUCAAAAGGAAAACUCAAAAGAUUUGGUUUUGUUCAUGAAAACUGAAACUUUCAAUGCAAUUAGCAAUUCUCAUAAAAGAUGCUUUUUUAGAAGUUUUUAAUAUGAUACCCUUUGGGCUUUGGUUCACUAUGGACCCCUAUGUGCACUUUGUGCACCUUUUCCCCCUAGUGUGGCGUGCAAAAAUAUGUCAAGUUCGGAGUCAUCUCCUUAGUCAUGCCAUAAAAGUUCUUUUAAGUAAAAGAUUUCAAAUGCUAGGAGAUCGUAUGUUUUAUGAAAAAAAGGUUCUUUACAAAGAGAAUUCAUGGCCGAACUUUAAUUUUAUUGAUUGGGAAAUUACGAAAUGCAUCAAGCGUAAUAUUUUUUACAGAGUCAGAAUUCACGGGCCUAACUAGAUCUUCUCCAUCCAUUCUAGAUAACAAUAAAGCUUCUCCCAAAAAUGCUUUCUUUACCACUAAAGGGCCCUCAUUGUUUGUCGUCCAUUUACUCUGAUCUUCUCCUGGUAAAAGACAACAUUUUCUUCAAUAUAAGAUCUCCUUCGUGGAAUCCUCAAGGUCGAAUCCUCUUGUUGUAUGAUUUGGCCAUCCUUCUUUGAUAAAGUUGAUGAUGACAGAUUGUGGCUAUCCUCUUUUCACUUAUCAGAUUCAACUGUUCACAUUUAACCUUCUCCCAUUCUAACUCUUCUAGCUCAAAGUCUAUCAAUACUCUUAAUGAGGGGAUUUCCACUUUUAAAAGCAUCACCGCCUCCAUUCCAUAUACCAACAUUUACGAGGUGGCUCCUAUUAAGGUUCGAACUGCAGUGCGAUAUGCAUGAAGGGCAAAUGACAACAUCUCAUGCCAAUCCUUAUAGGUGACUACCAUCUUCUGAAUAAUCUUUUUGACAUUCUUAUUAGCAGCUUCUACCGCACCAUUCAUCUUUGGUCUAUAUGGCGAAGAAUUGGAAUGCUUGAUUUUCCAUUUAGUGCAGAGCUCCAUUAUCAUCUUGCCGUUGAAAUUCUAGGCAUUAUUAAUUUUUCUAGUGGACCAUAUCGAUAGAUCAAAUAUCUUUCCAUAAAUUUCUUCACCACUUUUUUUCACGUCAUCGAAACAUCUCAACAAAGUUUCGUCAGAUGAUUUCUUAUACAAAGUUUACCCAUCAAGAUAGAAAUCCAUUGCCAACCUCCUCAACGUCUUCUUGUUGAUUUUUGGAUGCCCCCAUGGGAUAUGUCUAGUUUUGGAUGAAAUUCUUGAUAUCAUAGUGCCAAGGGUUUCCAUCUAUUUCUCUUUCAAACUGAGCAAUAAUGAGCUAAGUUAUUUCUUAUAUCAAUGUGUAUUGGUUGUAACUUGUGCCCAAAGUCUAUUCUAGCCAUAGAAGCUGGCGUGACCAAAACAUCAAAAUGGUUUCCUUCCCUUCCUAGAUGGGUGAACUUUAUUUCCUCAAAUUCUCUAGCCCAUUUAGACAAGUAUUCUUUGGCAAGGUCUCAACUUCUCGUCCUUGGUUUGCCCUUUUCCUUUCACUUGACAAAUAAUCAAAAUUGAGUCUCCAAUACACAUCUAUCUUUCUGAUGUUUAGCUCUAAUGCAACCUCUAAAAUCGAGAAUGCAAGCUUCAAACUCAGUUGUGUUGUUAGUGUACCCAAAUUGCGACUUAACUAAAACCGGAUACUGUUUCUUAUUAGGAAAGAUUAGCACUGCCCCCACUCUAUUACCACAACACCCUCAAAGUACAUAAUCCAACAAUCUGAUUUCCCUUCCUCGAUUGAAAGCAUAUCUUUAUCCGAAAAAUUAAAUUUUAACAGCCCAUAAACUUUCACAACAUGGUCAGCUAGGUGAUCGACGAUGACAUUCAUGGCUUUCCUUGUCAUAUAUACUAUGUUGUACUCAGCUAGUAGAACUUGCCAUUUUUCAAUUCAACUCGAUAGAUAGGGGUGGAUUCAGUAGGUAUUGCUUGAUUUUCGUGAAAGCUUCUUCACAUUCUUAUUCCAAAUUCCAAGAUUCUUCUUCCUUAACAAUUGAAGAUGAGGUCAUAAGUCGUGGUUAAUUGGGAUAUAAAUUGAGCAAUGUAAUUCAACCUUCCCAAGAACCUCCUUACAUCCUUCUUAGUCUUGGGAGUUGGCAUAGGUUGAAUAACCUUUACUUAAUCAGGGUCCACUUCUAUCCCUUUGUCACUCAUCAUAAAUUCCAACAACUUCCUAGAUUUCACCCCGAAUGAACACCUUGCAUGGUUAAACCUCAACUUGUACUUUCUUAGUCUUUCAACUAAUUCCUUCAAUAUUUGGACAUGAUUCUCUCCCUCUCUAGGUCAUGUCAUCCACGUAUACUUUAAUCUCUUUAUGCAUCAUGUCGUGAAAUAGAGUCAACAUAGCCCUUUGGUAGGUGCCCCCAACGUUCUUUAACCCAAACGGCAUGACCUUGUAGCGGGUUUCCAAGCUUGUUCAUGUUGUUCGUUUUUGUGAAUCCCCUAAUGUUAUUUUCCUACCAUUCUUCCUCUUCUACAACUAAUAUGGAUUCUUUAAAGUCCGGCCAUUCAUUCUCAGUGUAAAGCGCAGGUGUAGUUAUGGAAGAUUCGUUUUGAAAAGAAAAAUGAUGUGUAAAAACACCAAGAUGAACUUUUGAAAAGGCAUUUGGAACCUCGAUUUAAAAAGUUGAAAAAGGAAAACAACACAAUAUCACGAUCAAACAAGCAUUGUUGAUUAAAUUUUGAACACCAAUGGAGCUUCUUGGGUCUCCCAAUUCUAGAACAUCUCUCCCUUGGCUAGCUUUUGAAUAAAGGUCUUGAGAUUCAAGAUGCUUUGAGCUUAGGCUUGUUUGGAUGCAAAAAGAUAUUAUGGAGCAUACAUCCUAAGGAUAGGCUCUAGUUCCUUUAUGUGAGACAUUGGGUAGGUUUACUACUAGGUCUCUAAAAGAGGGUCUCUUGCUGUUCCAGUGGGAUGGUACGUGUACCAAUCACAAUCAGUCUAAACACUCAGCAAAGAGUUGGGGUUUACACAAACUUAAACCUUGACUCAAGUCAUAAGGCAAGCUGCUAGUCCCCCACUUAAUCUUAAAGUUACAUGUGUGUGCCCUCCAAAACAUAAUAACAAUAAUAAUAAAGUGAUGCAUGACUAUGCCAUGUAUGAUAGAAUGUAAAGAUGUAUGCUAAAGCUUUUAAACAAAGCAAACCAUUCAUAGUAAAAAAAGAAAAACAACAACACAUAGCAUAAUAAAAAAACAAUUACCAAGCUUAGUCCAAGGGUCCCCAGUGGAGUCACCAUUCUGUCGCACGUCAAAAAAUCCGCGCAGGCGUUCGAUGGCGAUUUUUCUUUUGUUUUUGCUUGAUUUGGUUCUUUGGAGUCGCCACCUAGUAUUUUGGUCACUAGGAACCCUAACUGGUCUUUCAGAGAUUCUAAGGCAAGGGACUGGUUGCGUAAAGGGAAGGUAUUAGCACCCCUAGUACGCCCUACCUAAGGUAAGCUGCUUGGUGUUUGGUUUGCUCUAUAAUUGCUAUGGUGUUGGUGUUUUCUAGUCCCGUCAAUUUUCCUAGGUUUGAUUCAAAUAAAAUUUAUUUGGAUAGAAAUCCAAGGAGAUUCCAUGUGCUUUGAAAGCUCAUUUUUCCCUUAGUAUUUCAAGAGUUUGCGACUCGUAAAAUCGCAAGAAGGAGGGACAAAAAAUUUAGAAAUCUAAGGACAUUCAAAGAGCUUUUAAGAGCCUCCUUUUGCCUUAGUAUUUCAUACUUUCACGGCUCGUAAACCGUGGAGUAAAAAAUUUGAAGUUUUGAAAUGUCCUCGAUUAUAAUCAAGGCUUCUUUCAAGGAUGUGUGCGGAUUUAUUACUCCCAAUAAUAUUUUGGAUAUUCAUCCUUUAAGGAUUUCUUUAUCCAACAUUAGCGGUGAAUAAUAGAUGAAUUCCCCUCCCAAAAUAAGAUUUUUAUAGUUUUUGGAAUAUUGGCCAAUACCCUUUGAAGUUUUACAAACAUGUUGUAAAAUCCAGAAAUGCAAGAAAAAUAAUUUGUGUUUAAGAAAUCUAUGCGAAAACACAUUUUCAAAACUUCCAAUAUUUUUUUUUAUAUAAAAAGAACAUUCAAAACAUGUUAGAGUAUUGGCCGUAUGCAUGAAAACAAAACAUUUUUUUCAAUAAAUAUUUUUUUUUGUUGACGAAAACCGGGUAUUUUAAUACCGGAUUUGUAUCUUUACAAUAUAAAAAUACAAACUGAUAUUGACCAAAAUACAGUAAUAAAAUUACAGAAAAAUCACAAAUUCUUUGAAAUAAUUUUCGAAGAAUUUUUAUUUUUUAUAUUUUUUUUAGGGCUGGACCUAGCGGGGCCCACGUGGCUGGGCUAAACCCAGCAGGCCUCAUGUGAACAGUGAAAUAUGCCCCACUAUUCACGUGAAUUAUAUUUGUUAUGAACAGUGAAUUAGCAUUUCACUGUUUGCGCGAAUUAUAUUUCACUUGAACAGUGAAAUGCAAGGAAAUGCAUGCACAGCGACGAAGGGGGUGCAAACCUGGUGGCAGAAACGAUGUUGAAGACGAUGGCGAACACUCCCAGUGAUGCUGGUGGCGGUGGAGAGGCAGUCGACGAGGUCUGCCGGUGGUGCUGACGGUGGAGUUGGAGGAAGACGGCGUCGGUUUCCUGUUGCAGAGGAAGAAAGAAGAAGAAGAAGAAAAAUCUGCAGAAAUUGGGCUAAAAUGCUGGUUUUUGGCUGACUUUGGACCUGAAUUUUUCCUCUCUCAGAUCAUCAAAUCCGACUCUAUUUAUAGGCUGUGAAAGAGGGCAAUCUUGUCUACAUUGGGGAAACAUUUCAGCCCUUGAUUCAGUUGGGAAGCAUCUCAACCAUUGGCUCAAAGUGUGCACCUCGAGCUGCCAAAUUUAGCAGCUCCAGGUUGUGAACUGCCCGAGGUGGCCACUUUGAGCCACUAAACGGAGCCGUUUCUAAAUUUUUCGACCCGACCGGACCAUUCUCCGGGAUAAAGGGGUUUCAUGUGGACAUGUUAGUGCAAUUUUUGUCGGAUUUGGAGGCCACACGAGCCGGAAAAUACGCCUGGAAAGCAGCCACUCAGGCAGCUUUUUUAGGAAGAAAGUGAACAGUAACAGGCGCUGUUGUUUUUAAAUUAGUCCUCCAGUUUUCAAUUUCUUCAAUUUGACCCCGGAUCAAUCCAAUACAGCCCCCUCUAUCUUCGCGCCUUUUCCACAUUGGUCCCUGGUUUCGGAUUUUCACAAUUAAGCCCCUAAUUGAUCAAUAAACUUCCAAUUUCUUCAAUUAAGCCUCUGAAUCAAUUCCAAACAGCCCCCUCUAUCUUUGCGCCUUCUCCAAAUUGGUCCCUGGUUUCGGAUUUUCACAAUUAAGUCCCUAAUUGGCCAUUAAACUUCAAUAUUUAUGCAAUUAAGCCCCUGAUUUGACCUAAUAAAUUCCUAAAAAAUAUAUUUUGGCCCCAGAACUUAAAUUUCUUCUAAUUAAAGCCCAAAUUGACUUAAAAAUCAAUUUUUCUUGCAAUCAAAUCUUCUAUAAAUUCAAAUAAAAAUCCAAUUAAGUCCAUAAACAUCCAAAUUUGGGCUUUUCUCCUCAAAAUUCAAAUGUUCUUAUCCACCAGGGCUCUUAUCAUUCAAGAAUAUAUUGUCAAAAAUUCAUCUUUGUAUUUUUAACCUCCUUGACCGAUUUUUCUGACCAUUUUCUGAGUGCUUCUGCCUUCCGUUAUUUUUCUAACCUCCUUUGGCUAUUUAUUUUAUUUUAUUUUUAUUUUUUUGUGGGGACCCGAAAAUGGGUUACAACAACCAAUAUUCGUUUGCAGGUGUGUUUGGUAGUUCUUAUGCUUCUGCCUUUGAGUGUGUACAUUAGAGCAGAGUGAUUUUACUUAACCAUGAAUUUUUUGUGAGACAAAUUAUAGUGAAUGUUUUUCUAUUUUACCAAUAUACCCAAGGUGUUUAUAACAGAGUGAUGCUACAUGCUGAGGUGGAUAUUAGCAACAGAGGAAAGCAUACAAAAGUAACCAAAAAAAAAAAAUAUUUGAUAGCAAGGACGAAAGCAUAUCCUGGUGGCCUCCCUCGGAACACAACGUUUUUAUUUUGUAGAUUAUUAGUUUUUAUUUUUCAAUCCAAGUACAGUAAUUGAUUGCCAACAAUCACUUUGUACAGUAAACAGACUUUGUACGCAAAUGAUUAUCCCUAUUAAGAAAAUUCAACGACAACAAUAUACUAAAGAGCAAUAUUACAGUAAAGAAAUCAAAUCAAUACAGAUAAAUAAUUGAUCUUAUAAUCAAAGAAUUAGUCCAUUUAAUAGAAAAAAAACAUUACUAAAUCCAUAAACUAUAUAAUUCCCUUUUCUUUUUUCUUUUUUGGUUCUUCUCUGGUGCAUUUCCCACAGGAAAUACUCUUUUCAAAUUAGGCAUUAAUUUGAGUACCCAUCACUGUAUUCAUGGCCAUUCCUUUCCUUGCGUGUCUCCUUCUUCCUUUUUCUUUCUCUGGUGCAAUUCCCACACGUCUUCUUUAUGCCAAAUACCCCUCUUUUCAAAGGAGGCAGCCCCACUUUUCAACCUCUUUUUUCAUCACGUCUCCAUGAUCCCGUUGUGUCAAAAACAAAUUGCCUCAAUUUUAGGCUUUAGGAGUUUCUUUUUCGAAAUCCUCAUCAGAGACUAAUUUGUAGCCCUUCAAGAUACCUUUCCAACGCGUCAAGAAUCACAGCAAUCCGAUAUGUGAGUGGAAAGUUAUGAUUAAAAUACUAAAGUGUGUGUAGGCUGUUUCCAAGAAAAAAGAACAUUACUACUACUUUAAGUAUAUCUUUUGAUGUUUUCCGGUUUUGAAAAUAAACAGUGAACAUUGUAUAUUAAUAUACUUUUCAUCUGAACAAUACAAGAAAAUUAACUGUUUAUUUAAAAAAUAAUGAACAGUACAAUUCACUUGCACUGUUAAUGGGUGUAUUGCAACUUUUUUUUAGUGUGUUAAUUUUUUUAACAUUUUUUUUAAAAGAACACUAGUUUAGAGUGAAUUAAAUUCACUUGCAAUGUGAUAUAUGAAUAAUAUUUUUUUUUUCGAAAAAAUAGUAUAGAGUGAAUUAAAUUCACCCGCAUUGUAAUAUCAAUUUUAUACCUGAUAAUAUUUUAUCUAAUUUUAUUAUAUACUCAAAAAGUUAUGAAAACUAUAGUUCUUGUUGGAAGUAAUUCGUACAUAAUGGAAUUGUAGAUGGUUUCAUGGAAUAAUAAAAAAUAUUUUAUAUAAAAUAUGAUUUAUUUCAUGAUAUAAUAACAAUAGUUAAAUCCACAAUAUUUAAAUUAAAAAUCAUCAAUAUUAAUAUAUAUUUUUUAAAAUUAUUUUAUAACCUUAAUUUCAAAAUCAUUCUUAACCAAACACAUUAAACUAUUUUUUUUUCAACCUCAAUUUCAACUACAGUUUUAACCAAACAUCUAUUUUUUCGAACCAAUCUCAACUAAAAAUACUUUUUAUAAAAUAAUUUUUUUCAAACCACAACUACAAUAUCAAUGGCAAUACCAAACACACUAAAAGGCACAUAAAGUAGCCCAACAAAUCAUACCCAGAGAAGCAAAAGCCAGAAACAAGCUACCUCGAUUCUUGCUCCACCGGGGUAAGAAAUGCAGCAUGCCCACUUGGAAUUAUACAGCGUCCAAAUUCCAUGGCAAAUAAUUGGUUGGAAUUGUUUUCUGAGGGGUCAUUUCAAAAUCUGAAAAAAAAAAACAGAAAAUAGAUCCAGCAAAUGAUUCCAAAUAUCUUCUAAAAAGAACAAUGAAAUAUGUUUUUUUAUUUACCGUAAGGAAAGAUAUUAAUUAAAUUUUUUUAAAAAAAUAUAUAUAACAAGUCAAAAUCUAUACUUAAAAUCUUUCUCGUAUUAAAUUCUUAAUUCAAUCAAAUAAAAUAUUAAUUUAAUAAAACGUAGUUAAGUUUUUGAUACUCUAGUUGAAUAUUUAGUAUAACGGUGACGUACUAAACUAUUAAAUCUUAACAUAAAAAGGAAUUUUUAUUAUAUACCCACGAAUCGAUACAAAAUCUAUAGGUUUUUAUAAAAUGAAUUCCUGAACCUAGUCGAAGAACUGUGGCAAAAACAGUUUAAGGAUUCCAACCUAACACAUGAAUGGGGUGGUUAUAUUUUGUCUUGUACACUGCUGGGCUAGAAAAUGAAUGUUGCCGUUUUUCAGUUUAUUAGAGAGAGGGCAGAAAGCCUUAAGUAGAAAAUAACUUCAUAUUCUGGGGGUAGAAACCCCACGAACGCAAUCAAGCAGUGGCUUCAAACAACAAAAGGGAGCAUCAGUGCAGGAGGAAACUUCAACAUCUAUUAUAAAAGUUGUGUUUGGUAAUGCUGUGUAAAUUAUGGAUUUAUAAAUUUUGAUUUAUUUUAUUAAAAAUUAUUAUUAUUAUGUUUUCAAAUUAUUUUGAUGUGUUAUAUUAAUAAAAAAUUAAUAAAUAUUAAAAAAUAUUAUUUUGAUGUAUUUCUAAAUAAAAAACACUUUGAACUACCAUCGUUAUCACAAUCUCAAACACACAUUUAUGAUUUGCUAUCCAAGAUUUUUCCAUUAAUACAAAAGAUGGUGUUUUUUUGUUGUUGAAAAAUUAUCUACCAAUAACUUUUUAUCUUUUUCCAAGCUUUUUGGUGAUUUUUUUAAUGUUAAAUUCAUGAACUAAAAAGGUAGCAGCGUGAAGCCUCGCCAAAAGCCCAAGAUUAAAAAUAACCAUGCUCCUAGCCCAAGCCCACCAACAUCACCCCCAGCAGAUUGGAAAAAUGCUCAUUACCAUUCCGGAAAAAACACACCUAGGCUACUAUGGUAUACUAGAAAGUGGAAAUAAAUCGAUAUUAAUCAUGAAAUAAAUUGUUAGCAGAAACCAAAAAUAAAUAAAUAAAUUGUUCAUACUACUCCAUCUUAUUGAUGGGAAUGACUUCUGACCUGCAUACAUAUGUAAUGACUCCUGCUAAAAUUAUUUGAUAAUAAAUUAUCAUGAAAAAACUUAAUAAAGUCAGAAAAAACAACCACGAAAUUCUUCUUAAAUUAAAUAAAAUGAAGAAGAAAACUCGAGUAAUAAAUGUUUAAUUCACUUUCAAGCUGAAAAUAAAGAAUGAAAGCAUUUCUAUUCAAUAAUACUUCUUGCUCACAAAUAAUCUGCCAACAAUUAUAUGAGAAUCAAAUCUCUCCGAUCACAUGGUUGUUUAAAAUGCUCAGCACUAAGCACUAGGAAAGCAAAUUUACAGAAUAGUAAUUCUAGUAAACUUCUUGAUUUAGUGCAACUAGAUAAUAUAAGCAAAAUGUAACGGUUGAACUCACUUUUUCUUAAAAAAGGAUCCAGAUUCUCUAUUACCAAUAACUUUUGGAUUCCUAGGUCAACUCUAUUCAACAAGCAUCCCUCAAACGGGUUGGAAAAGAUACCAGAGGCAAGAAGAUUUGUAACACCCUCAAAUUAUUAUGUCAUUAAAUCUCAAACAUUUCUUUACUAAUAUCAAGUAUUGAAUAAUAUGUCUAAGAUUAUGAGAUUUUUUUCUUUUUUUUUUUUAAAAAUUUCGGCAGAAUUUCCUUUGUUUUCUGAUGUUACCAAGUUAUCGACUAGUCUUUAUUCAAUCACAAUACUCAAAUCUUCCACUUUGAUCCAACCAUCCCGAAUCAUAUCCCAUCUCAUCAUACAAUAUUCCACAUAACUAUACUUCAUUGUAUUUUGUCAACCUUAUAUCAUCAACAAAUAAAACAUUAAUUACAAACAAUUAUAAACUCAAAGAUUCAUAUUAAACUAAUUAUUACAUUAAAAUGCAUCCAUCUUUUAAACAUGCAUGAUUAUAAUUACUAAAUAUUCUUUUUGAAUAGUUUAAUAAUAUUAGUUCCUUACUCAUACUUUUUAAUGUAUAAGUACCAAAAGCAAACAUUUUCAUGAUACAAAUAUUACAAUCUACGUAUAAUACAAAUUACAUAUAAAACAAAUAUAUUACAUCCCACAAAAUAAAUAGAUUAAAACACAAAGUCUAUAUAUAUAACGCUCCGCAUCACCUCAUGAAUAACUUGUAUACAUAACAUUAAUAAGAAAUAAGUAAGAUAACAUAUUAAAAAAAAAUAAUAAAGCUAUUAUAUUCACAAGUCUUCAAAAUAUAUCAACACUAAUAACCCUUUCAUAAUUUAUUAAUCCUGUACUUAUAAGACCUAUGUAACCAACACUCAUUGCUUAAUUUUUAAUUUGGUAAUUCAUAAUUUUACCUCAAACCUGGCUAACCCUCUUAAAUGGCCAACAAUCAAACCGGUAAUUCCAUACAAAUUACCCAACAUCCGGCUAUUCUCUAUCAAUAACCAAUAGAACCUGCAAUUCCAUACGAAUUACCCAACAUCCGGCUAUUCUCUAUAAUAGCCAAAAUAGCCAAUAUAAUUGGUAAUUCCAUACGAAUUACCCAACAUCCGACUAUUCUCUAUCAAUAGUCAAUCUAACCGGUAACACCAUACGAAUCGGUAAUUCCAUACUAACAGGUAAUUCUUUACUAACCAGUAAUUCAUGCUAACCAACCGAUAAUUCUAUACUAACUGGUAAUUUUACACUAACAUGUAAUUCUAUACCAACCAACCGGUAAUUCCAUACUAACCAGUAAUUCAUGUCAAUCAACCAGUAAUUCUAUACCAACCGGUAAUUCUAUACUAACCAGUGAUUCUAUACCAACCAACCGGUAAUUCCAUACUAAUCGGUAAUUCAUACUAAUCAACGAGUAAUUCCAUACCAACCACCCGACAUCCCCAUUAUAAUACCAACAGUUUCUUCUACUUCUUCCAUAUCAACAUGUCAUAAACAACUCAUAACUAAUAAUACAACUUUGAAUUUUAAAGAAAGGGAUGAAUCACCUACCAUCUGCUCGUGAUGACUCAGCUCCUCCUGCCUGAUGCCCUGCUCCCGAAACAAAUCCUGAAUAAAUCAAAUUGUACUACAUUAUUAAUCCAUUAUUAUUUCUCUUAUGUGCCUAAAUUUGAAGAACGUAAUAUUUUUUUUUAUUUAAUUGGGGUUUACAUCAAAAUUUUCUUUCAUUUAUCACUUCAUUUUCAACAUAUAGUUUUAAUCAAUUUUCUUCUUUUAAUUCACUUAAAGAAUUCUCCCAUGAAUUAUUCCACCAUUUAUUUAUUCAUUCUUUUUACAUUCUCAUGAUAUUUCUUUGCUUGUUCAUAUUUUGAAUACUUCAAAUAAGAUAAAGUAUUAAAUUCUCCCAUGAACUAUUCCACCAUUCUAGUUUUAGUAUUAAAUUUGUUCGUAGAAGUUUCAUUUAUUUUUAAUCAAUUAAAUUGAAUAAAAUCUUGUCAAGUCAGACAUCAACUCUUUAUUGAAUCGUCUUUUCUUUUUGGAUAAUAAGAGCUUCUUAAAAAGCUUAUUAAAAUAAAUUAUUAAUUAAUGAAAUUAAAAAUAAAAAUGCUUUUUUUAUUUAAAAAAAAAAAGUAAAACAGAGAGACAUCUACCGUGUUUUCUCUAUUGGUACAUGAUAAAAGUCUGAACAGAUUUUUUUAUUAUUAUUUUAAUUUUAAUAAUAGUACUGUUAUUUCUACCGCCAAGAAAUCAAGAAAGCUAGCUAAUUUUAAUACAAUGCUAGAGUUCUUGACUUUGGGAGAAUGAAUUCCGUGAUGGAAUUGGAGGUGCUGCUUUCUUCAUCUGUUGUUCCUAUUAUGCACUGAUCAUGAGAUGUGGAAGAGAAUGUUACAGUCGCUAUCUCUUUUACAUAAUAUUAUUUAUUAGUAAGGUCGCCUCAAUAAUAAUUAAUUAACGUAUUGUUUGAUAUAUUAUAAGAUAUAUAAAGUUAACGUGUGGACCCGCCCCAAUGUUGAAACCUGGAAGAAGCUGCCAAGAAAAUGUAUACACAUGAAAUUUUCUAAAAAAAAAUAGUAUAAUUAAAAAAAUAUUUUUAUUUAAAAAUACAUUAAAAUUAUUUUUUUUAUCAACACAUCAAAAUAAUUGAAAAAUAUUAAAAAUUAUUUUUUAAAAAAUCAAAUUUUUUAAAAAACACAUUAUGACUGUAAAGAUAAACCAGUCAAUAUUCUCAAGGUAGCAAUUACUAAUUGGGAUACAAAGAAAUUAAAAGACAAAUUAAAGGUUUUGAGUCAACGCCAUUACCAAUAUUCGCUUGCAGGAGUGUUUGGUAGUUCUUAAUAUUCUUAUGCUUCUGCCUUUGAGUGUGUCUAUUAGAGCAUAGUGAUUUUACUUAACCAUGAAAUUUUUGUGAGACAAAUUAUAGUGAAUGUUUUUCUAUUUUACCAAUAUACCCAAGGUGUUCAUAACAGAGUGAUGCUACAUGCUGAGGUGGAUAUUAGCAACAGAGGAAAGCAUACAAAAGUAACAAAAAAAAAACAUCAAAUGAAAAAAAAAAAAAAAAAAACAACCUUUAGAAACACGCGUCUUUGGAUUAACCAAUUCUUUUAGUUUAUUUUUUAUGUCUCAUAAAGACAGAAAAAACUUUAAAAUACAAAUUAAAAAAUCUUGAGGAAUUGAUUAACCAAGCCUUUUAGUUUUUUUUUUUUUUAAUGAAGACAGAAAAAACUUAAAAACACAGAUUAAAAAUAAAGAUUUAAUAGAGAAUGAAAUUUAAUUUUAAAUGCAAAUUAAAAUAAAGCAGAGUGCCUAAUGGAGAAAGUACUACUGGAAUUCUACAAAGAGUAGAGCGUCGGGAAUCCUUGCACACAUUUGGUAUUUUAAUUAUUCUUAUUUCGUUUAAUAACUCAAUUGGAAGUUCAAUUCCCAGAAUUUCCGCUUUUGAAAAAUCAUUCAUCACUUUUAAAUAACGCAAAUGAUUAUUAAGAAAAUUCAACGACAACAAUAUACUCGAGCAAUAUUACAGUAAAGAAAUCAAAUCAAUAUAGAUAAAUAAAUGAUCCAAAUAUAAUCAAAGAAUUAGUCCAUUUAAUAGAAAAAACAUUACUGAAUCCAUAAAGUACAUAAUUCCCUUUUCUUUUUUCUUUUUUUCUUCUUCUCUGGUGCAUUUCCCACACGAAAUACUCUUUUCAAAUUAGGCAGCCCCACUUUUCAACCUCCUUUUUCAUCACGUCUCCAUGAUCCCCGUUGUGUCAAAAACAAAUUGCCUUAAUUUUAGGCUUUAGGAGUUCGUUUUAUGAAAUCCUCAUUAGAGGCUAAUUUGUAGCCCUUCAAGAUACCUAUCCAACGCGUCAAGAAUCAAAGUAAUCCGAUAUGUGAGUGGAAAGUUGUGAUUAAAAUACUUAAAGUGUACCAGGCUGUUUCCAAGAAAAAAAACAUUACUAUAUUAAGAGCGUCCAGGCUGGUUCAAAGUGAAUUUCACGACUCCUCGGCCUUGACUUGUCUGUGAGAGCUUCUACUCUUUGAAAUGUUUUUUCUUAAACUGUGAGAGCAAGUUUGUCAAAAAUAUUUUUUUAACACGAUACAAAAUAUAUAAUAUAAACUUGGAUAGUAAAUUUGAAUUAUAAAAUAAAAAGAAAAAUAUUUUAACUAAUUAUAUAUUGACAAUUUCAGUCAAGUAGUAAACAAUAAUAUAACACAAUUAAAAUAAAAGUGAAAUAAACAAUAUAAAUGUCCAAACACCUUAAAAUACAUAAUUCAAAUAAAAAUUCAUACAUAGUUUAACUAACUUAAAAGUACGAAAAGAAAAAAAAAAUUAGAUUGAACAACUAUGUUUUAUUGAUCGAGUUUCAGAACAUUUUCUAGAGGACAAGUCUUGAAACACACUGUAGGCAACUAGUGAGAUGAUACAAGGUAUAUUACCAACUUUUAAAAAAUUUAACAGAGACAAAUACAGUGAACCCGUGACAACGAGAACAAAAACUUAUAAAAUAACAUCAAUUUAAUCUCAUGCCACCUCACCUUGCACCUUUUUUUUAUGUUAGUAGCAAGUCCGAGAAAUAAUGUUCAAAUAUCCCACAAAGCAAGACAUGUAUUUCAAGUUCUCUCUGAGUCUUUGUCGUCUUUCUUUAUAGUUAAUAAAUGGUUAGUCUAAAACACAUUAUUUCUCCCUAUAUAGGUAUUCAUAUCUCUUAUUUUACUCCUUUGAUUCCUCACCAUCUACCUUUGUCUUCUUAUGGUUUCGAUCCUCCGAUCAUGCUUUCCUGGCCUAAAAUACAGUAUAUGGCUUCCUCAUAUCCAAGAUCCUCUAAUGCUGGUGUUAGUCUGCUAAGAUUGAAAAUUUGAGAUUUGGGCAACGGGAAAAGGGGAGACUGGGAAGUGGGGACUAUGUAGUGGAGUGUCAGGGGACUCGGACAAGGAGGCAGUAAAUUUUUUAACUUUUGCGGGUUAAAACUCGAAAUCGGUCAAACUCGUAAAAUCGGUCCGAUUUUAACCGAGUUUGACCGAGUUUUACCGAUUUUGAAUUUUAACCCGAUUUAACAUGUUAUAUACAUGUUGAGUUGUAAAAUUUUAAGAGUCAAUUUGCGAUUUUAACAAUACUGUACGAGAGCUUCAUAAUAAGCAUGCUAAGCUUAUUGAAAUAAAUUAUUAUAAUGAAAUUAAAAACAAAAAUGCUUAAAAAAAAACAGAGAGACGCCGUGUUUUCUCUAUUGCUACAUGGUAAAAGUCUGAGCAUAUUUAUUUAUUUAUUUUUAUUUUUAUUUUAAUAAUAUUACUGUUCUCUUUACCGCCUAGAAAUCAAGAACGCUAGUUUCAUUUAAGAGAUUCUAAAGUUCAUAUUUAGAUAAAUUAGCAGACAGGACGAAAACACAACAAAUCAUACCCAGAGAAGCAAAAGCCAGAAACAAGCUACCUCAAUUCCUGCUCCACCUGGCUAAGAAAUGCAGCAUGCCCACUUGGAAUAUACAUCAUCCAAAUUCCAUGGCAAAUAAUUGGUUGGAAUUGUUUCCUGAGGAGUCAUUUCAAAAUUUGAAAAUAAAAACAGAAAAUAGAUCCAGCAAAUGAUUCCAAAUAUCUUCUAAAAAGAACAAUGAAAUAUGUUUUUUUAUUUACUGUAAGGAAAGAUAUUAAUGGAAAAAAUAAAAAAAAUCAAUUUAAAAAAUAUAUAAUAAAUCAAAAUCUAGAUUUAAAAUCUAACUCGUAUCAGGUUCCUAGUUGAAUUGAAUAAUUGAGAGCGUAACGUGUCAAGACUGACACGAGUUCAGAAUAGACUCCACAACAGUAAAAAAAAGAGAAAAAAAACGAUCCAUAUAGUGGCCCGUAGUAGUAUUCCGGAGGAGAGGGUCAAAGAUGGCGGCUGGUUCAAAGGACGAGCUUAAUGUCAUGAAUCAUUUUUUAACCUUUAUAGUAGGACUUGACACGUGUCCUCUAAACCCUCCUGUCCCUCUUCCGAUCCUUGCUAAACCCUUGUUCUGGUCGUAAUCAUCCAUUAGCGUAAACCUACGCUUCUCUUGACCUUGAUCCCAAUAAACCAACCCCAUAGAGUUGGUGGUAAUGUAAUUUAUAUUACUUUUAAAAUUAUUUUUAUUUAAAAAAUAUCAAAUUAAUUUUAAUGUGUUGGUAUUAACAAAAAAUUAAAAAACAUUAUAUUAAUAUAUUUUUAUUUGAAAAAUAUUUUUUAAAAAACCAUAUGUAAAAUUACUAAAAAACCCUUAUAAACUAGUUCGUCUCCCAGUCCUUAAAUUAGUUUCCUCAUUGUUUUUCACAAUUUUUUAAGAAAAAAAAAUAAAAAAGGAAAAUAAAAAUAUGAUCAUAAGCUAUAUAUCUAACACUCAUUUUAAAGAAAUUGAUAACCAUGCAAGCUGUCAUUUUAAAGAAAUCAAUAAUAUAUCAUUCUUUCAAUCAUUUUUGUCAAAAAUCAUGUGCAAAACAUAAUUAAUUAUUUUUGAUAUGAAGGAUGGAAAUAGUCCUUUAAAACAAGGAUAUUCUUAUUAAUUAUAAUUUGAAAUUUGAUUAAAAUUAUAUUUUCAUCCUAUUGAGGUUCUCCAAGAUGAAAAUCCAAAAAAAAAAAAAAUACUAUAUUAAUUUAUCAUUAAAGUAACAUAAUAAAUUAUUUUUUUAAUUUUUAAUUUGAUUAUUUUUUUUAUGUUUUCAAAUUAUUUUGACAUGUUGAUAUUAAAAAUAUAUUUUUAAAAAUAAUAAUAAAAUAUUAUUUUAGUGCAUUACCAAACACAAAAGAUUUUAAAAAAUAAUUAAUAUUACAUUCUCAAACACCCCUAAAUGCUCUAUUAUUGACGGAUUGUUUUGGCUAAAUUUCAUCCAGAAUAUUCCGAUUUCAUUCCAUAUGUUUUGUUCCGGUCUUGAAAAGUUAUUGAAUCCAAUUGAACCUGGUUCAAUUAAUUAAUUAAACUACCCAAGUAUAAAAAGCUAUUUUUCAUUACUAUUUUCAAUAACAAUGAUAUUAAUAAUAAUAUUGAAAAUUAUUAUUAUUAUUUUCAUUAACAAUGAUAUUAAUUUUUUAAAAUUAGAUUUAUCACUAAUAUAUAUAGUUUAUAUUUAUGUUUUGUUUUUCAAGUUUACACUUUAUAAGAAUUUGAGCAAAAUAAUGGAUGUUUUAGAUCUCAUUAGCCUUGAUAACAUUAACCUAGCUUUAUAUUUAAAAUAUUUGUGUUAAAACAUUUUAAUUUUAUAAUAUUUUGAUAUUUUAUUUAAGUUGAAUUGUUUUAAGUAAAAAUCUAUUUAAUCUUUACUAUUUUUAAAUAUUUUAAAUUGUACAAUUAUAUUUCAUCACGUCUCCAUUGUGUCAAAAACAAAUUGCGUAAAUUUUAGGCUUUAGCAGUUCCUUUUUUGAAAUCCUCAUUAGUGAAAUUUCACUAUUGAGCUUACCAAAAAAAAGAAAUUUCACGAUUGCUGGGCCUUGACUUGUCUGUUUAAUUUCUAUUAUUCUUAUUCACAUUUUAGCAUUUUAUUCCAAUGAAAGAAUGCACUUUCAUAGACUCAUCAAAACCCCAGGAACGCUAUCAAGCUUUAGCUUCAAACAACCUGAGGGAGAUUUAGUGCAGUGGAGAACUUCAACAUCUACUAUGAAGCUUGAUUUGCUAUCCAAUCUUCACGUCAGUUUUCCAUUGAUACAAAGAUACUGUAUGUGUUUUUGUUGCCGGAAAGUUGUUCGAUCAAUAACUUUUUAUCUUUUUCCAAGUUUUUGUUGUGUGAUUUUUUUUUCUUUUCAUCUCAAACUCAUGAACUAAAAGGUAAACAAAGUAAAAUUUUAGAUCAAAAUAAAAAAUAAAAAAUAUAAGAUGCAAAAAAUUAUAAGGUAAACGAUAAACUAAAUUUUAGAAUAUGUCUCUUAACUAUUCGUAAGCUUCCUAUUCCUUUUUAGUUUUUCUUGAAGUUGUUCUAUUUGAUGUCAUGAGUGUUCCAUUGAGAAAUAAAAAAGAAGACUAAUUGCCAUCCUCUUCACCUUCUUACAAUGCAUUACAGUAAUAUCUCUAAGAGAAUUGUAAAUCAAUUUUUGCACUGCAAAUACUUUUCAGUUCCGGUAAAUCAAACAAUUUCAGAAUUUUCCAAGAUAAACAGAUUUUUAAAUACACUCAAACAUAAUUUUAAAUAUAAAAACAAAUUAUGUUUUUUGAUUGCGGCAUAACAAUGUUGGCAGUACCGUUGUUGUUUGGACUUUGAGCAGCAGUAGAUAUCUCCAGCGUACUGUUACCUGCCGGCUAGAAAAGGUAUGUUGCCGUUUUUUAGUUUACUAGAGAGAGGGCAGAAAGCCUUAAGAAAAUAAUUUCACAUUCUGUGUGGUAGAAACCUGAUUCCACCCAAAAAUAAAAUAACACGGUAAUUGAAGCAAAUUAAAAGAAUAAAAGAAAAUAUAAAAUGAUUUAAUACAGAACAAAAAUUAGUUUUCAAUGCAGAUUAAAAUAAAGCAAAGUGACUAAUGAAAAAAGUACAUAAAUCCUACAAACAGCAGAUAGAUAGUCGGAAUCCCUUGCGCACACAUUUGAUAUAUAGAUAAUUAAAUCAACAUUAAACCAAAUUAAUAUAACCCUUUUGAAAAAUCAUUCACUACUUUUAAAUAAUUAAUUAUCCCUAUUAAGAAAAUCCAAUGACGACAAUGUAUUUAAGGAGCAAUAUUAAAGCAAAGACAUUAAAUCAAUACAGGUAAAUAAAUGAUCCAAAGAUUAAUCCAUUCAAUAGAAAAAAACAUGACUGAAUCCAUAAACUGCAUAAAUUCGGAGAAGAAUACUUCUCAACAACAAAUUGAGAAUGAUAAAACAAAAGAGUUAGAAUAAUUAGAAAUCUGAACAAUUUAGUUACCCAUCACUGUAUUAGUCAUUCCUUUCCUCAUCUGUGCUCUCUUUUUUCCCCUCUCUCUAGUGCAAUUCCCUCACGUCUUCUUUAUGCCAAAUAGCCCUCUUUACAGAGGAGGCAGCACCCUUUUUCAUCAGAGGCUAAACUUGUAGCCCUUUACGAUACCUUUCCAACGCAUCAAGAAUCACAGCAAUCCGAUAUGUGUGUGGAAGGUUAUGAUUAAAAUACUUUAAGUUUAUUAAAAAGUCAAGAAAAUAAAGUUUUAGAUUAAAAUAAAAUAAACUAAAAACUUUAAGGAAAAAAAAAAGGCCUAUGAAGCUUGAUAGUAUAUCCAUUAGCAAGUCAACUGUCAAUCUUUAUUUUCUAUAUUUAACAUCCUUGGUUUACUGCUUAAUUGAUUUGUAUUGAUUUAUAUUCUAUUUUAGUUUCUUUGAUUUAAGAUAGUUUCCUUGAUUUAAGAGCUAAUUGAAGCUCCUUUUUGUAUAUAAGAAUAUCAUUCAUUAGUAAUGAAAUACAGAGUUGAGUAUCUCUCAUUUUAUAAUUUCUCAUAGUAUCAGAGCAGUUAAAAUCCUAAAUUGUAGCCCUUUACGAUACCUUUCCAACGCAUCAAGAAUCACAGCAAUUCGAUAUUUGUGUGGAAAGUUAUGAUUAAAAUAUUUUAAGUGUAUGCUGUUUUUAAGAAAAAGAACAUUACUUUAAGUUUGUCGCACCCCUAAAAAAAUAAUAAUAAAAAAAAAGUUUUGUUUAUUUUAAAAUUUGUUUUGCGACAUUCGACUGGCAACUUUCGUUUUGUUCUGUUUUGUUGAUUUUGUUCUUUGGGAGUCGCCACCUAGUAUUUUGGUCACUAGGAACCCUAACUGGUCUUUUAGAGAUUCUAAGGCAAGGGACUGGUUGCGUAAAGGGAAGGUAUUAGCACCCCUAGUACGCCCUACCUAAGGUAAGCUGCUUGGUGUUUGGUUUGCUCUAUAACUGCUAUGGUGUAGGUAUUUUCUAGGCUCGUCAAUUGAUUUUGGAUAGAAAUCUAAGGAGAUUCCAUGUGCUUUGAAAGCUCAUUUUUCCCUUAGUAUUUCAAAAGUUUGUGACUCAUAAAUCGUGGAGAAAAACAAAAUUAAAUUAAUUUUGAAAUGUCCUCGAUUAUAAUCAAGGCUUCUUUCAAGAAUUGUGUGCGGAUUUAUUAUUCCCGAUAAUAUUUUGGAUAUUCAUCCUUUUAAGGAUUUCUUUAUCCAAACAUUAGCGGUAAAUAAUAAAUAAAUUCCUUUUUCCAAAAUAAGAUUUUUAUAGUUUUUUUGAAUAUUGGCCAAUACCCUUUGGAAUUUUACAAACACGUUGUAAAAUCCAGAAAUGCAAGAAAAUAAUUUGUGUUUAAGAAAUCUAUACGAAAACACACUUUCGAAGCUUCCAAUGUAUUUGUUUUUAAAAAAAGAAUAUUCAAAACAUGUUAGAGUAUUGGCCGUAUGCAACACGCAAGAAAAAUAUUUUUUUUUUAAAACAAUAUUUUUUUUUUUGACGAAAUCAGGUAUUUUUAAAACUGAAUUUGUAUCUCCACAAAAGAAAAAUACAAACUAAUAUUAAGUCAUAAAAAAAAAAUAUGCGGAAAAAUCCACAAUAUUUUUUAGGAAUUUUAGAAAUUUUUGAAAGCAAAAAAAAAAAUUAUCUUUGGAAAAUUUCGGGUGCUACGACGAAAAUCAGAUAUUUUAAAUACUGAAUUUAUACCUUCACAGUAUAUAAAAAAAAAAAAACCCCCUUAAAAAUAUAUAUACAUGAAAGAAAAAUAACAAUAUUUUUUUUAGAUUUUUUACAAAUAUUUUAUAUAUAUAUAACAUAUACACAUAUAUAUAUAUAAUAUAAUAAUAUAAUAUAAUUAUAUAUUAAUUAUUAAGGGGCUGGGCCGGCCCAACUGACUGGGCCGGGCUCAGCCCACAGUGACUGGGCCGACCUCGGCCCAGGAAAGGUUACUGGGCCGACCUCGGCCCAUAAGGUACUGGGCCGAACUCGGCCCAAAGGUACUGGGCCGAACUCGGCCCAGAAACUAAUUAACCUCGGUCUGGGCCGGACCCGGCCCAGACCGCCGGACUGGGCCAGAUCCCUCUGGCCCGUCCACAUAACUCUGGGCCAGACACAAUCUGGCCCAGAGAAAAAAAAAAAAGAAAACGGGGGGGGGGAAUUAAUUUCCCCCCCGCCUCCUGCAUGCAGAACGAUUCUGCAUGCAGGAGGCAAAACAUAUAUAUAUAUUAACAGAAAAAAUGCAGGGGGAGGAGAGGAAGCGUACCUGGUGCUGGCGGAGCUGCGGUGGUGGUGGCAGUGUCCUCGCUUCACGGACGGCGGCUUCUCUCUCCUCUGUUACAGGGUUUCUCUCUCUUCCUCUCUCUCUUCGUUUUUUUUUUUGUUUCGGGGUUCCUCUCUCUCUCUUUUUUUUUCGUUUUAUUCUUUUCUCUUCCCCUCUAUCUCGCUGGUUCUAUCUCUCUCUUCGGCCUCGUCUCUCUCUUCGGUCUUCCUCUCUCUCCUCUCGGCCUCUCUCUAUUUAUAAGCAAAAAGGAAACGGCGUGCCUUCGUUAGUGCGCCUUCAAUCACGCAACGGCUGGUCGGCCAUUCUUGCUUUCGGUGGUGGUGGUGGGGACGAGGAGAGAGAGGCGGGAAGUUUUGAAAUUUUUCCUUUUUUUCUUUCGUUUCUGUUCUGUUGAAACGGGGGAGGAGGAAGAUGAACAGUGUCGUUCAAAACGACACCGUUCUGAUCUUCCUCUUUUUUUUUUUUUUAUAUAUAUAUAUGAAACGGCGUCGUUUUGGGUAAAACGCGCCGUUUCAUUUAAACGGCUAAACUUCAAAUCGGUCCUCCAAAUUCGGUCCCCGUCCCUCUUGUUGGCCGCCUUUUUCACUUUGGUCCUUGGCCUCUGAUUUAUGCAAUUGAGCCCCUAAUUGAUCAAUAAACUUCCAAUUUCUUCAAUUAAGCCCCUGAAACAAAAAUUAGCAGCCCCUCCAUUUACGCGCCUCUUCCAAUUUGGUCCCUGGUUUCGGAUUUUCUUAAUUAAAGUCCCUAAUUGGCCCUUAAACUUCAAUUUUUAUGCAAUUGAGCCCCUGAUUUGACCCAAUAAAUUCCUAAAAAAUAUAUUUUGGCCCCAGAACUUAAAUUUCUUCAAAUUAAAGCCCAAAUUGACUUAAAAAUCAAUUUUUCUUGGAAUCAAAUCUUCUAUAAAUUCAAAUAAAAAUCCAAUUAAGUCCAUAAAAAUCCAAUUAAGCCCAUAAAAAUCCAAAUUUGGGCUUUUCUCCCUAAAAUUCAAAUUUUUCUUCUCAAUAGGGCUUUCAUCCUUCAAGAAUAUACUGUCAAAAAUUCAAUCCUUGUAUUUUUAAAUUCCUUGACCAAUUUUCUGACUGUUUUCCGGGCGCUUCUGCCUCCGGUUAUUUUUCUAACCUCUUUUGGCUAUUUAUUUUAUUUUUCAGGGGGACCCAAAAAUAAGUUACAACAAAGUUUAUGCAGGCUGCUGUUUAAAAAGUCAAGAAAAUAAAGUUUUGGAUUAAAAUAAAAUAAAAUAAAAACUUUAAGGAAAAAAAAAAGCACGCCUAUGAAGCUUGAUAGUAUAUCAAAUUAAAUAGAAGCUCGAUUAAAAAAUGCCCUUUAAUUUCUAUUAUUUCUAUUCACAUUUUAGCAUUUUAUUCCAAUGACAGAGCAUUUGGAAUGCACUUUCAUAGACUCAUCAAAACCCCAGGAACGCCAGAUCGGGAGCUUCAGUGCAGUAGAAAACUUUAACAUCUACUAUGAAGCCUGAUUUGCUAUCCAAUCCACACAUCAGUUUUCCAUUGAUACAAAGAUACCGUAUUUUUAACCAUCUAAUAGUAAGAGUUUGUGAUCAAGGAGUUUGCUUCCCCUGUGGUCUCAGGUUCGAGUCAUGUGGUUAUUAAUAUUGAUAAUCAUUGAAGACUUACCUGGUCGUUAAUUUCAAGAUCCGUAAAAAUUAAUCGAGGUAUGCACAAACUGACUUAGACACUCAAGUGAAUAAAAAAAAGAUAAUGUAUUUUUGUUACUGGAAAAUUGUCAACCAAUAACUUUUUAUCCUUUUCCAAGUUUUUUAAGUGACUUUUUCUUUCAUCUCAAAAUCAUGGAUCAAAAGUGAAUAAAAUAAAAUUUUAAAUCAAAACUAAAAAUAAAAAAAUAAAAAAUGCAAAAAGUUUAGGGAUCAAGAUUUUAAAAAUCACGCCUAUGCUACUUUCUAGUUUUAAAUAUUCAAAACAAGGCUCCAUUAUCAUAUAUUUACAGAGACAUACCAAUGUAGCUUUUAAUGUUUACUGGUUUGGGUAUGUCCAUAUGCUUUUAAAUAUUUUUUAAAAUUUAUAUUUGUUUUUAAAAAAUAUUAAAUUAAUAAUUUUUUUGUUGUUUUUAAUGAUUUUGAUGUAUUGAUAUUAAAAUAAAUCUAAAAAAUUAUUUUUUAAAAAUACUUUAUAUAACAGUAUCAAACACAUGAUAACCUGGUCCAAAAGCUUUCGACCCAGCAUAAAAUGGUUUUCAACCCAAUCAUACUUUUUCCUCAUUAUAAAUAUAAAAUAAAGUUCAAGUGAAGUAGGUCCAAUCUUAAAUGGUUCAAACAUUAUUGUUAGAAUGUGACAGUGUCCCAACAUUAGUAGUGUAGCACGUGCCAUGUCUCAAGCUUAUGUGAUCCAAAAACAAGGCAAUUGGUGUUUGAUGAAAUUAGCUGUCACUAAAAAUAAAAUAAAAUAAAAUCCUCUGUGAACUAAUAAUUACUCAAUUAAUCCCUAAAUUAGUAUUUUUUUAUUGUUUUUCACAAAAUUUAUAAGAAUAAAAAUAUUUUAUUAGAUAUUUUAGAUACUCUACUAUUAUAAUAUUUUAUUUAAAUUUAGAUUUUUAGUUCAAAAUUGAAUUUUAUUUAAUGUAACAAGUAUUAUGAUGUUUUAUUUUAUCUGAAAAUUUUUGAAAUAUUAUUUGAUUUUAUUAAUUUUAAAAAAAUAAUAUUUUAAAAGAGUACGAAAUGUUGUAUAAAAUUUAUAUGUAUUUAUUUUCUGAUAUACGUGUUCCAAGAAUUAGCAGGGAUACGAUGUUUUUACAACAACGCAAAACACAACAAACAUUGAUGCUAUGCUGAAUCCUUGAAGUGCGUCUAACAAAAUCUCAAUAUCCGGAAUGCCUCUUCUUCCAUGGCAUCUUGCCUAACUCUUGAUUGUCUCAGGUCCUCCAAGGCAUUCCUCCACUCCUCUUAAUUGGCAUCUUGCCAUUUAUUGACAAUACCCCACCACCAAGCAAGUGGUAGCACCAUUAGUGCCACUAAUGGUGGCAUGUUUUAAGGGAGUUUUGGCCCCUCCAUGUUGACCAUGAAAUGCCUAUAAAAGAGGCAUAAUUAUUUGAGAGCAAUGAGAAAACGUGAGAAUGAAGUGAAGAGAAGAAGAGAGAAAGAGGAGUUGCUGCCAUUGCAGCAAUGAGAGAUGGGAGUUGAGUGGAUGUGAUCCUCCUCCAUGUAUUUAUUGUAUCCUUUCUCUAUCUCUAAAUAAAAUGAACCUCUCCCGUGGAUGUAGGCGGUUUUGCCGAACCAUGUAAAAUAUUGUGUCAGUGUGCUUGCCAUCCGUUGAGCAAUUAUCAGUACAUCACCGGUCGGAUUUUCUUUUGUUUAAAAUAAAAUAUUUUAUCUUUAAUUAAGAGCAUGUGAUUGCUUUUGUUUUUAGUUGUUUUUUCAAAAAAGAUAUAUAGAUUUUUUUUAAUGUUUUUUUUUAUAAUUUUAAUGUAUUAAUAUUAAAAAUAAAAUAAAUAAAUAAAUCAUGUAGUCUAUUUCCAAACCAAUCUAAUAUUGGAGGUCGAAAUUCAAAGAUAAAAUUAAAAAAAAAAAAAACAUAUUCGAUCAGUGAGUAAAUCUAUCAAACCUGUGAAUCAGGUAACUUGAGCUAACACAUCAAACUUAUUAACAAGGUUGUUGCUAUCCAUUUUUUGACCCAUGUUUUUGAUAUAUUUUCAAAAAAAUUCAAAAAUAGAGAAAAACAAAGAAAAUCCAAAAAAUAUGUUUUUUUAAUAUAUUUUCGUCAUUUUAGUAGUUUCAACGUCGUCUAAAAAAAAAUUUAAAUUUUUAAAAGAUUUUCAAACGCGUUCAACUUUUCACGCGUCAUUUUUAAAAUCAUUGAUUUUCCUCGUUGAGUCGACGUUGAUAUUUCUCUUUUUCAAAAAAUACAAAAAAAUAAGAAAAAUCAAAAUUUACAAAAAAGAAAGAAGUUGAGGGACCAAGUUGAAAAACUUGGCAACAUUUUUUGCCUAUAAAUACUGGUUUCCAACACUUGCAAUAAGGGGGGGGGGCAAUUUUGAAACAUCACAAAAAAAUCUGAACCCUAAAAAUCCAAACACAGCCGCCCCACCUUUGGCCUUGGAUUUUUUCGAGACCAGCCCUCUCGGCCAACAGAACAAACAAAACCGCCCCCCACUGAUUUUUGAUUUUUCUCACCAGCCGUCGGCCAAAGCUUCAUCUCCUUCACCCAUCUCCUGAACCCAGACGCCCGACCAUUUUCCCUCUCCUCGCUCACAACCCCUUUUCCUCACAAAACCGAACCACUCCCCUCCUCCAGCUCGCCGAAUCCCGGCACCAUAACAGCCACGAAUCAAACCCCCCUCUACAGAUCCUCCAAAAUCUUCCUCAUCCCUCUCUCGGCUGAAAAUCAGAGGACCCGUGCCUCUCCUCCUUUCCCCCACAACAAACCCACAGCCCCCUCUCUUUCAAAACCAAACCGGAGCAGCCACUCCAUUCCCCCUCUCUUUUUCUCUUCCCCGGCCAAAAGAGAGCAGCCCACCAGCCGACCACCACACCGACACCCAUCGAUCUGUCCGCCACCGCCAUCAUAGGCCGCUACCACCGACAGGGGUGAAGACCGUUCAACAGCGACGGCCUCCACAGAAGCAAGCCACCGUUCCCAUCUCCUCAGACCAUCGGUUUCCUUCUUCGGCCAGCAGGUCUUUCCUUCCUCAGCUGCCGGGGACACCGGCAGAUGACAACUUUCUUCCUCCAGCGCCGCCCGCAGAUCCCCCCAUUUCCAACUGAUAAUCAACGGGCGGAUCCGCAACCAGCAGAGCAUAACGAAACCGAGAAGAAGAUCUGACAAAAAGAAAACAAAAAAACUGAAUCAGAUUUUAAAAGCAAAGAAAAUAAAAACUAAAAUCGACUGUUGUUGUGAUUUUGUUUGUGAUUGCAGGUUAUUGUGUUCCUCACAACCAGUAGAGAAGAGAAAGGGAGAAGAAACAGAGCCAGGCAACCCAUUUUUCCGGCGAUUCUCACGGCGGCGCGUGAACCCACGCGCCGCCAGGGGCGGUGGCGCAUGGACGAGACGCGCCGCCGCUGUUUUCUGCUCCAGAAGCCUUCCAGCACUGUUACGUGCACUGUUCCUGCAUGUUUUAGAAGACUUAGGAUGUUUUAGGGUUUGUUUUGUAAUUUUGAAUUGUUUUAAUGUAAUUGUUUUUGUUGAUUUUUGAACCAUUUGUAUUUUGUAAACAUGUGUAAAAGAAAAGAAAAGAAACAAAAAUAAAAUAGUGAAAGUGUAUGUGUGUGCUUGUAUUUUGUUUUAUUUAUUUGUAUAUAUUUUUUAAUGAUAAAAUUGCAAAUAUAUUAAAGAAGAAUUUAAUAUUUUGAUCGGAUCACGGUUAAGAAUUAUUAACUUAUACGUAAGUGAUAUUUCUAAUUUCCGAUGAAAAGACAAUUAUUAAAACUUCUUUAACACAUCAAAUUCGCGAAGCAGCUUACCUCAAGUAGGGUGUGUUAGGGGUGCUAAUACCUUCCCUAACCACAACCAGUCCCUUACCCGCGAAUCUCUGACGAGACUAGUACAUCCAGUUUCCUAGUAGCCCGCAAUCAAUUACUAGGUGGCGACUCCAACGAACCAAAUUCAAGCAAACAACAACAACGAGACGAUAAAAAUUGCCAACCGAUGUCGCGCGCCGGAUUUUUUUGGGGUGCGACAAAGGUUAUGGACUCUUGUAGGAUUAUAUAUUUUUAUAAUUUUUAUAUUUAACUAUAUGAUAAUAAAAAUGGAUAAUUAUAAAAUUAAACACCAGCCCAAUACUAAUAUAUUUGUUUUAGACCAUGAUAACAUCAUCCAAAGAAAAAUAAACUAAUUAUGAAACUAAAUUUUAAACCAACUCAAAUAUGAAAUAGAAAAAAAAUUAAAAAAAAUUGAUAACCAAAAAAAGGAAAGGGAAAGAAAAAAAAGAAGCAAAACACUAUAGAUUAUUAUUGUAAUUCAUAAUGAAAUGGGUGUGACGCGUGAGUGAAUAUUGGUUCUCCCACACCGUUUAGCUUCUUUUUUUUAAUUAAUAAACAAAACAAUACUUCAUUAAACCAGUAAACUAGUAUAAAUCACGUUAACUUUAUAAAAAGAUAGAAUAAAAAUAAAUAAAUUAUAAAAUUAAAUAUUAAACCACCCAAUAUGAAAUAAACAAAAACAAAUUUAAAAAAAAAAAAAAAAACACAUAGGAUUACUUAUUAUAAUUUAUAAUGAAAUAGGUGUGAAUACGUCUCUUAACUAUUCGUGAGCUUCUUAUUCGUUCUUAGUUUUUCUUGAAGUUAUUCUAUUGAGGAAAAAGAGAAGAAAAAACCCUACUUUUUUUUUCCUCUUCAUAAUGCAUGGAUUUAAGUUGGGUGGAGAUUCAGUAAUCAAAAUAUUUUUUUUAUUUUUAAUAUUAAUUUAAUAUUUUUUUCAAAAUAAUCAAAUUUUUAAAUACAAUUAAACAUAAUUUUGAGUACAAAAACAAACUACGUUUUGAUUGCGAGCAUAACAAUCUUGGUAGUAAGUACCAUGAUCCUUUCCAAUUGAGUUAAUUUUAGGAUUUUUUUUGCAGCCACGUACAUGCUUUAGGAGUUCUUUUUAUUAAAUCAAUAUUAAAGUAAAAAAAUUAAAUCAAUACAGAUAAAUAAAUGAACUAAAUAUAAUCAAACAAUUAAUCCAUUUAAUAGAAAAAACAUUACUGAAUCCAUAAACUACAUUAAUCCCUUUUCUUUUCUUUUCUUGUUUUUUUUUUUCUGAUGGAAUUCCCACACGUCUUCUUUAUGGGCAGCCCCAGUUUUAAACCCUCUUUUUCAUCACGUCCCCAUGUUCCCCGUGUCCCACACGUUUUCAUCAAAAACCUAAAUUUUAGGACUUCUUUGGCAGCCAUUUAAAAAUAUAUAAAAAUAAUAUUUUUAUUUUUAAAAAAUUAUUUUUAACAUUAAUACAUUAAAAUAAUAUAAAAAUAUAAAAAAUUUAUUUUAAAAAAAUUAAAAUUUUUAAAAACACAAGCAUUCCCAAACAAGGUAACGUGUCAAGAAUCAUAGCAAUCUGACAUGUGAGUGGAAAGUUGUGAUUAGAAAACAUUACUACUUUUAGAGUGAUUUUGACAGAGUAGCAGGAAAUGUCAUUAUUGUUAUUUUUAAAAUAUUUUAUUUAUUUAUAAAUAUAUUAAAAUGAAAUUUGUUGUUAAUUUUGUUUCGUUUUAUUUGUAAUGAUUUCAUACCAAUUUAAAAAAUAAAAAUAAAACAAAAUAAUUUUCAUCUCAUUUCAAAUCUCGAUCCCUUCCAAAAUUUUUGGCUAAAUUCCGUUCAGAGUGUUCCAGUUUCAUUCCACAUGUUUUGUUCCAGUCUUAAAAUCCUAUUGAAUCAAAUUGAACCUGGUUCAAUUAAUUAAUUAAACCAUCAAAGUAUAAAAGCUCUUUUUCAUUACUAUUUUCAUUAACUAUGAUAUUAAUUUUUUAAAUUUUGAUUUAUCACUAAUAUAUAUGGUUUAUAUUCAUGUUGUUUUUUUUUUUCAAGUUUAUACUUUGUAGGAGUUUAAGCAAAAAAAUAGAUGUUUUAGAUCUCAUUAGCCUUAACAUUGACCUAGCUUUAUAUUUAAAAUAUUAGUGUUAAAAUACUUUAAUUUCAUAAUAUUUUGAUAUUUUAUUGAAGUUGAAUUGUUUUAAAUUAAAAAAAUUAUUUAGUCUUAACUAUUUAAAAAUAUUUUAAAUUUUAAAAUUAUAUUUCAUCACGUCUCCAUGAUCCCCGUUGUGUCAAAAACAAAUUGCCUAAAUUUUAGGCUUUAGCAGUUCCUUUUUUGAAAUCCUUAUUAGUGAAAUUUCACGACUCCAGCUGGGCCUUGACUUGUCUGUUUAAUUUCUGUUGUAACCAAAUUUUGACCCACUUAUUGUUAAAUUAAUUUUAAGGAGGGUAAAUCUUGAAAAUUAAAAGACCAGGGGUUCGAAUGCAAGGAUUUAGAAACUUCAAGGACUAGAUUGGAAAUGACCAUUCUCAGCCCAAAACAGCACCGUUUCAAUCAGGUGUUGUCCGUCAUCUUCGUCUCACCGAACGUCCGCCUGCAAAGAAGGAAACAAAAGCGUGAAACACCAGUAUCCUAACCCAUUCAAAAUACAGAAAAGCAAUAAUUAUCUUCAUGAUAAUUACAACCCGACGAGAUAAAGAUUGCACUUUGAAUUCAAGUCCUAGCAGGAACCGUCUCCCUCAGUCGUGCUUAUCAAGAGGAGAGACGUGAGGCUGAGGGGGAGGAAAAUUGAUCCCUAUAAAUACCCAACAAUUAACAACGCCAAAAAAGAGGAAAAAACCCAGAAUUUACCCAGAAAAACAGAGAUAAGAACAGGAAACCGAGCAAAAAAAAAAACCAAAAACAGAGCAAUUAACAAAAAAAAAACAGAGAAAACAAAACACAAAAAAAAGAGACAGAGAAGAACAGUAUCACCAGCCAGAUUUCAUCCCUUCUAGAAAUCAGUUUUCAUCCGAACUGUUUUCACCCCUACAGAAACCCAAUUGAUCACCGAACCGUAGAUCAUUGACAUAAAGCAGUCGAGCCACACCGUCGCCUCAACCUGCCUCAGCAUCGCCAGAAACAGAAAGCAGUCGACUCAAAGGAACCAGACCCGCGUUGCAAUCUUCUUCAAUCUCCAAAAACAGGUUCGCUUCCUUUUUCAUUUUUUCUCUGCUCUUCGUGUUCAAAUAAUUGUUUGAACAGUGCGAAGGUAAUUUAAUUACCUUCGCACUGUUGAUGCACGCGUGAUCUGUUUCACGCGUGCAUCUUGUGUAGCCGGGUCACUGGCUUGGGCCAGUGACCCGGGCCGGGCUGGCUGGGUUCAGCCCAGCCACCAAUAUAUAUACUUGCUGGGUUGGAUUUAGCCCAGCCCAGCCCAAAGAUAAAAAAAAAAGUAAAAAAUAUAAAAAUUUUAAAAAUAUAUAAUAAAAAUUGUGUAUGUAAAAAAUAUAUACAUAAAUGAAUUUUUUUUUAUUUCAUUGACAAAAAAAAAACACAUAAAAUAAAAUAGGAUAAAUUUAUUUAGUAUAUUCACCGACGCCAGAGUCGGGAAUAAAAAAAUACUAGGGUAAAUUUAUUUUAUUUUAUUUUGUUUCGCAUGCAUAAAAAAUAAUUUGAUAAAGAAAUGAAUUGAUUUUUAUUUGUUUAUUCACAUAAGAUAAAAUAGGAUAAAUUUAUUUAGUAUAUUCACCGACGCCAGAGUCGGGAAUAAAAAAUACUAGGAUAAAGUUAUUUUAUUUUGUUUCGCAUGCAUAAAAAAAUAAUUUGAUAAAAAAAUAAAUUGAUUUCUACUUGUUUAUUCACUGACGCCAGAGUCAGGAAUAUAAUAAAAUGAUGAUAUGAGUUUAUUUAUUUUGAUACCUACGUAAUAUUUACCAACGCCAGAGUUGGAAAUAUACGUAGUUGAAUAUUCACUGGCGCCAGAGUCAGGAAUAUCGUACACAAGAAAUUAUAGUAUAAACCAAUAAAGAUGUUAGCAAUUAAUAACAAAGACCAACAAUGCAGCCUACCUUAGGUAGGACGUUUAAGGGGUGAUAAUAUCUUCCCUUUUACGUAACCAGUCUCGGAUCAUAGAAUCUCUGUUGACCAGUUAGGGUUCCUAGUGACCAUAAUACUAGGUGGCGACUCCUUAAACAAAGACCUUUUCCCCCAAAAGAACACGAUGCCUGAAAUCGGUUCUUUUUCCAUAAUUCAAGAAUUAAUUUUUAAGGCGGCCGCGAUGUCGGGUGCGACAUUCUAUUAUUUUUAUUCCAUUUUAGCAUUUUAACAUUUCAUACUCAUCAAAACAACUGGAACGCAAUCAAGCUUUAGCUUCAAACAACCAGAGGGAGAUUUUAUAGGGAUAAAAUUUUAAAAAUCACGCCUAUGCUACUUUGUAGUUUUAGUAUUAAAUUUAGUAUCUAAAAAAUGUGUUUAUGAAUAUGGCAGUUUCAGGUUUAGAAACCAAAUCUGCCAUAUUCAUACUCUCUCUUAGACAUUUUAAAAAUGUGUGUAGAAAAAUACUUUCACUGAUGAUUUAUAAUAUUAGGUUACUUUAAUGAUAAAUCAAUAUAGUAUUUUUUUUAUUUUUUGGAUUUUCAUCUUGGAGAAAUUCAAUAGGAUGAAAAUAUAAUAUUAAUCAAACUUCAAAUUAUAAUUGUUUAUCUAUGGAGUUUAAAAAAAACAUGGCAAUUUAGUAGUCUUUAAUGAAAUAAAAAAAAUGAAAAAUGUUAUUUAUGUAAUUGUAAGCAUACAAUAUUAUAUUACUUUACAAAGGGACGAAGGACAUCCUUUGCGUUAGGAUGCUCCCACUCCACUACUGACUCCCACCAUUCUUUUGGACAUGCCUCGAUUUCUCUAAGAGAAGGGGGAGGGGAUGGCUGGCCAUUUUCAAGCAACGAAAGACAAAUUGGCAUCCUCUUCAGCUUCUCACAAUACAUUACCUUAAUAUCUUCAAGAGAAUUGCAAAUCAGUUUUGCACUGCAAAUGCUUUUCAGUUCUGGUAACACAUACAAUUUCAGAGUUAUUAACUUUGGGAGAAUGACUUCCGUGAUGCUUUCUUCAUCUGUUGUUCCUAUUAUCUCCUCCAUUUUCUCACAAUCAUUAACUUCAAUCCUUUCCAGGUUUACGAGGUUUGGUAGCAACACAAGCGGGAACAGCUUUUUCAUACUUUUACAGUCAUUACAAAGAAACUCUUUAAGACCAGAAAAUGUACCGUUACAUGAUGGCAAUCGUGGUGGAGCAGAGCAGAACCAAGAAGAUGAAACCAAGCUCUCCAUGUUAUGGCAUUCCCGAAUGCUGAUGCGCUCCAGUUCAGUUGCAUUCUCUAAUGACAAAACAUCACAUAAACUUCUUGCAUCGAUGCAUUCACAAAUCAGUCCUUGAAUGCCAUUUAAGAACUUGACCUGAAAAUCUCUAUCUCCCGUUGAUACUCAAAUUACCCAACCCAACUGUUUUACUUGGAAAAUCUUCAAUGCAUUGCUCUAAAUAUCCACCCACCUCUCCUACUAAAAUCUUGCAUGUGCUUAAUGAUAGGAUCCUAUCCCGAGAUCUGAGAUACUCCACGAAGUCAGAAAAACCUUCGAAAUGGCACUCCAAAGUUUCCAAAUUUCCCAAGGAUCCUACUUCCUUUCCUUUAACUGUUAUCGGAGCAUUCGUAAAAUUUUCUAGUACAAAGACUUGCAGGUGAGAGAGUUUUGAUAAUAUCCCACUAGGAAACUUCUUUUCACCACAUCCAUUCAUUAUAAGAUACCUCAGGUUGGUUAGGCAUUCCAUUCCUUGCGGCAUCUUUGCAAGUGCCCGAGUGCCAGAGAGAUCCAACUUCUUUAGUGCCCUGAGCUUCUUUAAUGAUGGAACAUAUCUUAAAUUGUCACACUUACGGAGCAAUAACGCAGUGAGACUCACCAAAUCAGAGACAGAGUCUGGCAAAUUUUCAAUACCUGUGAAAGACAGACUGAGGACCUUGAGCCCAUGCAAUUGCUUGAAAAAUGAAUUCGCAAUCAAUUGCAGCUCUUCAUUCUCAUGUAGAUAUAGAGAUGACAAAUUUGGACACAUUGGUGAAUGACUGGAAGGAAUUUCUUCGAUCUUGUUUUUCAUUAGUGAAACAAUCGUCAGGUUCUCCGUCCACUCCUCUGUAUUUGGCAGCUCUUUUAAUUGCGCACCUGCUUUAACCAUGACUUGAGAGUUGUCUUGUAGUAUUUGGAUGGCCAUGUCCCUAAUCAAGUCAUGCAUCUUGACAGCUCUACUAUCAUCAUCAUCCAUUUUAGCACUUUCCAAUAGGCAGACAUUUUCAAGUGUAUUAAGCAUCGUGUGGCCCUCAUCAAAUGCCCUGCUCCUCAUUCCUUUAAUUAUUCCCUCAUCGAUCAAAUAACCUAUCAACUCCUCCCUUUCAAUCUUACCAUCUUCAGGAAAUAAUGCACAGUACAAGAGACAUCGUUGUAGUGCUAAAUCACCUAACCGAUCAUAACUAAACCUCAAUAACUUGAAUUCGUUGUCCCUAAAUUCUGAUUCUCUCAAUUUGUUCAAUGUAUUUCUCCACUCAUGUAGGUCAUCCACUCCCCUCAAGCUUCUUGCUACUGUAUUAAUUCCCAACGGCAAACCAGCACAUUCCUUUGCAACAGCUUUUGCAAUCCUUUCCACUUCUCGUGAAAGUGCCAUGUCACGUCCAAGUUUCUCCAUGAACAAAGUCCAAGCUUCUCCCUCAAAAAGUGGCUUAACCUUGAUUAUGCGGUGGCAAGCCAUCCGAUGACAAACCGUUUCUGAUCGAGUUGUCAUAAUUAGCUUGCAUCCUUUCAACGGGACAGGAAUUCCCACUUCGUCAAGCUCAAAAUUGUUCCACAAAUCAUCUAAAAUGAGAAUCCAUUUUUGUUUCUUCUUUAGUUCUUCUGACAAUUUGGCAGUUCUGAGCUGAACAUCAUCUUCCCUUGAAAGGUCUAGAUGAAGAUGUUUAGCAAUAAGAUUCUGCAAUUUAUUAAUGCUGAAAUCUUGAGACACAGUCACCCACCAAACAUGAUCACAAAUAUCUGGUCUUUGUAGAAGCUCAUUAUGGAUAUGUUUCAGUAUUGUUGUUUUACCAACUCCCCCCAUGCCAUAAAUGCCAAUGGUUGGGACUUCAUCAUCCAUUAACAAAGACCAUAUCACCUUCUUAUUCUCUUCAAAUGCUCGACCCACUGGCUUUAUAGAGCUAGUAGGUAAUGGAACUCCUCUAGUCUCACUUGUGUUGUAUUUAAGGCUUAUAGAAGAUCUAGCUCCAGCGUCAGGCCGCACUGAUCUUCCACUGUUCUCCAUAUCCUCCUCCACUGGUUCUGUCCUCACUCUAACCAUGUUCUGCACAUCAUUGUUUACUGAUGGAGCAAAUAGGUGGGCAUAAAAUCUUCCAUGAUCUGUUGGUUGGGAUGAAUCUCCUCGAUGCUGCACUUGUUCUGUUCUCGGUAUAGUUUCAGAUCCAUCAUGCAGACGCUCCACAUCCUCAUCUUCCUGCAUUAAAUAGGUAGAGAUUUCAUUCAGCUGCUGCUCCUUUGAAAGGGCAGAGUGCAUAUGAACCCAAGUACCAUCAGCAAAUUGAUCCACUAAAUCUGUUCCUUGUGUUGCUUCUCCUUUAUGUCUUUUGUUGCCACCACUCAUAGCUAGAAAGGCUGCUUCUUGAACUUCUUGAGGCACCUGACCACAAAUGGCAACACCAUUCCCUCUCUCUCCUGAUAAAUGCCAUUUGAUCCUCGAAAUGGAAGUACCAUUGACAAAUAAACGCCCACAAAACUUACACUUCAUGCUUCCAUCAUUCAUAUCUUCAACUUCAUUCCAAAACGGAUCAUCUGAUCUACCCAUUUUGUCCUAUAGACAAAAAGGGUCAAAAUAUUGAAUAAAAAUUAAUGGAAGUACAUUAAUUGGAAAAGGAAGGUUGAAACUAAAAUAAAAAGUUACAAACAGAAAAGAAACUAAGAAGAAAAAACAACGAAUUCAAGGUUAACUUGGGGUCAAUUUAGUAUGAACUCCAUAAGGCAUGGAUUGUUACAACUGAGAAAGAUCAAAUUAUUUAUUUUUGGAAACUGUUGAUGAUCCUAACUCCAAAGUUUCUCAUUAGAAUUUCUACAACUUGUGUUUUCCUUGAAAGAUUCAAACCAGAGUUACAUGUGAAAAACAAAAUGAAGAAGAUGGAGUAUAAAUAAUUUACCUGGAUUCAAGUAGUUCUUCAAGUGCUGGUUUGCUUAAGUAGUAUUCAGGAAGAAAAACAAGACCAGAGAAGAAUAUAAGAAAUAACAAGGAAUUUGCAAGAUGUUUAGCUCCAGAUGAUUCGAUUCAAUCAGAAAAGGAAGCACUGAUCAUCGGAAAGGUUUAAGAAAUUUGAUGAGGGAAAUUGGAAAUCAAUGGUAUAAUGAGAUGAGAUUUGGAAGAGAAUGUUACAGUAGCAAAGAUUCUUUUAUUGUUUGACAAGAAGUUGAUAGGAAAAAAGCCAUGACUUCCCUACCAAAGAUUACAUUACAAGAGACAACAAGUUGCUGUACACCUCUAUUUUGCUUUUCUUUUGUCUACCGCUGCAUAUAAUUAAAAUCUUCAACAAAAGAAUCAGAAGCUAAAAAUUAUUUAAAAAAAAAACAUUUUCUGACAAUAAUGCCAAACACUUUAACUCGUGGACCCACCCCAUUGUUGAAACUUUGAAAAAGCUGACCAAAGUCUAGGACUUCGGUAAUACUUAAAUAAUAGUAAUGUUCCUACAAUAACAAUGUCGUUACAUAACUUAAAGAAUAUAUAUAUAUAUACAUAACUUAAAGAAUACACACACACACAAAGCACAAAUAAUAAUAAUAAUUUUGGAUGCAAAACACAGGCUGCAACGCAGAUGGAGCAAGAAAUUCCACCCCAAGAAAAAUCCAAAUAUAAGUUAUUCCAACUUUCUUUCUAUCCCAAAAAAUCAAGAAGGCUAGUUUCAUUCAUCAAAAUUAUAAAUUCUAUAUUUAGAUAAAUUAGUAGAAAGGACAAAAAUCCUAGUGCAAAAUACCUAUAAACUAUAUUAUAAGAUAAAGUAAGCUAACGUGUGGAGUCUGUGGACCCACCCAAUGUUCAAACUUUGAAGAAGCUGCCAAGAAAAUGUAAACACACAUGAAUAUGAGAAAGAAUAGCAUAUUUCAAGUUUCUUUUUAAAAAAUAUUUUUUAUUUAAAAAUAUAUUAAAAUAAUUUUUUUAAUUUUUUUUUAUAUUACCCCUCAGAACAAUUCAAAAAUAUUAAUAGCAAACAGUCACUCGAUACACUUUUACAGGCUUUCGAUUAGCCUUACUCGUUUUAGCCAUGUUAUUGGUUAAUGGUUAUCAACAACUCUCUAUCCCGUGACGUUUCCGGCCCUCCCUUGAAAAAAUAAUAAUAAUAAUACAGUUGAACCAUGUUUUUAAAAUAACUUGAUAUUUUUUUAUUUUAAUUUUUUAUUAUUUACACGUGUUAAUGCUAAAAAUAAUUUUAAAAAAUAUUAAAAUUAUUAUUUUAAUAUAUUUUUAAAUAAAAAGCACUUAAAAAAAUAAUUGUUACCAUAAUAUUAAAUACUAUUUUAGUCACAAUUUACCUGCUUUUCCGGUUUUCAAAAAUAAUUAAAAAUAAAAUUCAAGAUUUGUGUUUUUUUGGGCAACAUGAUGCGCUGCUGUUAUACCUGCAUUUUGCCAAUAAAAUAAUAAAAAUUGUUGUUUUUGUUAUGGUUUACCACCUUAACAAACGAGGUUUUAAUUGACUCGGAUUGUUGGAAUAACUUAAUCUUAUGACAAAGUUUGUUUUUAAAUAUAUAUUCUUCGAAUCCUUACUAAAUUAUCAAAAUAACUUUACAGCAUUUUCAAGUUGCUUAAUUUAUUUGGUUUAAGAUAAUUUUUUUAAUAUAAUAUCAUAAGUUAUAAAUUAUUUCAUAAGUUAAUUCAGAUUAAUUAUUUUAUUAAAAUAAUAUCAUUUCAAUUUUUUUUUAGUAAUCCAAUUAGAUAUGAACUAGUUGAUUUGAUUGAUUGAUUAAAUUCCACCCAAUCAAUAUCUUAUUUAGUUUAAUUACAAACACAAUCCAAGUUAAAUUUUAAAUUUUAAGUUUUUAAAAUAAACACGGUUUAACAAUUAUUUUCUUAUUAAACUAUAGCUAAAAGGACUCAGUCUUUUACUGUGGACUGCACAGUGCAGUCCACAGUAAAAGCUGAGUUGUAUUCUCUCUUUUUUUCGGUUAUUUUUUUUUUACUUUGUGUUUUUUUCUUCAUUUUUUCUUUUUUUUAAUGGAUAUUUUUUUUAAAAAAAUUCUAUUAAUGUUAAAAAAAAAUUAUAUGUCAACUUUUAUAAUACGCAUUCUGGGUUUAACAGGUUAACCUAUAUUUUUUUUUCUGGUUUUUCUUUUUAAUUAAUUUUUUUGUUUAAUUUAUUUUGUUAAAUUAAUUAUGGGUUAACCUGGUUUCAUGGGUUAACCAAAUUAAUUAUGGGUUAACCCAUCAAUUUUUUUUUUCUAUGCAGUUAUCAAACUUUCACGACGCGAAUCCCAGGUUUGACGGUUUACUUGGUUUGAGGGUUAACCUAGUUAAUUCAGAUUUUUUUAUCUUUUUUUUCAUUGGUUUUUUUCUUCAUAUUGAUUUUUUUUUAGUUAAUCUAUUAAAUUAUCACACUUUUAUGACACAACCUUGCAGCCAAACCCACAUCCAAGGCUAUUGGUCUGGUGUUGCAGUCAUACUCAUUUAAACUUGAGUCAUGUAAGUUUAAUAUUAUUAUUAAUAUUAUAAAUAUUACUCUUCGGUCAAGCGUUGCAACUAAACCCAAGGCUUUUGGGUAUAUCUUUGCAGAAAAACCUAAUACUCUUAGAUCUUAGUCUUUUUUUAUAUUUUUUAUGAAAGAAAAAAUUUUUACCCGUGGCGUGUGCCUUUGUUUUUUUUUCUUUUUCUUUUUAAGCCUUUUACUGUGGACUGCACAGUGCAAUCUACAGUGAAAAAAACUGAUGACUUUAGUUUUUUUCUUUUUUCUUUGUUUUUUUUUAUUUUUUUAUUUACUUUUUUAAUAUUAUUUUUUUUCCUAUUUAAUUAUUAGACUUUUAUGACAUGGAUCCCAGAUUUGAUGGGUUAACCCAGUUGAUUCAUAGUUAAUUAAGAUUUUUUUUUCUCUUUCUUCUUUAGUUUUUUUCCUUUUAUAUGUUUUUUUCUUUAUUUUUUCUUUUUAAUUAAUAUUUUUUUUAUUUAAUUUAGUUCAUUAAUAUUAAAUUUUUUUCUAUUUAGUUAUCGUUUGAUGCCUUUAGUUUUUUUUUCUUUUUGUUUUUUUUUAUGCCUUUAACUGUGGACUGCACAGUGCAGUCCACAUUGAAAAGGCUGAUGCCUUUUGUUUGUUUUUGUUUUUUUUUCUUUUUAGUUAAUUUUUUUCGUUUAAUUUAGUUUGUUAAUGUUAAAUUUUUUAUAUUUAGUUAUCAAACUUUCAUGAUACGGAUCCCGGGUUUGAUGGAUUAACCUGGUUUCACAAGUUAGCCCAAUUAAUUCUGGGUAACCCAUCAAUUUUUGUUUUUCUAUUUAGUUAUCAAACUUUCACGACACGAAUUUAAGGUUUGACGGGUUAACUUGCUUUGAAAGGUUAACCCAGUUAAUUCAAAAAAAAAAUUAUUUUUCUUCGUUAGUUUUUUUCUUCAUGUUGGUUUUUUUUUUCUUUUUAAUUAAUCUAUUUGAUUAUCAUACUUUUAUGACACGACCUUGCAGUCAAACCCACAUCCAAGGCUAUUGGGUCUGGUAUUGCAGUCAGACCCACUUCAACUUGGGUUAUGCAAGUUUAAUGUUAUUAUUAAUAUUAUAAAUAUUACUCUUGGGUCAGGUGUUGCAGCCAAACACAAGACUCUUAGGUAUAACUUUACAUAAAGACGUAACACUUUUAGACCUUAGUUUUUUUUUAUAUAUUUUUUAAGCAAAAAUAAAUUAACCCGCAGUAUCGCGCGGGUAAUGUCACUGGUCUUUAACCAAACUUUGCAGUGUGUAAACUUUCACACUCAGUAUGUGUGUGUAUAUUAUUCAACCAAAUAAUUGCUUGUGCCAUAUAUGUGGCGAGCUUCCUAGUAUUAAAAAUCUUAGAUUAUCAAAUAACUAAACUUUUUAUCCAAACCAAUAAAUUUUAUGUGUCUAUUUUAAAUUUUGGUUUUAAAAAGAAAAUCAAAAUAAUAUAUCAAACAAUACCUAUAAAUCUUUUAUAUUACAGAUUAGCUAUAACCAGUGCACCCAUUUAUCAUUCUUAAGGUCAAUAUUUGGAAAUAAAUGAAUAAAUAAAUAAAAGCUACGUACCAAUAUUUAAUUUAGGUAACCUUAAAGACUGCUAAUUUAGUUUUUUGAUAUUAAAAGGACGUAUGUUGUUACUCUCUGCCUAGUGAUGAGGUAGAUAUCAGGUCUUCUAUCUGCACAAUGGUUAGAUGUGAAAAGGGAAAGACGCAAAUUUUUUUUAUUAUUAUUUAAAAAAGGCAAAACACCUUGAAUUACGUACUAUUUUUAUACGGUGAUUCUCCAAGUCUCUUAGCUUUUCUUGUAAUGAAAAUUAAUAACCUUAUAAUAUCUUUCUUGUGGAUGCUCUAUCGUUGCUAAAUUAAAAUAUCUUUUUUUAUUUACAACUAUGUGAAACUUUUUUUAAAAAAAUAUAUCAAAAAAGAUAAUGUUUUAAAAAAAUAUUAAUUGUUAUUUUAGUUUUUUUAAAAUAAAUACCAUCAUUUUAGUUUUUAUAAAUAAACAAUAUGAUGUGGUUUUAUUUUUUACUUUGAAAUACAUCUCUUAACUAUUUGUAAGCUUUCUAUUCGUUUUUAGUAAUUAAAAUAUAUUUUUUUAUUUUUAAUAUUAAUAUAUCAAAAAAUAUGAAUUUAAUAUUUUUUUUAAAAUAAAAAGAUUUUUAAAUGCACUCAAACAUAAUUCUGAGUACAAAAACAAAUAUAUAUUUUGAUUGCGGGCAUAACAAUCUUGGCAGUGAUAAAACAAAAGAGUUAGAAUAAAUGGAAAUCUGAACAAUUUGUCUACCUAUAAUCACUAUAAUCAGGGGGUGAGCAAAUUCAGUUCGGUUUAGUUUUUAUCAAAAAAAAAUAACCAAAUAAAAUUUUUUUUUUAAAAUGAAAACCGGUUCGAACAAGCCAGUUUCGGUUCGGUUCGAUUUUUUAGGAAAAAAACCGGUUCAAACUGGUUUGGCUCGGUUUUUUUCGGUUUUUUUUCAGUUCGGUUCGGUUUUUUUGGUUUUAAGCUUAUAAAACCGAUACCGAACCGGUCGGUUUUUUAAAAAUUUUAAUCGGUUUAAUCGAUUUUUUUUCACGGUUCGGUUUUUUCAGUUAUUUUUUUCUUGGUUUUCUUGGUUUCUUGGUUUUUUUGCUUACCCUACCCAUCACUGUAUUAAUUAGCCAUUCCUUUCCUUGCAUGUUCUCCUUUUUCUUUUCUUUUUCUCUGGCGCAAUUGCCAAAAAACACUCCUUUUUCUAAGGAGGCAGCCCUCCUUUUUCAUCACGUCUCCAUGAUCCCCCACGUUUUCAUCAAAAACCUAAAUGAUAGGACUUCUUAGGCAGCCACGUACAUGCUUUAGGAGUUCUUUUUUCGAAAUCCUCAUUUGAGGCUAAUCUAAAACAAAUUAAAAUAAUUAUGAUUAAAAUAAUUAAAAUUCUUUAAAUAAUUUAAAAAUAUAAAAAAUUAUUUAAAACAAAUUAAAAUUUUUAAAAACACAACAUUCUCAAACAAGAUAACAAUCAAGAAUCACAACAAUCCAACAUAUGAAUAGAAAAUUGUGAUUAAAAUACUAGAGUGCAUCUCACUUUUAGAAUGAUUUUGACAGUGCAAAAGUGAAUGUAAUAUAUGUUAUUUUUUAAAAAUUUAAAUAUUUUUUAUUUAAAAAUAUAUUAAAAUAAUAUAUUUUAUUAUAAAAUAACUCAAAAAUUAAGUCUAGGUAUUCAAUCUUCACAAACUUUAAUAUGUGUUAAGUCAGAUUUGUGUAAUUGAUUUAUCAAGUUUGCUUAAUUAAGAUGGAAUAUUUAUGACUAUUUUAAUCUAUAGUGUCUUCUCUCCUGGUACAUCGUAAAAGCCUGGGUAGUUUUUUUUUUUUUUAAUUUUAAUUAAAGUUCUGUUCUUUCUAUCCCAAGAAAUCAAGAAUGAUAGUUUCAUUCAUCAAGAUUCUAAAUACUAUAUACAGAUAAACUCAAGAAUGUGUCUUCUCUCUCUCUAUUUUUAUUUUUAAUCUGUAUUAUAUAUAUAUUUUAAAUAAUUUAUUUAUAAUUAAUGAUAUAAGAUGAUUUAUAAUAGUGAAUAGAUCUAUUAUUUUAUUAGGUUACUUUAAUGAUAAAUCAAUAUAGUAUUUUUUUUUUUUUUGGAUUUUCAUCUUGGAGAAACUCAAUAGAAUGAAAAUAUAAUAUUAAUCAAACUUCAAAUUAUAAUUAUUUAUCUAUCGAAUAAGAAUAUCCUUGUUGAUUUAAAGGAUUAUUUUCAUAUAAAAAUUAAUUAUGUUUUGCACCUGAUUUUUAACAAAAAUGAUUGAAAAAAUGAUAUAUUAUUAAAUAUGAACAAAUUUAAAAUUACAGAAAUGAUUAGUAUUUCUACAGAUGCAUAGAAUUGAUAAAUGAUGCACAAAGAAGGAUACGUAUGAUUACAUUUAACGGAGUAAUUAACCAUUCUACAUAUUAAUUAACAGUAGAAAACUUCAACAUCUACUGUGAACUUGAUUUGCUAUCCAAUUUGCACACCAGUUUUUAUCCCACUGCAGUAGAACUUUUUAUCUUUUUCCAAGUUUUUUUUUGGGUGACUUUUUUUCUUUCAUCUCAAAUUAACUUGUGAAUAAAAAAAAUAAAAUUUUAAAUCAAAAUAAAAUAUAUAAGAUGCAAAAAAUUAUAGGGAUCAAUAUUUUAAAAAUAACACCUAUGUUUCUUUCUAGUUUUAGUAUUAAAUUUAUUCGUAGAAGUUUCAUUUAUUUUUAAUUAAUUAAAUUGAACAAAAUCUUGUCAAGUCAAACAUCAACUCUUUAUUGAAUCGUCUUUUCUUUUUGGAUAAUAAGAGCUUCUUAAAAAGCUUAUUAAAAUAAAUUAUUAAUUAAUGAAAUUAAAAAUAAAAAUGUUUUUUUUAUUUAAAAAAAAAUACCAAAACAGAGAGACAUCUACCGUGUUUUCUCUAUUGGUACAUGAUAAAAGUCUGAACAGAUUUUUUAUUAUUAUUUUAAUUUUAAUAAUAGUACUGUUAUUUCUACCGCCAAGAAAUCAAGAAAGCUAUCUAAUUUUAAUACAAUGCUAGAGUUCUUGACUUUGGGAGAAUGAAUUCCGUGAUGGAAUUGGAGGUGCUGCUUUCUUCAUCUGUUGUUCCUAUUAUGCACUGAUCAUGAGAUGUGGAAGAGAAUGUUACAGUCGCUAUCUCUUUUACAUAAUAUUAUUUAUUAGUAAGGUCGCCUCAAUAAUAAUUAAUUAACGUAUUGUUUGAUAUAUUAUAAGAUAUAUAAAGUUGACGUGUGGACCUGCCUCAAUGUUGAAACUUGGAAGAAGCUGCCAAGAAAAUGUAAACACAUGAAAUUUUCUAAAAAGAAUAGCAUAUUUAUGCAUGCUGUAAAUUUUUUAAAAAUAUAUUUUUUAUUUAAAAAUAUAUUAAAAUAAUUUGUUUAAAUUAUUUAUUUUUUUAGAGUGAUUUUGACAGCGAAGCAGGAAAUGUAAUUAUUGUUAUUUUUAAAAUAUUUUUUUAUUUAUAAGUAUAUUAAAAUAAAAAUUGUUAAUUUCGUUUCGUUUUAUUUGUAAUGGUUUCAUAUCAAUUCAAAAAAUAAAAUAAAACAAAAUAACUUUUAUCUUAUUUCAAAUCUCGGUGUCUUCCAGAUUUUUCGACUAAAUUUCUUUCGGAAUGUUCCGGUUUCAUUCCACAUGUUCUGUUCCGGUCUUAAAAAGUCAUUGAACCUAGUUCAAUUAAUUAAUUAAACCAUUAAAGUAUAAAAAGCUCUUUUUCAUUACUAUUUUCAUUAACUAUGAUAUUAAUUUUUAAAAAUUAGAUUUAUCAUUAAUAUAUAUGGUUUAUAUUCAUGUUAUUUUUUUUCAAGUUUAUACUUUGUAGGAAUUUAAGCAAAAAAAUGGAUGUUUUAGAUCUCAUUAGUCUUGAUAACAUUGAUCUAUCUUUAUAUUUAAAAUAUUAGUGUAAAAUAUUUUAAUUUCAUAAUAUUUUGAGAUUUUAUUGAAGUUGAAUUGUUUUAAGUUAAAAAAUUAUUUAAUCUUAACUAGUUAAAAAUAUUUCAUCACGUCUCCAUGAUCCCCGUUGUGUCAAAAACAAAUUGCCUAAAUUUUAGGCUUUAGCAGUUCCUUUUUUGAAAUCCUCAUUAGUGAAAUUUCACGACUCCAGCUGGGCGUUGACUUGUCUUUUUAAUUUCUAUUAUUUUUAUUCCAUUUUAGCAUUUUGGGCGUUGACUUGUCUUUUUAAUUUCUAUUAUUUUUAUUCCAUUUUAGCAUUUUAGCAUUUCAUACUCAUCAAAACCACUGGAACGCAAUCAAGCUUUAGCUUCAAACAACCAGAGGGAGAUUUUAUAGGGAUAAAAUUUUAAAAAUCACGCCUAUGCUACUUUGUAGUUUUAGUAUUAAAUUUAGUAUCUAAAAAAUGUGUUUAUGAAUAUGGCAGUUUCAGGUUUAGAAACCAAAUCUGCCAUAUUCAUACUCUCUCUUAGACAUUUUAAAAAUGUGUGUAGAAAAAUACUUUCACUGAUGAUUUAUAAUAUUAGGUUACUUUAAUGAUAAAUCAAUAUAGUAUUUUUUUUAUUUUUUGGAUUUUCAUCUUGGAGAAAUUCAAUAGGAUGAAAAUAUAAUAUUAAUCAAACUUCAAAUUAUAAUUGUUUAUCUAUGGAGUUUAAAAAAAACAUGGCAAUUUAGUAGUCUUUAAUGAAAUAAAAAAAUGAAAAAUGUUAUUUAUGUAAUUGUAAGCAUACAAUAUUAUAUUACUUUACAAAGGGACGAAGGACAUCCUUUGCGUUAGGAUGCUCCCACUCCACUACUGACUCCCACCAUUCUUUUGGACAUGCCUCGAUUUCUCUAAGAGAAGGGGGAAGGGAUGGCUGGCCAUUUUCAAGCAACGAAAGACAAAUUGGCAUCCUCUUCAGCUUCUCACAAUACAUUACCUUAAUAUCUUCAAGAGAAUUGCAAAUCAGUUUUGCACUGCAAAUGCUUUUCAGUUCUGGUAACACAUACAAUUUCAGAGUUAUUAACUUUGGGAGAAUGACUUCCGUGAUGCUUUCUUCAUCUGUUGUUCCUAUUAUCUCCUCCAUUUUCUCACAAUCAUUAACUUCAAUCCUUUCCAGGUUUACGAGGUUUGGUAGCAACACAAGCGGGAACAGCUUUUUCAUACUUUUACAGUCAUUACAAAGAAACUCUUUAAGACCAGAAAAUGUACCGUUACAUGAUGGCAAUCGUGGUGGAGCAGAGCAGAACCAAGAAGAUGAAACCAAGCUCUCCAUGUUAUGGCAUUCCCGAAUGCUGAUGCGCUCCAGUUCAGUUGCAUUCUCUAAUGACAAAACAUCACAUAAACUUCUUGCAUCGAUGCAUUCACAAAUCAGUCCUUGAAUGCCAUUUAAGAACUUGACCUGAAAAUCUCUAUCUCCGUUGAUACUCAAAUUACCCAACCCAACUGUUUUACUUGGAAAAUCUUCAAUGCAUUGCUCUAAAUAUCCACCCACCUCUCCUACUAAAAUCUUGCAUGUGCUUAAUGAUAGGAUCCUAUCCCGAGAUCUGAGAUACUCCACGAAGUCAGAAAAACCUUCGAAAUGGCACUCCAAAGUUUCCAAAUUUCCCAAGGAUCCUACUUCCUUUCCUUUAACUGUUAUCGGAGCAUUCGUAAAAUUUUCUAGUACAAAGACUUGCAGGUGAGAGAGUUUUGGUAAUAUCCCACUAGGAAACUCCUUUUCACCACAUCCAUUCAUUAUAAGAUACCUCAGGUUGGUUAGGCAUUCCAUUCCUUGCGGC
rnacentral:lncRNA from 1 species